GGCUUCUUGGGUGGUGGUGGUGACUUGUAAACUGGAGUUGGUGGUGAUGGUGAUUUGUAGACUGAGUGUGUAGAGAGUAGUAUGACUCCUUAGGUGGUGGUGGUGAAUUGUAAAUGGGAGUUGGUGGUGGCAGAGACUUAUAAACUGGUGCGGGAUUGAUAUAGCUCCUUGGGUGUGGAGGCGAUAUGUAGACUAGGGUUGGUGGAGGUGGUGACUUGUUGACUGGGUGUGUGGAGGGUAGUAAGGCUCCUUAGUAGUGGUGGCGACUUGUAAACUGUAGUCGGUAGAGGCGGUGACUUGUAGAUUGGGGUAUGAGGAGGGUAGUAUGGCUCCUUAAGUGGUUGUGGUGACUUGUAAACUGGAGUCGGCGAAGGUGGCGACUUAUAGACUGGGUGUUUGGAGGGUAGUAAGGCUCUUUGGGUGGGGGUGGCAACGUAUAAACUUGAGUUAGUGGAAGUGGUGAUUUGUAGACUGGGUGUGUGGGGGAUAGUAUGGCUCCUUAGGUAGUAGUGGUGAUUGGUAAAUAGGAGCCGGUGGAAAUGGCGACUUAUAGACUGGGUGUGUGGAGGGUAGUAAGGCUCUUUUGGUGGGGGUGACGACUUGUAAACUGGAGUUGAUGGAGGUGGCAAUUUGUAGACUGGGGUGUGUGGAGGAUAGUAUGGCUCCUUGGGUGGUGAUGGUGGUGACUAGUAAAGCGGAGUUGAAGGUGAUGGUGAUUUAUAAAGUGGUGCAGGAUGAUAAGGUGUUGGUGAAGGAUGGUAUGGCUCUUUUGGUGAUGGUGGAGAUAAAUAUUGAUAAUUUGCUGAGCUUUGGGAAGCCAAGCAAAGUGACACAAAAACCACUAAAAGAGUGGAAAAUAGAGAGGCCAUUUCUCCCAAAAAGAAACAAAGGAGAGAAGUUGUUGUCCCUUUAAGCUGCACUCAAAGCCCUUUGUAUAGCUUUCAUUUAGAAGGUAUAAGGCUAAAGUUAUGUAUUUUUAAUUAGUUUUGUCAUGUUGUCGGUUCAAUUUGACCUUUGUUGGUAUACUUUUUUUUUUUUGUUGGAUAGAAGGUGCAAGCUAAGCAAAGAAAUUAACUACUAUGGCAGCUAUACUAUUUAUGAUGCAAUAAUUCAAAAAAAAAUACGUGGAUCCCACAACUUCCCACAAGAUUUUAGUUAUAGGAAUCUGAGCACUUUUUUUUUACACUUAGGGUGUGUAUGGUACGAUGGAAAAUAUUUUCUGAAAAAUGUUGGUUGUAGUAAAAAAUAUUUUCUAAGAUAAUUCAUUUUUUCCUAUUUGAGGGAAAAUGACUUCCCUCAUGGACCAAGGGAAGUUAUUUUUCGGAAAAUGAUAAAUGUGACUUAUGCCCCCAUCCUCACCCCUCUUCCCACCCCAACAACACUCAUAUUCACAUAACUCAAAAAAUUCACAUUUUUAAAAAAUUUAUUUUACUCAAAAUAUUUUUCACUGUGCUUUGCUUCAAUUUUUCACUGCUUGAAAUAAAAAAUAGUGAAGCCCGACUUUUUUUCAUUUCCAAUGUUCGUUGAAUGUAUUGUUAUUUUCAUAUGCAUAGAGGAAGACUUACCUAUGUUACUUUUGCUAAUUGCAUAUUUUAUUUUGUCAUCGAUGUUACUUCUUUCACGAGGUUGAAUAAGCUUAUCGUCCCGUUAUAUUUCUAUUGAUUGUAGUAUCUUGAGAUUGUCCUGAAAAAAUGUUGAAAAGUGUCUCCUAUAUUUGCUAAUUAAUAGUUGCUUAAAUUUAGUGAUUGUAAUAUUUUAGUAUUCGAUAUUGAUAUUAUUUAUUAUGCUUAAAUUAGUUCUUACAAAUUGUUGAGUUGCUAGAUGCACUGAUAUACUAGUUAACAGUUAGUAGUAUUUUCUAAAAAAAAAAAUUUCACUCACCAAUCAAACACUAGAAAAUAUUUUUCUAAAAAAUAUUUUCUACUCACCAACCAAACACCAUAAAAUAUUUUUCGAAAAUAUUUUUCACUCACCAACCAAACAUGAGAAAAUAAAUAGAAAACCAACUUAUUUUCCAAGAAAACAUUUUUCAUGAAAAAUAUUUUCCAUCGUACCAAACACACCCUUAGUAUUUGAAGAAUUCAAUUCUUGUGGAUUCUGACAGCUUAACUAACCUUCACUUAAGUGCUGAGAAAUUUAAAACAAUAUGUAUACAGUAUCAUAUAUUCUUUAAAAGAAAUGAUAUGUCAUUGUUAAAAGAGUUUAAUCUAGAGAAAACUGUGCAUGUGACUCGCUUUCAUUACCAACUAAAUCAAUUAUGUUCUUUCCUUUUGUGUAGUAGAGCUAAAAGAAACAUCAACCGAUUAUUUUGUAGCUCAAUGUUGAAAACUUAUGUGGUUCAAUAUGAUAUCUCUGAAAAUUUUACAGCUUGUUUGAUAGCUGCUGCCUAAUAAUGUAUUGUAUCGUGUUGCUAGUUUAAAUAUAAUGUGUAUUUUGAUUGUUUCUUAAAUUUUACUGUAUCAUUAAAUCUAUAACUAGAUAGCAAUAAAAAGUCUCAUUUGGUGUAACGACCUAUUUGAUGUGAUCGCGUUGUUACCUUUUUUCCCCUUUUUAUUUAUUAUUUAAUUAUCUUAAUGCUCCUUUAUCCUAUAUUUUUAUAGUAACUCUACCUCACAUUUUUCUAUUUUCCUUCUAGGCUUAUCCUUGAACUGUUAUAUGAAGGAUGCAAUGUAAUGACGAAAAAGGUAUAAUAAAUCCAAAUAUCGUAACAUUCACUAAAAUAAUAAAGUACAUACAAUACAACAUGAUACUUUAUGAAACAAUAUCAUUCCAAGUUAAGGACUUGAUUAGAAUGUGCAUGUUAAGUGUCUGAUGGGUUACUUAAGUAUAAAGUUCAAGUCCAUAUAAAAAGAUAAACCCUAAUUAUAAUGCCUUCAUCAUGGCUGGUCGACAGUAGUCUACUACUGAAUUUCCUCCUUUGAACCCAAAUUCUAUUGUGAAUAUCCAAACCCUACCGUUGGAUAAAUCUUUUGUUGAAUCAAUCAGUACAACAAAGUUGGACACCGUCUCUCGCAAAGAGGUGGUCAUGGUGGAAGGAAUCCCGAAUGUCACACUGAAAAAAGUGGAUACAGUGAAUAAAAUGGAGAAUUUGCAAUUUGUUGUCAUAGGUAAAUUCACUUAAGAAUGGACGGGUAUAGAAGAAUUAAGGAAUAUUAUCCCACAGCAAUGCAACAUUAAUGGUGAUUGUCAAAUUGGAGUAUUCAGAAAUAAACAUAUUUUCAUUCGUUAGACACAGGAGUCGGAUUUUAUUAAUAUCAUCAUCUCAAAGGGAGCUUUUUCCUUGCACUGUAAGGAUGGGUUCUCUUAUUUGAUGCGAACACUCUCACACUUAUCUAUGAUCCCCUUUUCAAAGAAACUUUAGAGACUACAAAGACUUUCGCAUGGAUUUCUUUCCCAAAUCUAUUGCCUACCUAUUAUGUCAAGGAAUGUUUGUUUUCUUUAGCUGCAACAGUGGGAAAGCCUGUCCAACUUGAUCUAGCCACCAUUAAUAGGACUAGACCAAGUUGUGCAAGGAUUAAGGUCUUGGUUGAUCUAAAAGCUGAUUUCUCUAAAUCAGUCCGGAUGGAUAUUGAAAAUGAAGAGUCAGGUAAAUGCAGGACAAUAGUGAAGCGGAUUAAAUUCGACCAUAUUCCUAAGUAUUGUCAUGAAUGCAAUAUGCAAGUUCAUGCUAAGAAUCAAUGUAGAAACUUAGGCACCCCAGAGGAUGCAACAAUGGCAGUAACAGUGGAUAAUAAGGAAUAAAAGAGGCCAGUACAACAUCUUCCUAAAUUCACAAUGCCUUUUGUACACAAAUUUCAAAACGGAAAAGCAUGAGUUCUUUCGAGUGGGAUUGUAGUUGGAGAUCCUACUAACUGGAUGGUUAUUAAAAAUGAUAAGAGGAUAGUUAAUACUUCCCAACAGCCUCUUUUAAUGAUAUAGUUAAUACUUCCCAACAGCCUCUUUCAAUGACAAAUAACCAAUUUGCUGCUCUAGCUACCGACGACAAAGAACCUGCUGAAUUAAACAUUUCGACAAAGGAGAGUUCAAACCUUAAGGCAUGUACGGAUGUGUUCCAAAUAAUAAGGAAAAUGAAAAAGUUAAUCUGUGGUCCAAUAAAGAAUCUGCUAAAGAGUGGGUAUCAAGGGAUUUUGGCAAGCUAGGUGAAGUUCCCAAUUCUGUAAUACCUGUACAGCAACAAGGCAGUCAGCAACUAAGUAAUCAACAACAAAGGCAAGAUAGAGAUAAUAAUGCUAAAGAGAAUAAUAAAGAUGGUAAUGGGAUGGAGAAUGAUAUGCAGGUUAAAUCUUUAAUAAAUCAGGAGCAUAAUAUUGAUGAUGGUCAGCAACAAUGCCUCAUAGUCAAAAAGGACAAUCUGCAAUCUAUAGAAGAUGUGCAACCAGAUACCAAGCAAUAGUCAAUGCAGAUUAAUCAAGAUUUUUACAGUGGAAGCUAUGAUAAUGGAGAUAGGUCAGUUGAGGAAAGUGUGGGGAUAACAGUUGUGAUGCAAGGGGAACAAAAUGUGUGUUUAGAAAUAAUGGAGAUUCCAAAACCAGUGCAGAUAGAUGAAUCAUUUAUCGUUACCAAGAGUUCUCCCAACAAAGUAAUACAUGACAUUGUCUCUCAUAGUUUAGGGUACAUUAAAUGCAGUAAUCAAACUCACAUGGCCAAAGGAGUUAAAGAAGUAGAUGUAGAAGAUGAUUCGAAGGAUCAUGCUCCAUCGGAAGCUGAUUUAUCACCAAGACUGAUGAAAAUCUCUAAAAAAGGAUAAAAAAGAAUGUGGAUGGGAGAAAACUCACAACCUACCAGAGUUCAUCCUAAGCGAUCCAAAUCUGCCCUAAAUUAUCAAUGAAAGCACUUAUUUGGAACAUUAGGUCUGUGAAGACACAACAAGAUUUCAAAGACUUCAGAUGCUUAAUAAUUAUCAUAAGUUCACCGGUUUCAGUUUGUUAGAGCCUUUUCAGAAUGUUAGAUAUAAGAGAAGAUUGAAAAUGCAUAGGGCUAUGUCAAACUGCAAUAGCAAGAUUUGGUUUUUCUCCUCUCAAGAUGUGAUAACAACUGUUAUUAAAGACACUGAUCAUCAGCUACAGUUCACUUGCAGGAGUAGGCUCAGAGCUUAGAUUUAUUACUCUUGUUUAUGCAAAGUGUUCUAAAGAGGAGAGAUUAAUCUUAUGGAAGGAUAUUUAUCAAGUUGCUUCUGGAAUUUCAAAACCUUGGAUGCUAGGAGGAGAUUUAAUGUUGUUUUGAAUUCUGAAGAGAAAAUUGGUGGCCUUCCAAUUCUUGAUGCAGGCCAUGGGGACUUUCAAUCAUGUAUUUCUUAUUGUGAUUUGAUGGAGAUACCUUUUAAAGAAAGUUCUUUCACUUGGUGGAAUGGUAGAGCAGGUAAUGACUGUAUUUUAGAAAGAUUGGAUAGAAUUUUUACUAAUCAACAACAACAACAACAACAACAACAACAACAACAAACCCAGUGUAUUCCCACCUAGUGGGGUCUGGGGGGGUAAGAUGUACGCAGUCCAUACCUCUACCUCUGCUGAAUUUUUACUAAUCAAGAUUUACAAAAUAAGUUCAAUCACAUGAAGGUAGAACAUCUUGCUACUAGUUCAGAUCAUGCUCCCAUGUUGUUGUAUUGUUAUGACAGAGCUAUCAGUUACAAGAAAUCUUUUAGAUUUCUUAAGUUUUGGACUGAUCAUCCUAAGUUCCUAGAAGUAGUAAGGCAGAAUUGGUGUUCUUCAGGUUCUCAGAGUCCAUUCUUAGAUUUCAAAGCAAAGAUUAAGAGAAUUAAAGUUGCUUUGACAAGAUGGAGUAAAGAGACUUCUGGGGAUAUUUUUAAAUAGUUGAUAAUCAGGGAAGAAAUUGUCAAGAUCAAAGAGAAAUUAUUUGAGGAAUGCCCUACGGCUGAUAACAGCGAAGUGUUGCAAAGAGCUCAGUCCGAGCACAAAAUAUAUCUUCGUUUUGAAGAGAUUUUUUGGCAGCAAAAAGCAGGUUAUGACUGGUUUGAGAAUGGUGACAGAAAUAUUAAAUUUUUUCAUAGCACUGUGAAGGGGAGGAGGAAAAGAUUGAAUUUGAAUAGAAUUCAAAUUAAUCAGGGUAUUUGGCUGGAUAAAGAAGAAAAGAUAGCCGCAGAGGUUGUUAUGUUUUAUCAGGACCAAUUUAGACAAGAACAAGAGGCUAAUGUUUUUUCAUAACUGAAUAAUAUACCUAAGAGUAUUUCUGAUGAGCAAAAUAUUGUUUUAAGUCAGUAAGCUGAUCUUGAAGAAGUUAAAAAGGCACUUUUUAGCUUAAAUGAAUAUAGUGCAAGUGGCCCGGAUGGGUUAACAAGUAGGUUCUAUCAGGUUCGCUGGGAUAUUAUUGGUAAUGAUGUUCUUAAUCUGGUGCAAGAUUUCUUAAAAGGUAAUACUCUUCCCAAAUUCAUUAUUCAUACUAAUUUGGUGUUGCUUCCCAAGAAGGAUUUUAUUCAAUUUUUCUCAGAUUUGAGACCAAUUAGUCUUAAGUAAUUUUAUUAAUAAGAUCAUUUCUAGGAUUGUGCAUGACAAAAGUGAACUUCUUUUGCCUAGACUGAUUUCUUUUAAUCAAUCUAAAUUUGUCAAAGAGAGAAGAAUUAUUAAAAAUUUCCUCCUGACUCAAGAGAUAGUUACUGACAUCAGAAAAAUGGGUAAGCCGGCUAAUGUGGUCUUAAAGCUUGAUAUGACUAAGGCUUAUGAUAGGGUUUCCUGGUUUUUCCUGAUGAAGGUUCUAAGAAAAAUAGGGUUCUCAAAAUUGUUUAUGGACUUGUUUUGGAGAUUAUUGUCUAAUAAUUGGUAUUCUAUACUAAUUAAUGGGCGAUCACACGGCUUUUUUCACUCAACUAGGGGAGUAAAACAAAGAAAUCCUUUAUCUCCAGCUUUCUAUUUGAUGAUGCUCAAUAUGUAGGUUAUGAUAUGCCAAAGUGGAGUUCCAAUAUUAAUCAUCUUGCUUAUGCAGAUGACACUAUUAUAUUCGCUGCAGCUAACAGAUACUCUUUGAGAAAGAUUUUUUCAGUGUUACGGGAAUAUGAAACUCAAUCAGGGCAAAAAGUUAAUAAAGAGAAGAAUGCUUUCUACAUGCAUCAGAAUUCAGCUGCAGUUGAUAAACAAAUGGUGGAAGAUUGUGCGGCUAUUUCUAAAGGCCAAUUUCCUUUGAAAUACCUUGAAUGUCCUAUCACUCAUGCUAGAAAAAGAAAGAGUCAUUAUUCAGAGCUAAUUCAGAAGGUUAAGUCAAAAUUACAGGCUUGAAAAGGUAAUAUUCUCUCAUAUGGGGGGAAAGGAGGUCCUUAUCUCUAGUGUUCUUCAAAGUGUUCCUAUACAUAUCCUUUCUGUUGUUGUCCCUCCUAUUUGUGUAUUGAAGGAGCUUCACAGAAUAUUUGCAAAUUUUUUUGGAGUAAUAAGGCCGAUGGAAGAAACAAACACUGGGCUGCUUGGGUAAAGGUGUUUUUACCAAAACAGAAGGCAGUUUGAGUUUUAGAUCGAUGUUUGAGGUAUCUCAAGCCAUGUAUCCUAAGUUCUGGUGGAAGUUCAGAACUCAAAAUACUACUUGGUCCAACUUUAUAUGAGACAAGUAUUGCAAAAAGCAAAUACCUUCACUAGUUUAAUGGAAAGGUGGCUCGCAAGUAAGGAAGCAUAUGUUGCAAAAUAGGGAUCUAGUGGAGCAAUUCUUGUGGUGGAACCUAAAGGAGGUACUUCUACAGUUUGGUAUGAUAAUUGGACUCAACUUGGUCCUCUUUUCAAACACCAGGUAGAGGUCAUUCUUCUUUUCCAGUGAUGGAUAUUGAGGAAUUCAUGUUGGGCUCAGACUGGGAUUUUGAGAAUAUGCAAUAUCAUUUAUCAGAUAAUGUAGUAGAGCAUGUAAGAUUACAUUUGAGGCUUGUACGACAUCCUGGAGAAGGUGACAAGCCCUGGUGGAUUAAAUUUAGUUCUGGCAAGUUCUCGGUUAAAAGUGCUUGGGAAGAACGGAGGAAAAAAACGUUUGUAAUGAGUCAUUUCAGAAGAUCUGGGUAAAAGAGAUUCCUUUCAAAAUUUCUUACUUUGGUUGGAGAGUUUGGACAAAUAGGAUUCCUGUAGCCUCUGUUUUAGCUAAUUGGAAUCCUAACUUGUCUCCUCUUUAUUCAUAUUGUGUUUCAAGAAAUCAUGGAGCACCUCUUUCUAAAAGGUGAAGUGGUUUAUUUCGGUUUGGAUUUAUUACGCCAAUGCUGCAGGUAUUCUGGGGCCCUGGGUUCAAAUUAAACUAUCCAUAAAGAAGUGGUGGGAUAUAAAUGGUAAUUAAAGACAAAGAUUCAUCUUUCAGGUAGUUCCUACUCUCAUUUUGUGGUUUUUACGGAAAAGAAGGAAUGCAUUAGUUCAUGGAGGUUCAUACUCUACAGCCAAGGUUAUUUGGGAUAUUAAUGGUUUAAUUAAGAAAAUUCUCAGAAAGAAGUUUGGUUAUGAUCAGUUACCAUCUAGUUGGCCUCAAAUAGUUGCUUUUUGACUUAUUUAGACCUACAUUUUUAUCUAGAUGGAUAAGAUGGUAUCCCCCACCUAGGGGAUAGUGGAAAUAUAACACUGAUGGAACCUCGAGAGGUAAUCUAGGUCGAAUUUCAGCUGAUUUUUGUGUACGAAAUCAUGUAGGUGAUCUUGUGUAUGCUAAGGGUUUCUCUAUUCCAGAUUCCACUAAUCUGGUUGUUAAAGUCAUUGCUAUAGGAGUUGGUUUACAUUAUUGCUUAGAAAAUCAAAUUGUCAACAUUAUUGUGGAAUCUGAUUCCCUUGUAGUAGUCAACAUGAUUAAUGGAGUGUGGGAAAUUCCUUAGAGUGUGAUAAUGGAGGUCAACUCCAUUAAAGAUAUGAUGGAUUCUUGUUCAGCAAGAGUACAACACUCCUUAGGAAAGGGAAAUACUCUUGCUGAUUAUUUAGCUAACUUGGUUUUUCAUUUUGCAGGUAACUUUGAAUUCAACAGUUUUCAUGAAAUUCCAAGCGCAGGUAGGAAGAUUAUCAAUCUAGACAAACAAGGCAUUCCACAAAUGAGGAUAAGACAGUGUACAUCAACUAAUUCAACAAGGGAUGGAUCGCUACUGCAGAUUACAAAGUGAAUUUACAAACUCUAUUAGCAGUGACUAGUUACUGGUGAAUUUAGUGCAGUCUGAAUUAGUUUCGUUUGGUUAACAUACCAUGCACCUGUGGGAAUUUUUAGGUGUUACAUAGAGUAUAAACCCAGGACUCACUUAUACUAGUUGCUAAUUUCUAGGUAUAGAGUUUAUAAAAAUCAAGCACAAAUUUAGAGGCAUUUCAUAGUCUCAAAUCUGUUGAUGAGGAGAGGAUGGAGUACCCGGGACCUCAAAUUUAGCGGCGGAAGAUAGACAGGGUAUAAUUAUCAAGCAAUACAAUUCUUUUAUACAGAUUCCACUUCAGAGAAGAACAAAAAUAAUCAUUGCCAACUUAUGGAUUGCAAAGUGUCAAAAUACAAAUUUCAGCAUUUGGAGUAACACAAGAAGGCAAGGAGCAAGAUAAGUAUUAAUGGACAGUAGUGGUGAUUAACAUUCACUAAUACUGAUUGAUUUCUAAGUCAUACAAUUGAAAUGGGGGUUAAGGUGAACCUGUUAGUUCUGGAUCCUUGGUGGUGGUAUCAAUCUCCUUGAGGUUUAUUCCGCUAGGAAAAAGAGAGAACAGUGAAAUCAUUUUUUUCAUUUCACAGAUGAGUUUAGAAUAGAAAAAGGGAGGUGACUUACCAUAUCAUCUGCAAUAAAUAUUUAUUGAUUUGGAGCUGUAGAAAUUUAGUUGAAACCAAUUUCAUGAAGUUUGUAAGAGAUUAAAGUGUCUUAGUGAAAUUUGAUGGAUGUUCCAUGGCAAUAAUGGCUUCCACAACUUAAUGCAACAACCAGAUGAGGUUGGAGUAGCAAAGAUUGAAACCAUAGUUGCCUCUCCGUGAUGUCUUUCAGCUUUGAGUUUUAUCCACACAUUCCUUUUCCUGCUUACAUUUUCUGUUUUUGGUCUUUUCAGAUGUCUGGAUAUAUUUGUUGCUUUUGUUUUGGACCCGGGUCUUGCUUAACUUGGGCCAAUUUGUACAUAUCUUUUCUGCUCCUGAAUAAAUUGGGCUCUGGUCCAUCUUCAAUUAAAAAAAAGGAAAAAUGACAUGGACUGACCAGUUUAAAAAAAGGAAAUUUUGCAUAUAUACCGACAUGUUUACUCUUAAUUACCAAAAAUUUCAACAUUUUUCAAAAUCUCCAAAAAUUCCAACAUUUGACCUCUGAUAAUACAAGUUAAUCACAUUAGAUACAUACUGUUGAUAUAUGUAUCUAAUGUGAUUAACUUGUAUCAUACAUUAGAUAUAUGUAGGGUUACAUUAGAUACAUGUAGGGUUACAUUAAAUACAUGUAGGGUUAACUUGUAUCUCAAAAAUAGUCCCAAAUAUGAAAUGUUGGAAUUUAUGUAAUUUUUCAGAAGUAGGGGGAUUUUUAGAAAUUUUGAAAGUUAUGAUGUUUAUUUAUGUAAUUUUUUGUUAAAAAGAAAAAAAAUAGCCCACACUAUGAAAAUAUGGACAAUUGGAGCCAGUAGACCCAAUUUAUUUCCUGUUUUUUCAGUCAUUUGGCCCAAAACUAUUCUCCUUACACAAUUAAGGGGAUUAAAUACUCUUCACAGUAGGCUACUCUUAAAUCACUUUUCUUUUCAAACUAUACUUUCCCAAAAAAAUGUUCACCUCUAUUAUGUGUCGAUCAAUCUACUGUGUUUUGUGAUAACAAUUGAGUUAGUAGGGCACAUGCAGUCUCUAUACCCAAUUGAUACACUUUUGUACCAUAUUGAUACAUGUUUAUACCCAAUUGAUACUCUUUAUACUACAUUGAUACACUUUUAUACUCAAUUGAUACUCUUUUAUACUAGAUUGAUACACUUUUAUACCACGUCGAUACAGUAUGUAUAUUACAUAAAUACAUCUUUUACAGAGGAAAUUUGUGCAAGCAUAUACAGUAACAAUACCAAAUUAAUACAGUAAAUCAAAAUUAGUAAGUACGAACAUAAUUGAUACUCUUUAAAAUUAUAGUAUUAAUAGUACAUAAAGUAACAAAAAAAAAGAUCAAAUCAUCUUUCCAUCAAUUAUUGUUUUGAUUUAGUUCAUUCUUUCUCCUUAACGCUCUUUUAUAUUUCUAACUUCCUCUUCCUACCUUUAUUUUCUCUUCUUUUUUUCUUUCCUUCAUUACUAAGUUAGUUGUAAACACCCAUAUGAUGAAGUAUGUAUUUACUCUUGAGUUGAUGUCAUAUUUAUCCUACUAAGAAAAAUCACAGGUUCUGUAAGGAAUUGUCUAGACAUGGAGUACAUAUAAAAAUUUAUUCUGCCACUUGAAAAAAACCUGUAAAAAACUAAUUAAAUUCAGAUUUUUUGAGAUUUUAUACAAAAUUUAUGAAAUGAGAAAGGUAAAUUGGAGUAUCGAAAAAAGGUAAAGGAACAAAUAUUUAGGAGUUUGAAUGGAAAGGAAACUGGGAAUGAAAAGAAAAGAAAGAAAGGGAAAGUUACUUCAAGGAUGUUUUUGAUUUUGUUUAAGCGUAUGACAGUGAAGGUUAGUUAGUGGAAUUACUCUGUGUCUAUUUAUGAUGUAUUUAAUUUUGACUGCUAUUUUUUUAUAUUAUUUUAGUUUUAGGUGUUAUUUCUGUCAUUUGCCCAAAAAAAAAAACUUACUAUUUUACUACAAUUCUUGUUGGUAAGAAUACAUUAUUUCUUUUUUUUUUUUAGGGCAAACAACAUAAAUUUCGAGAAUUUGGAGCUUAAUUACAGAAAAUUCUGAUAUUUUGCAUAAUUGUUGAAAAUCUCAAUUUUGGAUCUGUUGAGAUACAUUAUUAGCUUCUGAUACAAUCAAAAAGAUACAUUUUUAACUUUGUAUAGAUAUAUAAUUAGCUUCCGCUACAUAUUUUUUAAAUUUUGCGUUUGUUGAGAUAUAUAAUACAUCCAAUGAAGAUAUAUUUUUUUCUUUGUAAAGAUAUAUAAUUAGCUCCCAGUGCAGUUUUUUUAUUUUUGGGUCUGUCGAGAUACAUAAUAAGCUUUCGAUACAUCCAACGAAGAUAUAUAAUUAAUUGAGCUUUUUGUAGUUAUUUUGUAAGAGUGAAAAUUUUGUAUAAAUAUAAUAAGUUAAGAUGUAUAUUUAUACUAUUUUUCCAUAAUUUGCUUGCGAACCAAAUCGACCACUAAAGAAUUGAAAAGUUAAACAAUUUGUUCCCAAUACAGAACAAACUUUAGCCUAAAAUUUAAUGCUAAAAAUUACUACAAUGAGCUGAGUGGCUGAAAUGGUGCCACUUAAGAAUAAUUUGGUGGAUGAAAUGAAUGAAUUGUUUUGGAGUACAAAUUUUGAUUUAGACAAUCUAUUGAAAUUUAUUAUAGUACUGUUUAUAUUUAGGGGCCAUUUUUCAGGAUCUAUGAAAAAUUUAUAAUGUUGAGUAGAACAUACUAUAAAAGUAAUGUUGGAUAGAGCAUAUCACACAUUAGCACAAUCCUAAUCAAUAAUGAUAGCUAUUCAUCUCUAGUUCACUUUUAUAGUUAAUCAAAGAAUUAUUAACAACGAAAAUUAAUUUUCUUGUUUUGGUUUUCUAUCAUUGAAUCAGCAAUAGUUUGAUAUAAGAACUAUUCAGAACAGACUAAAUUAAAGAGAAAGAUGGAAUACCGUCAAUGAAAAUAAUAGGAUAUGAUAUCUUCAAAGAUAAAGAAGGCAGUGAACUUUUUACACAUAUAAUACGUAUAAUUAUUAAAGAAUAUAAAAGAAAUUAAAAAAAGGACAUACAGUACAUAUAUAAACUGGAAAAGAAGAUCAAUAAUGUAAAAGUUUGAUGUUAACACUGUUCCUUAAUUAAAAUUUCCAUAAUGAUUAUACUCGCUAUUUUCUUUCAUUUGCACAAAUCAAUAUGCUCCUUUCCCCCCUUUUUUUCUCCUGAUCACUCCUUAAAGAACGAGACAUAUAGCAUACAUAGAGAAGAGAGUACUUUGUCUCCCUCAAUAAAUACCUUGAGAAAAAAAUGUAACUCAUUAGUAGUUUCUUGAUUUUGUAAAAUUUUCUUUAUUUAAAAAAGAGUAACAUUGGAAGAAGGUCAUUAGUAUCUUUUUUAUUAUCUAAAACAACAUUUAUUAUCUUUUUUAUUAUCUAAAACAACAUUUAUUAGGAGCAAAAUAAAAAAGCUAAACAACCACUUAUUAGAAACAGAGGGAGUACUAAUUAUCUGAUAGUGUUUUCAGUGUUACGCAUCAUGAACUAAAAGCUUAAUUUAAGAAGCAUUGACUGCUUAAUGAAAUCUUUUAAUUCACAAUGAUAAUAAGGAAAUCCAAUUUGUGUUGUAUCAUUCUAGCCUUUCCAUUUUUUAUGGAGACAAAGCAUUAAUAGACAAAUGGAGAUUGGACAUAUCAAGAUUUCAGUCUCAUCCUGUCAAAUCAUUAAUUGUAAAACCUUCAUGUAUUUCUAUGUUCAGCCUAAGAUAUUAAGGGGUUAAUAUUCUUUCAAAACAUGGAGAGUUUCUGAUAUUGGGAGACAUGGUUGUUUGUCGAAUAUAUUUAUUUCUCAAUAAUUGAAAUAUAUAAUUGUAUUUGAUGUGAAGAAAGUAUUAGUUAAAAUGCAGUUUGGUUCAUUUUGGCUAGGGAUUCCAUCCUUUCCAUGUAUAAAAGUUUUUGAAUGUAAGGAUGAGAAAUCAAGGUAUCUGCUACACUUUUUUUAUAUAUACGUGUAGCGCAUGUAUCGAGAAAUUAGUAAAAGAAAAAAAAAAUUCCUCAGCUAAUUCUCAAUCAACACCAACUCCAUCUUAGGAAAGUGUGGUUGGUUCUGUUCUUCCUCGAAUUCAAUGAAUUUUUGUCAUAUUGUCAUACAUAUAACGAAUAAUAUAUAUAUNNNNNNNNNNNNNNNNNNNNNNNNNNNNNNNNNNNNNNNNNNNNNNNNNNNNNNNNNNNNNNNNNNNNNNNNNNNNNNNNNNNNNNNNNNNNNNNNNNNNNNNNNNNNNNNNNNNNNNNNNNNNNNNNNNNNNNNNNNNNNNNNNNNNNNNNNNNNNNNNNNNNNNNNNNNNNNNNNNUAUGCCUCUUUUCCUCUUUAAAUUUUAAAGUAAUAAUUAAGAAGAAAAAAGAAGAAGAUACUAUUCAAUAAUUUAAUUCUGAUACCAUCAACAUGGAAGACUCCAUUUGCUUCAUCUAACAAUGGACUUUGGCAUUAUAUAAUUAACAAAACAAUUAAUUAUUAGGAUAACUUAAUCACCGACAAAGGUUUCUUACUAUUAUCCUUAUGAGAUUCCACUAGUUAAGCUAAAUAUUUUUAAUCGACGUAAGAGUUAUGAAUGUAUAAACAAGUAGAUCUUAGCUACAUUGACCUAGUCAAUCAUUAUUAUUACCGACAUAUUUAUGCUAUACAAAUAUUUGUCCUAAUGCUAUCUUUUAUUUAUUUUUUUAAUGGAAAAGGGUCAAAAAGAUUCCUGAAUUAUUCGAAGUGGAGCAAAAAUAUCCCUCAUUAGUUUUUUGUCUCAAAAGUAUCCCUCUCUAAUGAAAUAACACCAAGCAUGUCAUGUAGACAAAAUACGUCACUUGAACAGUUCACGUCAGAUCGACCAUCUUUAUUAAAGGUGAAUGCUCCAUUAAAUGAGAGAUUUUCCAUGUGGAUAUUGGCGCCUAGCGUGGACUGUUCAAGUGGCGCUUUUUGUCCACGGACAUACUUAGUAUCAUUCUGUUAGAGAGAUGAAUAGUUUUGAGCCAAAAAUUUAAUGGAGGAAUAGUUGUAAGCAAAAAAAUUAACGAAAGAUAUUUUUACUUUAUUUCAAAUAAUUUAGGAAUAUUUUUAAUCGUUUUUUGCUUUUUUAUGAUUUCUAAGUUGCUUAUAAUUUUUUUAUUACUACAUGAUUAACAAUAUUUUUUUAUUUCCAUAAAUAACAGAGAGUAAACUAAGUUGCACCUUAAUGGUCGAAAAGUAUUCACUAUUUUUUUUAGACUUAAAGAGGUGAUUCUGAUACAUGUCUUAUGAACAAUCAUUACAAAUUUUAUUAUUUUAAAUUUUGUUUUAGAUAAGUCUAUGAUUAAGUUGUUGGUGACCAAUUUAUUCAAUUGAGUGAGGCUGGCAUGUCCAAAGAUUUUAGGACGAAGAAACGGGUUAUUAUGUUAAUUAGGUAGAUUUAUUUUAGGGAGAAAUAAGACAUAUGCUUUAAUUUGUAAAUAUUAAUAAGUAUUUUUCCAUUUAAGCAUAGCUUCUUUUAAAUUUAAAUUAGUAAUCAAACAGUGUUUAGUAGUAUUUUCUACCUUGUUGGCUUUGUCACACAUUUGAGAGAUGCUAAAAAUGUGUAUUAAAAAAAAAAUAAGAUGGAAAGAGAAGCAUACUGGCUCAAAGGUAAAGCCGCUAAAACGUGCUUUAAGGUUCAAAAAUAGUAUUUUUAUUAUAUAAUUAGUCUCUCCUAUGUUUUACAGUUUAUAGUCUAUAUGCAAUAAAUCAAAUUCUAUUAUAUAAUUUUUUAUAUAAAAAUAAAAGUUUCUUUAAAGUUAUUAAAGGAUGUCCAUUUGUUGUAAUAAAAUACAUUGAUUUUGGUUCUCAGAAUCCUAUUGGUACAUAAUAAACUUUGGCUAUUUUAAUUCAAAGUUUUAAAAUAUCAAAUACAAUUCUAUAAUCUUUAACUAAAAAUUUAAAAAUAAGAUUAUUAAACUUCCGAUGAUAUGAUUGUAUAAGAAAAUAAUAAACAUUUUAAAAUGUUAUUGUAACUUUAUAUAAUACAUGUAACAGUAUUUUUCUAGUGAUUAUAAGAAGAAUUUUAUUGAAAAAUCAAACGUAAUUGUAACUUGCGGUAUUGAAAGUAAAAUUUGAUGGCGAGGAAAAUAUGAGUCCAUUCUUAUGUCAUUAAAAUUUAUAAACCUUUUUAUUAAGAUGACUUGAAAAUGGUAUUUAACUAUAUAUAAUUUAUAAUUUUUUAAUUAUCAUAAAUAAAAUAUUUCAUUUUCGUGAUAUUUUAGUUUGGAUUGCUUUCUAUCUAUCAUUAAUGACAAAAUACAUCGUCAGACCCCUUAAAUUGACACCAUUUUUCACUUUGGCAUCUUAAGUGGACAUUGUUCACCUUUGGCAGUUCAAAUAACCAUAAAGUGUAUCAUUUUGACAUCUUUCGACAUCAAUAAAAGUGUGUGUUACACUCACUGUCAACGUGGAUAAAACGGCCAACUGAUUUAUGCCAAUUCAUUUAAAUUGCCACAUCAUUAUUUAUAUUCACAAUUAGUUUUAAAAAAAAUAAAAUCAAAACAUAUGGCAAUUAAUGACAUAAUUAUCUAACUCAUUAAUAUAUAUACAAAAUUAAAUUAAAAGAAUCAAUUAAUUACUGACACGUGACAUUUUUCAAAAUAAUUAUAAAAUUAUUUAUUUUAUUUGGACAACCCUCCACCCACCUCCCACCCCCAAACUCCAAAGUCAUCUUCUCUACCACCAUCUAUCCCCCCGAUACCCCCCACCCUAAAUCAUCUUCUCUAUUUGGCAACACCCCUCUUCCCGUCAUGUUCUCCAUCUCCCUCCCCCCCCACCACCCCCAACCCCUGCCUGAGUCAUCUUAUCCUCUCCAUUUGCCCCUUUGAAAAGAUGAACACUCAAUCAAAGAUUAUAGUAUAUAUGUAUAUCAAAGACCUUGAUUAGUCAUAGCUUGACCUCAAAAAUUAGAAGGCAUUAAAUGACUGUUUUUUUUCUUAACAAAAAAUAAAAAAGAAAUGAUUGACCUUGAAAUAUAUUCAUCAGUAGUAUGUGUGAACCUAUUCUUUGGCAACGCAGUGGUCUUCUUACUACUUCAGUUGCAGUCAUAACAUGUUGACAAAGAUGGUGAUUGCUCAACAACAAAUCACUCGUUGUUGUUAGUGUGUUAGUGUGUUUCGUUAUUCUUGAAAAGUUCAACCUCCAUUAAUGGAAGUUAAGCUAAAGAAAGGUUGUGUGAAGAAGGCAAUGUGAGGAAAUUUUUUGUAAUUAUUUGGUCAAUAAAACAUGUGCCAUUAAUUUAUUGGAUCAAUUUUUACUGAUUUGGCAAUAGAGAUUUUCAAUAGUUUUAAAAAAAAUUUAAAGAUGAAAAAUUACAAAAAUAUCCCUAAAAAUUUAUGAAAAUACUCUUCAAACGCUCCAAAAAGUGAGCAACGUCCACUUGAAGUGCCAAAAUGAAAGAUAGCACCAAGUUGAGGACCGACAAUAUAUUCUUUCUUCAUUAAUUAGUGCAUGUACUACUCCUGUACUCCAUUGGUUUUGAUUUUUUCUUGUUCCUGCACAUUAUUUCUCCUUUUUUACUGUCUAUAUAGUACUAUUUUUUAACUUAGUAUGUUGAAAUUAAUUAUUUUUUAUUUGCAUAUGAAAAAGAAAUACUUAACUAGAUUGAUUCUUAUUCGUAUAUAAAAAGUUAAAAUAGUGAAAUUCAAGAAAAAUAUAUGAAUUUUAUAUUUGGCUUUAGAUGGCUAAUUAUAUUAAGCCGCCCUUGAAGGGACGGUGAAUUGUAAUAUUUUUUGUGGUUGACUAUGAGGCGAGCUAUAAUAUGAAAUCAAAUAAGUAACAUAGUAUAAUUAUGUGCUAAGUAAUGUGUCAUAUGAUAUUUUUCAAUUGAUUUGAAUUCAGUGUGAAUUAUAGUUAGUCCUUCCUUUUGGAUUUUUGUUAAACUGAAAUUUUCAUUUUUAUUACAUAGAGAGAGAAGUUAUAAAAAGGAUGAUUACAACGUGUUGUAACUUUUCAGGACGAAGAACAACAAGUCAUUGUUUUAUUAAAGAGGGAUUGUCCCUUGUCCAUAUCAGCUUUCAAGAAAAUAACAGAACAAAUGUUGAAUCUACUACUAUGAGAAAUUCAUCAUUUGUUUUGUUGGAGUUAGCCAAUGUCUGCUUUCUCCUUCCUAAUCCUAAAAUUAGCCAAACCAACUUUAUCCAACCUAUAAGUCCUUUAUAUUCAUCAUUAAGCUCUUGAAAUUGUUGUUGAGUACAAUGUUGAGGGUGUACUUAAUUUCUAAUCAUACAAUAGCGGUCUUUUUCACUCUUUGUAGUUGAUAUAUUGCCUCACCAAACACUAUUUUCCUCUCUUCGCUCUUUUUAAAUACACAAUAAAUGAAUUAGGAAGUUACAAUGCUUGUUAAGAAUAGCAUAGAGCUUUGGAGAAUGUUUGGACAGGAUGUACAGUUUCUUUUCCUAGAAGGCAUAUAUAGUCUUUGUGUGCUUGAUGUCUUGAAAAAGGAUAGAGAAAGACAAUCCAUACUACAUGAAAAAUAUUGAAUUGAGACAUAAUAUUUAUCAAUGGACAAGUCUGGCAUAGAGUUUAAACGGAUUUGUGAUAGAAUUAACUAAUUUAUAGUGUUGAUUUUAAUUUUUUCAAAAAUAAAUCAUAAAAUAGAUUGCCUAGCUUGACGUGUUAUGUGAUAUUAUGCAUAGAUUAAGUCCAUUGGAGGUUGUCUGAUUAGAGAAUCGGACAAUGCUUAGCAUGGGAAUUUCAUUGAAUAUGGAGCUAAGUGAGACUUUAAUCUCUCAUUUACUUGCUUUUUCAAAAGCAUUAUUUAAAACUGAGAAAUCGCUUCAAACUACUCCUCCACCCCAUUUUAGUUGGGCACAUUCUAUUUUAUACGGUGAUUAAGAAUCAUAAAUUGAAUGAUAAAUUUUACGAUCUUACCCUUUACUCAUAUUAAUGUUAUUCGUUGGGCAUAAGAAUGAACAUUGAAAUUGAAAUUGUUAACAUUUAAUAUAUACUAAAAAUUGUAGGGGAAAAAUAAAAAAAUAAUUAAUUUUAUCCUAAUUUAGUAAGUGGUCUUUUUUGGUGGGCUGAAACGCAUUAAAAAGAAAUAGCGGAGUAUUACAGUAGCACCUGGAUUAACCAGGAUCUACAAAAUUUGAGUUUGAGCUUAUGCCCUCUAAUGAAACAUUACAACACCUUGUUUGCCUAAUGAAACUAGUUCCUAGGAUGUCAGCCCAGGUAGCUUUGCAGCAUACAUUGGAGGAAUUACAAAAGAGUUUCUCUGUCCACAAACUUUCAGUCUUGCUCCUUCCUUAGCUAAUGCAUCCUUCACCAUAUUCUGCUCUUUAUAGCAGUGCUGGAUUUGUGGUCGUCCCAGACUCCUGAUUAGCAACCUGCAUCCAUUAAUUAUGGCAUUAUAGUGGAGGUUUCCCUCUUUGAGCAUAAUAAUAACCUUUUUCGAGUCUACAUUGAUGUCCACGGGAACUAAGGACAUUUCCUCCAUAAUUUUUAGUCCCUUUAGUUGAGCAAAGAGCUCCAUCUGGUUAUUAGUAAUCACAGGGAAAACUUUUUUGAAACCUGUAGUCCAAUUCCCUUCAUUGUCUCUAAUAACCCCUCCAAUACCACCCCUACCAGGAUUUCCCAAACAUGAGCCAUCAGUGUUAAGUUUAAAUCUUUCUUUAGAGGUUGGUUCCCACUUAACACUAAUGUUCAAUAAUCUAUUUGUCACGACCUGAAUCAAGGUCUGGCCGUGAUGGGCAUCCCUAGCCAACCAAGGUCGGAGAUGACCCCUAACCUUACCUCAAGAGCACAUCAGUAAAAACAAACAACAAAAUCCAACCAAGAUAAAAAGAGAAACAUAUGAUUCCAAAAGAAAGUUAAGAGUCAAAACCAACUCCAUAAUAAUAUCCCGACACUGCCUACAAAAGUCUCUAAUCCAAAAAUACCAACUAAGUCAAGACAUGUCCCCGACUAUAACAAAAGAAAUUCAAAAGUUCUGAAAUGAUAAAUGUAACUAAGAAAGAGGCCAAGUCUUUUGAUAGUUCAUAAGUUGGUUGAACUUGUGUUGAACUUAUUGUGGAUUAAAUACAAAUUUUGUACCCAGAAUAACAAUCUUAAGGAAUUUAUUAAUAAUUUUAAUUUUUGAGUUUCUAGAGAUUAAAACUUUUUGCUUUCUACGCUGUUUGAACUUUAUAGUGAUUUGAAGUUAUAAAAACUUCAUCACGGGUUAAUGUUCAUUCAGUUGAUGAUUAGAAGAACAUAAAAGCUUCAACAUUAAACUAGAAAUAAGUUGUUUAAAGUUUUUAAAACUUUAUUCUUAGUAUUUUGACUUACUAAAUUGGUUGUCUUUUUGUCACAGUAAAAAUGAUUAUUGAAAAUCAAGUUAAUGAUGGAAUGGUCAAUGUCACAACAACAAAUAUUGCUACUUAAAAUCGUUCAAAUGCUGCUCCGCCAAGGCACUGACAGAAAAAUCAGAAAGUUUUCUAGUGUGGAUUUUAAAAGAUGGCAGCAGAAGUUGUUCUUUUAUCUGACUACAUUAAAUCUACAAAGGUUCAUCACUGAAAGCAUUUCAGAGUUUUCGAAAGAAAUAUCCAAAAAUAUACUUUAUUACUACAAAAGCUUGAAAGCACUUGAAUUUUUUAUAUAAGAACUACAUACUGAGUGGCUACAACAUGGCAUGUACAAUGUGUACAGCAAUAUGAAGACCUCUAAGGAACUAUGGGUAGCUUUGGAAAAGAAGUACAACAUAGAGAAUGCAUGAAUGAAGAAAUUUAUUAUUGCAAGAUUUGUAGAUUUUAGGUGGUAGACAGUAAUACUGUAGUUACCCAAGUUCAAGAACCGCAAGUCAUCAUUCAUGAUCUCCUCACCAAAGGUAUAAAUUUGUUCUUGAUACUUACAUAGUCUCUGAUGUAGGCUUAAUUGUGAACGAGGCUUAUCAAGUAGCUGCUAUAAUCGAGAAGUUACCACAUUUGUGGAAAGACUUCAAAAACUACUUAAAGCACAAGCACAAGGAGAUGUCUUUCGAAGACCUUAUUGUGAGGUUAAGAAUCGAAGAGGACAAUAAAGCAUCAGAAAAGAGGUCUCGAUGGAAUUUACAAUAAGUAGAGAAAAUAUUGUGGAAGACGACCCCCAAUAAAUUAAAGAGAGAAAGGAAGCGUCAGGACAAUAAGGCAAUCCUCCUAAGAAGAAAUUCAAAGAAAAUUAUUUUAACUGUGACAAAGUUGGCCACAAGUCUUCAGAUUGUCAGGCUCCUAAGAAGGACAAGAAAAGAGGAUCAAGCUAACAUGGUUGAAUCCAAGAUGAUGUGGAGAUCUAUGUGCUAUGCUUUUGGAGUGCAUGUUGGUUGAAAAUCCUAGAGAGUAGUGGAUUAAUUCAGGUGCCACUAGCCACAAUGUGCCAACAAAAAAUUAUUUCCAUUAUAUUUUCUGGCUCAGGCUAAUGAGAACAUAUUCACGGUAACUCUGUUACGGUAAAGAUUGAAGGAAAAUGCAAGAUUUACUUGAAGAUGACAUUGGGCAAGGUGGUGACACUAAACAACGUCCUUUAUGUUUCAAAGUUGCGAAAGAACUUAGUUUCUACUUCACUUCUAACUAAAAAUAGAUUCAAAUAAGAAUUUGUUUCUGACAAAGCUGUAAUUAGUAAGCAAGAAGUGUAUGUAGGUAAAGGUUACUUCAUCGAGGAUUUUUUUAAGAUCAGUGUAAUAAAUGUUGAAAUCAAUAAAAAUUCUGUUUCUUCUUACUUACUUGAGUUAAAUGAAUUAUGGCAUGAACAUUUAGGACAUAUUAAUUACAAAACUUUGCAAAAACUGAUUAAUUUAAAAAUUUUGCCUAACUUUGAGUGUAAUAAAUCAAAUUGUCAAACAUGUGUGGAAUCUAAGUAUGCUAAGCAUCUAUAUAAGUCUGUUGAAAGGAAUUUCAAUCCCUUAGACUUAAUCCACACAAAUAUUUAUGCUAUGAAGUCAAUACCAUCUCAUGGUGAGAAAAAGUAUUUCAUAACUUUUAUUAAUGAUUGCGCUAGAUAUUGUUAUUUUUAUUUGCUAAAUGAUAAGAAUAAAGUAAUAGACGUAUUUUGGUAAUAUAAAACUAAAGUUGAAAACCAGUUGGAUAAAAAGAUCAAAAUAAUAAGAAGUAAUAGGAGUAGAGAGUAUGUAUCUUCUUUUGCAGGGGUAUGUUAGAAAAAAGGAAUUAUCCAUCAAACUAAUUUCCCGUAUUCACCUCAAUCAAAUGGGAUUGUGAAAAGAAAAAUUGAAUGUUAAAGAAAAUAAUAAUUGUCUUACUCAUAAGUUCAGAUAUACCGCAAAACUUGUGGGGGGAAGUUAUCCUUACAGCAAAUCGAAUACUCAAUAGAGUUCCCUAUAAGAAGACACACUCUAUCCUAUAUGAAAAUGAAAAGGAAGGAAACCCAACUUGAAAUAUUUCAAAGUGUGGGAUUGUCUAGCUAAAGUCCAAGUCUAUAUACCUAAAAGGAUAAAAAUAGGACCAAAGAUUGUGGAUUGUGUGUUCAUCGUAUAUGCUACAAGGAGUAAAGCAUUUCAAUAUUUGGUUCAUAAAUUCGAACCAUGAAAAUACGAUAAUCUGAAUCAGAUAAUAUUAAGUUCUUUGAAUACAUUUAUCCGUAUAAAAUUGGACAUGAGAUGUCUAGUGGAGGAUCUAAACAACCUCGAGAUGAACCAAAGGAGAAUGUACUUAAUAAUGAGAAUCAAGGUGUAGUACACGUCAAAUACCGUCAAUUUUCUUUGGAUAAGAUUUUGUAACAUUUCUUCUUGAAAAUGAGCCUUAAAAAUUGAAAGAAACGAUGUCGUCUUCAGACCCAUCCUUUUGGAAAGAGGCAAUCAAUGGUGAUAUAGAUUCAAUCUUGAGCAACCAUACUUAGGAAUUGAUUGAUCUUUCUCCGGUAAAUAAACCUUUAGGUUCUAAAUGGAUCUUCAAAAGGAAAAUAAAAGCUAGUGGUACUUUUGACAAUUAUAAGACAAGACUUGUUGUGAAAGAUUUUAGACAAAAAGAAGGCCUUUAUUAUUUCGAUACAUACUCGCCAAUAACAAGGAUAACGUUCAUUCAGAUGUUGGUUGCGUUGACGACAGUAUAUGAUGUUGAAAUUCAUCAAAUGGAUGUGAAUACAACGUUCUUAAAUAGAGAAUUGAAGGGAGAAAUUUACAUAAAACAACCUAAGGGUUUUGUAGUUUCUGGUAAAGAAAAGAAAUUGUGCAAACUUGUUAAAACACUUUAUGGAUUAAAACAAGCACCCAAAUAGUGGUAUAUAAAAUUUGACCAAACCAUGUUGGCAAACGAUUUCAGGAUAAACGAAUGUGAUAAAUGUGUUUACAUUAAAGACACUCCAAAUCACAAAGUCAUUAUUUGUUUGUAUGUGGAUGACAUGUUGACCAUCAGUAGAGACAUUCUAACAUAAAUGCUAUGAAAUAAAUGCCUGAGGGCAAGUUUGAUUUGAAAGACCUUAGAGUUGCUGACGUAAUCUUAGGGAUAAGAAUUUUUAGAACUCCAUAGGUAUUGGCGUUGUCACAGUCGCAUUACAUUGAAAAGGUGUUUGACAAGUUCAAGCAUUUAGAUUUCAAUAUUGUUGAGACUACAUUAGACAUGAGUUUUGCAUUUCAAAAGAAUGAAGGUGAAAGUAACUCACAGUUGGACUAUGCAAGAGUGUUGAAAAGUUUGGUGUAUAUAUCAUAAAUUGUACGUGAGAAGACAUAGAAUGCACUAUUAGUAAAUUAAGUCGGUAAAAGACUACUCCUAAUCAAACUCAUUGGAUGGAUAUGAAAAAAGUUUUAGGGUAUCUAAAACAUACCCAAGACUAUGUUUUUAUUAUAACAAAUAUCCAGCGUAGAUGAGGUGACUUUUCAAAAUAAUGUAAUUUUUCGUGAACCAUUACUUUCUUUCUGAAGCACCACAUUGUGGCUAUAAAUGCCUGAAUUUUUCCUCUGAUAAAGGUAUGAAGAUUUGAAGGGAAAAACAUUUUCUUUUUCUUCUUAAAACUCUGGUAUGAUCUUCAAACUAUUGAGUGAGUUCGUUGUUCAGAAAAUUUGAGGUACCACUAUUUUUUGAAGAGAAUCAUUUUUCGUAGGGAGGAUAUAUUCCUUUAACCUCGAGUACUUGACUAGAAUAAUUUUUUUAAGGAUACAUCGUGAAUUCAGUGGAUUUGACUCAAUCGUUUCUGUCUUCAUCCCAUUUUCUUAAAGUUGGUUUUAUUAUUUUUCCAGAAAAAUAGUUUGAACAUUAUAUUGAUAGUUCUUCAUUUGUUUGAACUUGUGUUUGAAGUUUUUGAAACUUCAUUUUGAUAGGUUAUAAGUUGUUGAACUUGUGUUGAAGUUAUUGUGGAUUAAAUACAGAUUUUGUACAAAAAAUAAUACGAAAUAGCUGUGAAACCUUGGGGAGCGACCAACUAAAAGAAUUUGCACCGAAGUCGAUCCGAAAUCACUUUCAAAGUAAUGGCUUACCACGACACAAUAUUUUCAGUUCCAUAUUAAUAUUAGAGUAAUUUUUCCAACAAGUGGCAAAGUUUGUUAUUUAACUACAAAAUUUGUUCGUCAACAAAUCCUUGUUUUUCUUUUGUUGGGUAGUAUAUUUUGGUUUUAUCUAAUCAAUCUAUUGACAAGCUAAGCGCCUACGAAAACGAUGUAGAUGUUCUACCUACGGGGGCGGGGGGGUGUCUAUUACAAUUACAAAAAUAAACUGAAUGUUGAGUUUCAGUUCCACUAACACCUUGCAAAAGUGAAUUACCCAUGAAAGAUGGGGGUAUUAUAUCAAAAAAAAAAAACAUAUCUUUUGUUGUUUUCUAAUUUCUAACGAUAUAUUUUUGAUCCAUUGCUUUCCCAUAGUAUGCUAACUUGACAGCCACUUUUUUUUGCUUUUCUAUAUACGUGGAACACUUUUUUUUUCGUCAAAAUGCGAAUCAUAAUUUAAUCCGUCAAUUUUUACUAAAUUGUAAUUGUCUUUUUUUUUUUAUAAACAGAGAUAGCAGGUAACCCAAGAAAAAAAAAUGUCUAGCAGAACAUAUUACGCAUCCUCGAAACUACUAUGACCUAUAAAACUAGAUGAUAAAAAAAUUGGUUUUAUCAUACUGGCACACUUGUAGAUGUUCCAUAAUUCAUGUAAAUUUACUUCAGAUGAAUUGUAGUUUUUGUGUUCAAAUUCAUAUAAAAACGAAAUGAUUUAAGUUUCGUUCUUUGAAUAUCGCCAUACAGAAAUAAAAUAGAACAAGGGGAGUACUUUUCUAGGUCUCUAUUUGAUAUUUUAUCAGUAACAAUUUGAAAAUAGUCAUAACUCAUACACGUAGUAGUAGGUGGAAAUGUUUCUGAUUGAAUUCGGCAUAAAAAUAUUUUUAUGGAAAAAAAGUUUCUUCUAGUUUUGGUUUAUAAGUGGAUCAAUUUUUGUGGAAAAAAAGUUUCUGCUAGUUUUGGUUUCUAAGUGGAUCAUUCCCUAGCGCUCUACUAAAUGAUUUAAUUUUAUAUAAAGAAGAUGAAAUUAUAAGAAAAAAGAGAAAAAAGAAAAAGACUAGAGAUCUAAAGAAGGGAAAACUUAAAGUAUGUGGUAAUAACUUCUUUUAUUCAUCACAUAAUCUCUGCAUUUUGCAAGGAGAUUGAAACUGAGCAAACAUACACAAAGACAUAAAAGUAAAAAUACAAAUAUAAAUAGAGUACAAACAAUAUCACUAAUAACUUAGAGAACAUGAAGCUACAAAAGAACUUCGCCUCCCGUGGGGCUUAUUGUUUACUCUUUUUUCUUCUUUUUGGCAUUGCCUCUCGAAAUGGAAAAUGCCUUUCCUUGAGCUCAACAUUCUGCUUUUCCUGCAUAAGAAUAUAAUAUUGUCAAUGAGAACAUAUAGUAACUGAUUAAUAAACCUAAUAAGUAGGAGAUAGCAUAGGCUUAUAUAUUAAUGCGUUUGCAUGAAGAAAUUGUGCAACUUGUAUUGAUUUGCAUUUAGACAAAUCAUUUUUAAGAAUUUUAGUUUGGCUUAAUUACCUUAGAUUUGAUGUUGUUGUUUCUUAGUGAUGGUAGGGAGGAGGUGGAGACUUGUAAACCGGAGUUGGUGGUGGUGGAGACUUGUAUACUGGUGCAGGAUGGUGUGGUGUUGGUGAAGGAUGGUAUGGAUUCACUGGUGGUGGUGACUUGUAAACGGGUGUUGGUGGUGGUGGAGAUUUGUAUACUGGUGCAGGGUGGUAUGACUUCACUGGUGGUGGUGGUGACUGGUAAACGGGUGUUGGUGGUGGUGGAGACUUAUAAACUGGUGCAGGAUGAUAUGGCUUCACUGGUGAUGGUGGUGACUUGUAAACGGGUGUUGGUGGUGGUGGAGACUUAUAAAUUGGUGUGGGAUGAUAUGGUGUUGGUGGAGGAUAGUAUGGCCUCUUAGGUGGUGGUGGUGACUUGUAAACUGGAGUUGGUGGUGGUGGCGACUUGUACACUGGAGUGUGUGGCGGGUAGUAUGGCUUUUUGGGUGGUGGUGGGGACUUGUAAACUGGAGUUGGGGGUGGUGGAGACUUGUAAACUGGGGUGUGUGGAGGGUAGUGUGGUGGUGACUUGUAAACUGGAGUCGGGGGUGGUGGAGACUUGUAAACUGGGGUGUGUGGAGGAUAAUGUGGCUUCUUUGGUGGUGGUGGGGACUUGUAAACUGGAGUGUGUGGAGGAUAGUGUGGCUUCUUCGGUGGUGGUGGUGACUUGUAAACAGGAGUUGGUGGUGGUGGCGACUUGUGAACUGGUGCGGGAUGAUAAGGUGUUGGUGAAGGGUGGUAUGGCUUCUUAGGUGGUGGUGGAGAUUUGUAAACAGGAUGAUGAUGGUGUGGUGGAGGGGACUUAUAUACUGGGUGGUGAUGGUUUGGUGGAGGAGACUUAUAUACUGGGUGGUGGGGUGGAGAUGGAUAGACAUGCACUGGUGGAGGAGGAGAUGAAUAAUGAUAAUUUGCAGAGCUUUCAGAAGCUAAGCUAAGUGACACUAAAACCACCAAAAGAGUGGCAACUAGAGAGGCCAUUUUCCCCAUAUUUGAAACAAAGGAGAGAAGUUGUUGUUCUCUUAAGCCACACUUGAGCCCCUUUAUAUAGCUUUUAUUUAGGCAUUUAUCCUUUCCAAGAAUUACAUAAAUGAAGUUAAAAGUCUCAAUAAAAUGCUUAAAACCUACAAAAAGUUAAAUGGCAUUUUAAUUUGGUUUUGUCAUGUUGUCGGCUCAAAUUAACUUGAGUAGGUAUAUUUUUUUGUUGCAUUGAGGCUGCCAGCUAACUAAGCAAAGGAAUAAACUAUUAAGGACGCUAUGCUAUUUGUGGUGCAAUAAUUCAAAGAGAAAGUCUUCUUUUUUCCAUCUUUUCAGUAUAUUGUAUUGAAGCCUUGAAAAAUAUGUGUGGAUCCCUCAACUUCCCAUGAUAAUUACAAAAAUUCAGCGCAACUUGCUUUUUUUUUUUUUUUAAUAUUACACCUUACUUUCCUUUGACAUUUCUAUUCACAUGUAUAUAUGAUUAUGAAUUUAUGAUCAUUAUAAAAAGAUAAUUAUGAAAGUACUUUACCAUAAUCACAAACAGUUGCAUGCAUUAAAUGUUAAAUACAAUAAAGUUAAUUUUCAUCAUGAUUAGUGUCAGUCCUUAUGUCGUUCAAAAGUUGAUUUUACCAAUAAAGCUCAACUAUGUCAGUGAUUUAUAAUAAAGUAAUUACAUUAAGUUAAAUUUAACCUGUAAGAUUGAUGCUUCUAGUGAAGAAUAUAUUAGGAUAUGCGAAUAGGAGAAUAUAAACAUAUCAGUAUUCAAGCUUAGUUUUUUCAUUUUGAGUAUAAGGAAUUACUGCUAUUUAUGGCAUUCUAGUGAAAGAAACAUAAUUGUACCAAUUGCCUACCAAAAAAAUAAUAAUUGUACCAAUUAAUUCGUGUGUUACGUGUUCUGACUGGUUAAAUAACCUUCACAUGUUCAAGAAGCCUGUCAGGGAUAUUUCAACCUAUCCUGUCUCUAGGCUCUAGCUAUCAUAGCACACAUGAAUAGAGAAAAACAGUAAAUACAUUAUGUCACAAGAGUAGUAUAAAAUAUAAAUAUGAUGUAUUAGUAGUAAUACUUACAUUGAUAAUGUGGGUGUUAUUAUACUUGAAUUAGUUAUGUUUAGAUUUGUUUAUGUAAUAUUUGGUUUGAUCUAUUAAAAAUAACAUGCAUUAUUACAUAAUUUCUAAAAGUAUAUAUACAUUCAAACAUCUUUAUAGUGACGUCUUGUUCGAAAAUUUUAUGACUACUACAGUGAAGUGCUGUAAUAUAUGUAUACUGACAAUUGACUUUCAGAUCUCAUUUAGCGAUUAUAAAUAAAAAUAUGCAAAAUUAGUCGCUGCUUGAAUAUAAAAACGGCAAAUAUUACUAACCUUUUCCCCUUGAAGUUAUUAAAUAAUUAGUGUGCGCUAUUUAAAUAUAUUUUUUCCUUUAAAUUAGAUAUGCGUACUAAAAAUUUACUGUUUGCAUAACAUUAAUGAUAAUUACCAUAAAUAUUUUGAUAGUUUAUUUUGUACGUAAUAUAUUUCUUAUAAAAUAUUAUUAGAUAAUAUUUAAAUAUGCUAUUAUAGAGAGGUAAUUUUACAAAGAGUAUACCACUAUAUAAUAAACGUCAUUAUCGUUAUAGGUAGAAUGAUGUCAUAGAGAAGUAAUAUAUAACAUAAAAAAUUAAUUUCGGAGAAAAUCAGACCGCUAUUGUGAAAUAUUGUUAUAACGAGGUGACGUUAUUAUAAGAAAAUGGCUAAAUUGUGACAAAGAUUUUAGUCACAAAUCUGUCACAAAUCAUUGAUUGUGAUGGAUUUGUGACAGAAAAAUGUGCAUCUCAGAACCUUUGGUCAUAAAAUCAUUGUGACGGAUUUAAUUUUCGUCAAAAAAUUAUUGUGACGGAACUGAGACAGAUCGUCCGUCACAAUAUAAAUCCUUAAAUUUGACUUAAAUUUCGUCACAAAUUUAUAACAGAUUUGUGACAAAAUAUUACGUUAUAAAAUAGUGACAGAAUAAUUUCCGUAACAAAUUUUCAAACCUAGUCACCACAAUUGUGACAAUAUAUUUGGUUACAAAGAAUUUGUGACAGACUAAUUCAGUCACAAUAUGACUCUCUUAUCUAUAUUAGUAACAAAUUUAGGAUAGAUUGUGACAAAUUAAAUCUGUCACAAAUUUUAUUUGAAUUUUUAAUUUUAAUACAUAAUAAUUACGAAAUACUAUGCUCUCUCUCACACUAUAUAUAUAAAAAACAUAAUAUAGAAGAUUUAUAAUAUAAAAGUCUGAAGUUAAUUAAAACAUGCAAAAUCACAACUUCAAUAAGCAAAAGUCUGCCAAUGUUUAAAAUUUAAAGCGUAUAACUAUCCAAAAAAGUGUGACAAUAUUCAAGUCGACACUUCAAGUAACUAAAGUCUCAAAAUAUUAAACACUUAAGCAUUAGAUGAGUCCCUAUUAGGGAGAGUAGGAUUACUAAAUGAGCGAGAAGUUAAUGUCAUAUCGCUCAUCAUGUGAGACCAUUGCUCUUCCAUAGAUUUUGAAUCGAUCAUCACUUUGUUGCCUCAAACGGGAAAGCUCCUGCUCUACUUGUUGUUGCACCUCCGCUUCUACACGUUCUUGAAGAACUCUCUCUUGAUUUUCUCUCAUUUGUGAAUAUAAUGAAUUUGCCUUUUCCUAUUCGAAAUGUUCAGUUUAUCCAUUCCUUUUUCAUUUGUUCAACCUUCACACCAACACAAAAAAAAGUAUAUUUCAUUCCUUUAAAAGCAACAUAUGACUUAUCAAAUGAAGAGAGACGAAAAUAGCUCCAAUCCAAUAAGUAAAUCAAAAUGUUUCUGCUAAUAUAUGAUGUAGAAGUUAUACUAAUCAGUUAGUUACCAAGUAGAAUCAAGGCACUUAGUAAUCCAACAGUAUCAUUCCUCACCUCCAUAUAGCAUGUAACGAAAAUCUGUUUAGCCAAGGAAGUGGAGCAACUAACAUACUGAAGAAAACAAAAGAGCAUUUUUCAUAUCCAAUCAAAUGAAAGCUACUACUGGUUAUCAAGAAAGAAAAAUGUAAAAUAACUAUCAAACACUUUUUGAUAGAAUAACUAACUAUCAAACUCUACGAGUUCACAAACGUCGAAAAGUUCAUCUUGCAAAUGAAACAACCUCCCUAGAUAGUCGAGAAGAAAUUAAGAAGAAGUGGGAAGGUUUAUACACUAACAACAGGCCAUUUCAGUUUGGCAAUGCUUAUGGAAACAAAUAUGAUAUCAAGUAUGCCAUUACAAGUUUCUCCAAAAAGUUAUUCAAGGAGCAACAAUAGAUGGUGGAUUUUAAACCGCAAGUCCAAAUAUAUAAAGAAAAAAGAAGAAGCGGAGGAUAACAUCGCAGCAGCAAAGAGCUUGAACAGAGGAGAAACGCAGCAGCAAAGAGGUUGAACAGAAAAGCAUAAAAAUAAAUCACAUCUGUUUCACUCAUAUAGAUCACAACUGACAGCCACCCCAGUUUGGAAUGUCAGAGUUGACAAAAUCCAGAAGCUAUAACUCUUAUCUUUUGACCAGAUAUUUGAAAAUCUUGUGACGGCCAUCACUCAAAAUAAAUGCAAUUCCCAAAUGAAACUAUAUAAUCACAAGUCCAAAAGCUUGAUGCAGAUCAGAUUUAUAGACUUUGUGAGGAUAAAUUCAGCUAAUAAGAUAAUGAACAUGCCAAUUAUGGAUUUUUGUGUGGGUGUGGGUAUAGGGGGUGAGGGUGAGCCUGAGCUUAUAGCUACUCAACUAACUUCCCCAUUUCUUUUGGGGGAGUAGUGACAACUGGUUCAGUAUAAAAUUGAGAGCCAUUGAGUGAUUUAUACCAAUAAAACUGCAAAAUACACAUGCUUAACAGAAGGGCUCGCGUUCUUAGCAACUAUUGACUCCAACUCGCAAUUGAGAAGAGAAGAAAAAUGGAGAACACGAAUGAAUGACAAUUGAUCUCAGUCUACCCUUGAGAAAACAGGCAACACAACACAGAUGUUUUGAUAAUUUUUUGGAAAUAAAAGCAUAAGAGAGAACAGAAAAAUCUAAGAGAGAAGCACGUCCACGGGUACACAUCUAACUGGUACUACAGGAAUAGACCUCCUGACCCUAAAUUCUAGGCCAAAGUUAAUUAGUUGUUCACAAUAAAAGUGAAGGUACUUACAAAAACAUAAAGCAGAAGCAGAAAGAUCAUUACAUGAAAAUGUUGCAGGCAUACAUAAAUAUUGAUACAAGAUCAAAUUCAAACACAAGAAGCAAACCACAACAAGAACAACAAGAUGUCAAGGACAAUGCUAGUGAAUCGAAAUAGGCCACACACGGCUUCAGUAGAAUGAUAGUGAAUCAAAAUAGGCCACACACGGCUUCACUAGACUUCAAGAUUUCAAUAAAAAUUAGAUUUUUAAGAGUACAAGAUUGCAACAAGUGUAGUGAAUCGAAAUUGGCCCCACACGGCUUCACUGCUUCAAGAUACAAACAACAAGUCACUCUACUUGCAAGAUCUAUAUUGAUCUCAAGCUUUCUAGAUCUAAAGAAUGAGAAGCUUAUUAGCAAACUUAAAUUAAUGCUCUUCAACUUGGCAUCAACAAAACUGUCAUCCUUUUUUGGUGCAACUUCUUAAAUAUCUCUCAUAAAUUUGGUUCACGGCCCAUUUUGGUUGCCUGAAAAAAAGUUCAACAUUAAAAUCAGAGAUAAAGUCAAAGAAUUAAUCUAUUAAAGUAUGAAAUUUACCAAUUUUAUAGUAUGCUCCACUAUUGACCUGGAACCACCGGUAUGCUUGCUUGGACCAGUGCCUGGACCACCAGUUUCACUACAUCGAUUUUGAGUUGUAAUAUGAGAUUUGUUCUUAAACUCAUCAGAAGCCCAAUAUGUCUUCCAGCUUUUGCCAAACAUUAUCCGACAUAAAAUUUGAUUUGUUUAUUUCUCUUCGCCAAUGAUAUGUUCUUUUUGUAUAUAAGUUGGAUGCCACCUUCUUCCAGGUGCAUUCGAUUAUGGAGUAAUCUGUAGGAUUUCACUAAUAUGAUUUCUUGAAAAAAAAUUAGUUAGAGACAUAAACACAACAAUAAUAUUAUAAAUUUUUAAUAUAAAACAAUAUUUACCAUGAAUUCAUGCCAAUAGAAUUUACGAGUGGAUUCAGUAACACCCCUCCAUGUGUAUUCAGUAGCAUCUUGUCGUUCCUUAAAAUUUUCUGUGAUGGUCUUUGAGAUAGAAUGACCAUUAGGAACAAACCUGAAAUAUAAUUAUAAAGAUUAAAUUAUACAUUUUAUGAAAUUUAUUUUUAAAAAAAGGUAAAUAACUUUUGUAAAAUUAUCUUUUCUUACUUUUCCCGACAACUGAUAUGACCAACCGCCUAGUUGUUAAUGAGUUGUUACUAGACCCAAUAGGGAUAUCUACGGAACCAGGAGUAUCAGGAGAACCAGCAACCAAUGAUGGCGUAUCACUCAUAUUCUAAAAUGACAAUUAUUCUAUAACUGCAAAACAAAGUCUAUGAAAAAUGAAUUAUGCGAAAUAAAUUGUUAAGAAAGACAUAAAGAAAGAAGAAAAAAAUUAUCACUUUUACCCAUUUUAUUCCACUUUAACAAGAAAUGUAUCAGUGCCUUCUGACACCAGAAACAACCGCACCAAGAAGCAUAAAGAAUCUUAAAGUUCAAAACUUUUCAGCUAUUUCAAGGACUCUAACAACACCCAUAAUCCACAAAAGGAAAUCUAAAUCUCAAAACUUUAAUUCAAAACACUUCAAGAACUUAGCUUUUACAGUCACACAAGAACAAGAAAGAGCAUCAAGAUUCAAGAGACAAUCCGAAGACAUAAACAAUAACAACAAGAAGAUAGUAAGAAAAUCGAGGUAUAAGAGACAAUCUAUUCCAACAACUGAUUGAGAUAAAUUCCAACUUAGUCUAUUCCAUACCUCAAAACAAUCUAUUCCAACGACCGCUUGAGAUAAAUUCCAACUUAGUCUAUUCCAACAGAACUCUAACUUAAUUUAUUCCAUACCUUAAAACAAUCUAUUCCAACGACUGCUUGAGAUAAAUUCCGAUAAUCUAUUCAAAACAAUCUAUUUCAACAGGCAAAAAACAAUCGAAAUUGAGAUAAAUUCCAACAAUCUAUUUCAUACCUCAACAAGUUGCAAAAUCGACCUAUUCCAUACCUCAAUAAGUUGUAAAAAAAAUAGAAAUUGAGAUAAAUUACCUCAACGAGUGAAGAAGAAGAAUCGAAAUUGAGAUGAACUAAGAGCUUGUUCGUAAUUUUCAAUUCCAUCCAAAUCUAGAGGGAAAAGUUAUGAGAAAAAAAUUGUAAUGAAUCGUGGUUUUACAUACACGGUUAACAACUAAAAGACCAGGCUUUUCAGAAACUGAAUACCAUUUAAUAUCCAAUUGUAUCCAUUUUAAAAAUUAGAAUUAACCAGCAGACAUCCCAAUCUUACCAUUCGAAAUUUCAAAAAGAAGAUUGGAUCUUUUAGUGUUUGAAAAGUUUGAAGUUAGCAUCAAAUAAAAGAUUGCAUUAGUUUUAUUUAAUGAAGGACGUAAUAAGAGGGAAAAGUGAAAAACAGAGAAAGCAGAAGAGGCAUGCGAGUAAUUCAAUUGCUAGGGCUUAACAAGUCUUGUAAUAAAGAGAAAAAAGAAUUAGUGCAUAAAAUCGAUCGAUUUCAAAGUGCAAGUAAGGUAUUGUAGUCCAUAGAUAUUUCCAUUUUUUCGACAAUACACUCAAUUUAACUACAUAAAAAAUAUAGAGAGAUGAAAGGAUUUUGUGGAGUACAUCAUCUGGGAGUGAACUUAUUCUAUCAAUUCCUUCAAUCUUGGAUUUUCUUGAAGAUGUUUAUAUCAAUUCCAUUAGUAUAUCUUCAGAUUUGAACUAUUUAAAAACAACAAAAAUAGAAACAAAAUUAACUUGCCUUGGAGAUUAAAGAGGUAGAAUGGAUUUCUUCACAAUCAUGCUGGCCCAGCUACCUAUCUUCAUAAACACUAGCAUCGAAACAGAUUUUUUGAGGAAAAAAUGUAUACAGCGGGUGUGUUUGGUAGUGAGGGAAAUGCUUUUCUUCUUCCAAAUAAGAGGAAAAACGAUAUAUGUAAAAAAAAAAAAAAGAAGGGAAAACUAAAAAACUUUUAGAACCAAUUCUAUUUUGACGGAAAAAGAUCCGUCACAAAUAAUUUUUUUUAUAUUUUUUGUGACGGUAUAAAUUAGUCACAAAUUUUUAUUACAUUAAUUAUUUUUUAAAAAUAAAUAAAUUGUGAUGGAAUGCUCAAUCUGUCACAAAUUUAGUCAAGGAUUUGUGACAGAAAGUUAUUAUUUUUCUUUUCAACUUUAAUUUGUGACAAAUUAUGUCUGUCACAAAAAUUAUAUUUAAAUCUGUUAAAAAAUUAUCACAAAUCUGUUACUCUUUGAAUAUUUAUGUGAAAAUAAAAAAAUUUAAAUAUAUUUAUGCAAAAAUAAUUCAUCAUAAAUUCAUAAAAAUUCUAUCACAAAUUGUGACAGAAGUGUUCUGUCUCAAAUAUUCCAUCAUAAUUUGGCCAUUUUCUUGUAGAAAAAUCUGAUUGUAUUUGUUUAAAAAUUAUCCUUCACAAAUAUGAUGGAAAGGACGUGACAAAAGUUUUGAGGAGUAAUUGUAUCAUUAAUCAAGCUAAUGGCAUGUGUGCUUGAAGCCCUUUAUAUUACUAAUAUAUGAAAAUCCAUGGUAUUGGUGGAUACUAUUGCCUCCCACCAACAAUAAAUAUUAAGUAACUCUAAAGAAUCGGCUAGUGUUUUUCGCUUCUGCUUGAAUUUGAAUCGGAGACCUCAGAUUCUCAACCUACUUUAUUGACCAUUAAACCACAACUUUGAAUGCUAAUGCAUGCAUUAUUUUUCUCUAAUACUCUCUACCAAACGAUCCAUGAGAAAUUGAUCAAGAACAAAGUCCGUUGAGCACUUUCAAGGUGAUUUUUUCAUUAAAUAAAGAAUCAAUUACUUGACUCCAAUCAUGAAACUCAAAGUUAGUAGGUAAAUAGAGGAUUUAAAAUAUAAAGAAGUAAAUAUUUAAAAAAAAAAAUAAGAAGAAGAGAACUCAUUUAUCUACUAUAUACUAGAUAUCAGGGGCCCGUGCUAGCACGAGCCAAUAUAUAUAUAUAUAUAUAUAUUACUUUUUGGUUUCAAUUUAUGUGAAAUAAAUAGAAUUUAGAUGAUAAAAUAAUUUAAAUUUUUAAUUAAUUAUUAUGAUUUAUAAUAUUUUUCUUAAAUUUCAACUGAAGUGACUAAUAUAAUUAGAGAGUCAUCUAAAUAUUUUACAUCUUAUAAAUUUUGUAAGUUAUUAAUUAUGUACUUUAUAAUAUUUUGUACAUAAUUUUUUGAUAAGAUAUGAAUACUCUCUCCAUCUCAAUUUAUGUGGCACAGAAAAAAUUUUGACAGUCAAUCUUAUAUAUAUAUAUAUAUACAUACAAUACACACACAUAUAUAUACACACACAUACACAUACAUACAUACAUACAUACAUACAUAUAUAUCUAUAAUCUAUAAUCUAUAAUCUAUAAUCUAUAAUCUAUAAUAUAUUAAAAGUGUGAAGACCCUUAGAAAAUUGAUUUAAACUUUUUGUUCUUCAUUAAAAGACUCUUCUUUAGACAAAACUAUUUUUUUCAUUAUCUUCUUUAAUUUAUUAUUCAAUUACUUUUAUUAGAUUAUUUAGACUUCUAAAAUAUAUGGGACUCCUAAAAUAUAUGGAAGGAGAAUCAAUUAAUAUUUUUUCUUGUAUUGAUCAAUUAGAAAAACAUUUCUAAAAUAGAAUAGAAAGAUACUCCUAAAAUAAGACUCUAUUGAAGAAAUACUUAUAUAAAUAUUGAGAUGUAUGUUAAACUUUCGAAGAAAUCAAUUUACUUAUUGGGAAAAUAUGAUUGAUGAUCAUCUAAAUUAAUUCGGUUGCAUGUCUAGAUUGGUGGAUGCUUAAUUUUUUAAUGCUCAACUUCUAUGUCGGUCAAUUUUGAGGAAUUUUUUUAGGUAAAGGUUUGGUUUAAUUGUAUUAUUUUUAUAUCUUUGUUUUGAAUUUUUUUUUUUAUGUAAAGAUUGAGUUUAGUUGUAUUAUUUUGAUAUUUCUAUUAUCGUAUUAUUUUGUUAUAAUUUACAGAUGGUAGAUGAGUGUCAGACGGCUAUGAGAGAAUUUUUAUGUAAAAGUUAGAUUUAAUUAUAUUGUUUUGAUGUCUCUAUCAUCGUAUUGUUUUGUUGCAUUUUACAGGUGUUAGAUAAAUGUCGAACGACUUUGACAAAUUUUUUUGGUAAAAGUUAGGUUUAAUUAAAUAAACUCUUCAAAAGAUGUUGAUUUAAUUACUUUAUUUAUCUUUGUUAUUUAGACAAAUAUCUUUUUUAGUAUAAUGUUUGAACUCAAUAAAGUGAUCACACGCGCGAGGUGCGUACACCUAAACUAGCAUAUAUAUAUAAGAAGAAUACAUAUACAGACCCUUGAACUAUUUGACUUUUUCUGUAUUGGCACCUCAAUUAAGCCUUGAACCUAUUAAACCCUUUACUCCUUCACAAACAGUGUCAAUUAAGCACAAAUCGUACAAUUUCAGAUUAAAUCUGGUGUGUGAAAUCCUCUUGCCAUGACAUGAAAAUUAUAGCCAAUGAUAAAAUUACAUGUCAUCAAAGAAAAAAAUCAAAAAAAUAUUUUUUAAAAAAAAUGAAAAAUAAUUUUAUUUCUUUACCUUCUUCUUUCUCUAUCCUUCCACCAUUAAACCUCACUUUCAAUUCUUCAUUUUUCCACCAAAACAACACCCAACAACCAUCAAAGGAGGAAACAGUUUACCAAUUCAAUACACAUUCAUAUACAACAAACAACAAUAACAAUUUAAAAAAAAAUAUAUUAUUUUUUGUCUUCUUCUUCCUUUAAUCUUCCACCAUUAAAAUUCACCUUUACUCCUUCAUUUUUCACCAAAACAACACCCAACAAUCAUUAAAGGAAGAAAAAGAUCUCUUACUUUUGAGGAAUUAAGCGAUGGCAUCAAGAACUUUUACACGUUCCGCCAUCAAUUUUCAUUGACCAACAUCAAUUUUUGAUGUUGAAUUUUUCCACAAAAAAUCAAUUGUAAUGUUGAGAAUUUUGAUAUGGAAAAAAAAAAUUUAAAAAGAAAAUUACAGCAAAUUAUGGUUUCUCACUCUCCUAAUGGAGAGUGUAUUACACAUGUCAUGUUAGCAAUAGUGCUUUAUUGACCCUGUUUGUGAAGGAGUGAAGGGUUCAAUAGGUUCAAGGCUUAAUUGAGGUGUGUAUACAGAAAAAAGUCAAAUAGUUUAGGGGCGUGUGUGUGUGUGUGUGUGUGUAUAGUGCUUUAUUGACCCUGUUUGUGAAGGAGUGAAGGGUUCAAUAGGUUCAAGGCUUAAUUGAGGUGUGUAUACAGAAAAAAGUCAAAUAGUUUAGGGGCUUUUGUGUGUGUGUGUGUGUGUGUGUGUGUGUGUGUGUAUAUAUAUAUAUAUAUAUGUGUGUGUGUGUGUGUGUGUGUGUGUGUGUGUGUAUAUAUAUAAAGUUCUCAAUUAUUAUGAUUUACAAUAUUUUCUUAUCUCAUUUUCAAAUAAUAUAUGUUACUUUAUGUGUUCCUCCAUCUCAUCUCAAUUUAUGUGGCACUAAUAUAAUUUCGAUAGACAAUUAAAUUUUUUAUGUUGACAUAUUAUUUUGUUCCAAUGUUAUCUUUUUUAUGAAAUAUUAUUAAUAUUUUAGUGUUUAAAUGAUCAUAAUAUAGUAAAAUUACGAUUAAAGCUGUGAAACAGACAUGUCUUUUUAUGAUGUUCAUAGUCAAUUAUAUUUUUAAAAUAAUUUAAGUUUUUAACUAUUGUGAUUUGUAAUAUUUUUCUUCUAUUCCAAUUUAAGUGGCAUUGAUAUAAUUUCGAGAGCCAACCAAAUAUUUUAUAUCUUUGUUUUCUAAGUUGUUAAUUAUUGCGAUUUAUAACAUUUUUUAUUUCUUGAAAUAUAUAACAAAUUAAUUUUUUUUAGAUUUUUUAAGUUGUUAACUAUUGUAAUUUAUAAUACUUUUUAUGUAAUUUUCAAAUAAUAUAUUACUCUUCUUGUCCAAACUUUUGUGGCAUUGAUAGUCAAUCAUAUUUGUUAAAUAAUUUAAGUUUUUAAUUAUUGUGAUUUAUAAUAUUUUUUCUUCUAUUUCAAUUUAAUUGACACAAUGCUUAGAUGAUCAUAAUAAUUAAUUAGGUGUAAUAUUUAGUAAAAUUACGAUUGAAGUUACUGAAGCAGACAUGUUAUAAAUGUUUAUUUUAUUGUUUAUUAAAUAUGAUUAAUUUUUUAAUAUAUAAAUAAAUUAUAAUAAUUAAUUAGGGAUAAUAUAAUAAAAUCACGAAGCAAGCUGUCGAAGCAGACAUUUCGAAACUAAGUUAUUGCUCUCACACUUCGAAUAUACUCUCUUUGUUUCAAAAAGAAUGACCUACUUUCCUUUUUUAGUUUGUUUAAAAAAGAAUGAUCCCUUUCCUUUUUUGACAAUACUUUAAUUUCAACUUUCCACAUGACAUGUUCAGGACCAUAAGAUUAAAGAACAUUUUGAUACAUUUGACAACUUUAAUUUAGGGUCACAAGAUUCAAAAAUCUUCUUUAUUUUUUAAAACUUUGUGCCAAAUCAAAAUAUGUCCUUUUUUUCAGCAGAAGUAACUACUAGAAAUACAUUAAUAUAAUUUUUUGACAAGACGCCCUUAGCUCCGACCAUAUCCCUAAGACCCAACGACUCACACUCCGACUUGGAAGUGAGUCAGGCGGGAAUACUACGUGGAGCAUUUUUACUAGGUUAUUUUCAUAGGAUUAAAUCUAGAGAAGACGGGAGAAAAACUUUGCAUAUGGCCCAUUUUCAGUAACAAAUAAAGUAGAGUCAAUAACUCAAAUGGUCACUCAACUUUAGACUUUUAUCCCAGAAAGUCACUCAACUUUGGACUUUUAUCCCAAAAAGUCACUCAACUUUGAUCUCUACUCAGAAAGCCACUCAACUUUCACAUUUUUACUCAGAAAGUAACUCAAACUGAAUGACUUUCUGAAUAAAAAUGUGAAAGUUAAGUGACUUUCUGAGUACAAAUGUGAAAAUUGAGUGACUUUCUGAGUACAAAUGUGAAAGUUGAGUGACUUUCUGAGUAAAGAUCAAAGUUUAGUGACUUUCUGGGAUAAAAGUUCAAAGUUGAGUGACUUUCUUAGAUAAAAGUUUAAAGUUUAAAGUUGAGUGACCAUUUUAGUUAUUAACUCAAAUAAAGCAAGGUUGUUCUUUCUUUUUGACUGGUAGAGAAGGCAAAAAACUAUAUUGAAAUUUUGUGAUUCAACAGGAUUUUUAUUACAUAUGCAUAAUAAAUUUGUUUUAACCUUAUCUAUAUAGAGUAAUUUUUAGAUUAAAAAAUUUGAAUGAACUAUCUUGCGUUCCUAACUAAGGUCAUGUGCCCCCAAACCCAAGGAUUCUUUCUCAUGAGGCUUGAGCCGUCUAGAGACAUAUGUUAUAAUCUUGUCAUGGUGCAUCAACACACAAUAUAAUUAAAUAAUAUAUUUAAAUUGUAAAACUCGAUAAGUUGACUUUUCUAUAUUUCAAACACAAAUUCAAAAUCUUGGAUUCACCUCUCUCCUUGUCACACACCCCCAACUCAGAGGAUAGUAGAGGAAUUUCAUGCAUGUGUAACAUUUUUAUUAGGUCAUUUUCGGUGAGUUAAAUCUAGAAGAGAUGAGAGAAAAGAUAUUAAUGUAGCCACAUUUCAGUGCCAAAUAAAGCAAUGUAGUUAUUUCCUUUUGGGUGGUAGAGAAGGCAAAAAAUUCAAAUAUUUUUAUAGCUCAAUGUUGGAAAUUUAUGUGAUUCAAUAGGAUAUUUAUUAGUAAAUACAUAGUACAAAAAAAUAUGUGAACUUAUAUAUUAUUGUAAUUUAUCGACAAAGAGAUUUAGAUGAAUAACCUUGCACCCCUAGCUCCCGUCAUGCCACCAACCCAACAACGGAGCUAGAGUUCUUGCUGCAGGCCCCAUUAAUUUGGCCAAAAUCUUAUAUAUUGGUGUUAAGAAUUUACUUACUAUACUGGAAAAAGGGUCAAAUUUAUCUUUCCUUGUAUUUUUGGAUUAAAUUUAUCCUCGAUAUUAUAUUUUAGGUCAUAUUGACCUUCUUGUUAAGAAGCUUAAUUUCAGUGAAAAAAUUUGACUAAUAGAACUAAAGGGGUAUAUUUGUUUGUGUUUUUUUGUGGCUUGAGUCUGGUUGAACGGAUUAGAUUGGAUGUGUUUUAUUUUAAAAAAUAGGACAUUUAACUUUGAUUUGGAUUUUUCUAUUAAAGUAUUGGUAUGUGUGACAAGUUUCUUAACAACGAGGGUAUAUUUGACUCCAAAGUAUGAAAUCGAGGGUAAAUUUGAUCCCAAAGUAUGACGAAUGGUAUUUUAGCCAAUUUUUCAAAGUAAAAGAGUAAAUUUGGCCCCAAAGUAUGAAAAAGAAUAUAUUUAGUCAAUUUGUUAAAAUAAAGAUGUAAAUUUGCCCCUUUUUUCUACUAUAUAUAAUUAAAGGAUAAAUUAUGCGAAAACACAAACUUAAGAGGUAUAAAUACAUAAAAUUCCUUAUCUUUUAAAAUAUUUCAUAAAAUCUCAUAUUUCUCUUUUUCCUCUUGAUACAUAUUAAAUAAGGAAGUGACAUAUUUGCAUUUAUUUUAGAGAGGGAAAUAAUGGGAGAGAAUCUUUUAAAUAUCUAAAAAAAAAAUCAAAUUUAAAAAUUUCCAUCAGAUCUUAUUACUUGCAAUUUACAAGUUGAUUCAAUUUUUUUCCAUCUCUAUUUAGUUUUUUCCUUAAAUUUUUGAAAGUUUUACUGUGUACUUCAUGUUGACAGGCAUUUAUAUUUUUUGGAGAAUCCUCAUACUGUAGAAACUAAACAAUCUUAUAGUUUCCCGCUAAAUCAUGAAAAUGACGAUGACUACUGUAAUGAUUCACAAAAUUAGAUAUCGAAUUCGGCGUUGAUACAUAUAUAAUGUUGUUAAUUUCUUAAUACAUUUUCAUACUAUAAACGGUGAUACAUAUGAGUGAUAUAUUUACUGUCAAUAUAUUGGUGAUAGAUAUGAGUGAUAUAUCUGUUAUAAGAAUAUUGGUGAUAUCUAUGGCAGAUACUUUUUUAUAGUGAUUCAUAUUUUUUGAUUUACUUAUAAAUAUUUGAUACAUUUAACAUAGAUUUGACAUAUAUAAACUAUUGAUUUUUGUGUGAGAUUGAAUUUUGAAUAAUGCGUAAUGAGUAACUUGAUCAGAUGUAUCAUAGUGAUAGCAAAUGUAUCAUUAUGAUACAUCUAGAAGCGAUUUACUCCCCGUAAUAAUUGAAAAUCAGUUACUUCCUUAUUUAACUAACCACUCAGUUAUAAAUAUAUUACAAUGCAUAUGCAUCAAAACUAAAAAUAUAUCAUAAAAAAUAAAAUUUAAAAUAUUUUAUAAUUUAAUAAAAUUAUGAUAAAAUAUGUUACAACCCAAUAAAAAUUCAAAAUGCAUGUAAGUUAUCCUUAAAAUAGGCAAAAUCCCAUAAGCUAACUUUUCUAUAUUUCAAAGCUCACAAACUCAAAAUUUUGAGUUCACCUCUCUCCCUGCCGCAUACCUCAACUCUGAGGGUGGGAGGGGAAUUUCAGGCAUGUGUGGCAUUUUCAGAGAGUUAAAUCUAGAGAAGACAAAGGAAAAACUAUGCAUGUGGCCCAUUUUUAAGUACCAAAUAAAACAAUUUGUUCUUUCUUUUUGGAUGGUAGAGAAGGCAAGAAAUUCAACGACUUUGUAUCUAAAUAUUGAAAAUUUAUGCAGUUUAAUAAGAUAUUUCUGAAUGUCAAUUAUCUUAGAUUAUCAUCAUGGGAACAGACAAAGAGGUGGAAAAAUUCAUGUUUAAGCAAUGGACUAAAGUUAAUACUCCCUUCGUUUCGGAAUAAGUAAAUUAUUGGGGUAUUUAUUGGUGUUUCAAAAUAAAUGAAUCAUUAAAUUUUUUUUCAAAUUUACCCUUAUGAUUUGAUAACCAAUUAACUUUUGAAAAGGUAUUACAAAGUCAGUUUUUUUUUCUUUUUUUGGGUAAAAUAGAAAGUUAUGUUAAAUUUAUGUCUUUAAUGUUUUUUUCUUAAUCUAUGUGCAAAAAUUCAACAAUUCAUUUAUUAUGAAACGGAUGGAGUAAAAGGUAUCCAAAAGCUAAAAAGGGAAAAUGGAAUCCAGAAGGAUCCAGACAUACAACAUGUCAAAUUGUGGUAGGCAAAUGCAUUUGAGUAUUAUAAAAUCAUAACAUUUUAAAAUUAAUUAUUCAAGAGAGAGGAAAGAAACAGUGUAUUAUCUCUAAUAAAAACAUAAUUAAUUACAAAUUACAUUGUUAAAUUACUUAUAGCUAACAAAAGUUUUUAAAAAAUCAUCGCAAGCAGUCCGCGGCAAAAUAGAAUUAGCAAUGGAUUUUACUAUUGUAGCUACGAAAGUUGUCCAUAGUUUUUUUUUUUUUUUUUUUGUAGUGAUAUUGCGUGAGGGUAUUGUUAACAUUUAUAUAUUCAAAAGAAGGAAAAAAAAAAGAGAUUCUAACAACUUUCUGAGAAAAGUGAAGAUCCCAUAUAACUUAAAUAAUAAUUAUUAAUUCCUACAGUACUAAUUGAUGGGAGCUUAGACCUUAAUAUUCAAAAGCAUAAUACAAGUUUUUUAUAGUAAUUUGUCAGUGGCAAAAACUAAUAAAAGGAAGCUUCCACCUUAACUAAUGAACAAUAAUUUGUUAGUUUAAAGGCAAAGAGUAUCAGAACCACCAAUGUUUAUGCUCUCUUUUCUUCAAAUUUCUUUCAAGUAUCAUAUAUCCAGGGCUAAAAUCCAAUUCAAUUUGUCAAAAAUUCUAAGUAUAUAUCACCAAAUGCAUUGUCAUAUCCUGCUCUUGAUUUUUAAAGCAUCUUCUUUGCUUUUAGUUUUUGAAGCCAAUGUGAUAAAGUCCUCAAGAAAAUAGAUGAUUCUUGGUUUCAUAAUUUGAUUUUCUGACACUAUAAAAUAAAUAGAAUUAGUUGCAAACUUUGUCGAUGCUAAAUAGCUUUAGCUAUCAUAAGAUUUAAAUAGCUAAUUUCAUUGCUAAUUAAAUGCUAAAUAAGAUUAGUAACAAAUUUUUUUUGAGCCAAUAAGAUGAUCGUUGCUGAUUUCUGAUUUUUUUUUAAAAAAAAUUAUUUGAAAUAUUUGGACCUUUUAGAAUAUGUAUUACCAAAGAUUGAAAUUUCAAAUUCUAACAGUAAUGUGGCUACUGAAAAUUUGACUUGUCAAAGGGAGAAAGGACAAUCAAUUCAACGUUAGAUGACCGAACAUUUAAGAGAAAAUAGUCUAAAUCCCCUCCAAUCUAUACUCGAAAUUUCAAUUAUACACUUUAACUUUAUAGAAGUAUUAUGACUAGUUUAAAAUUGAAAUUAUUAUAUCUUUAAAACUGACAUGGUAAGGAGAGUCUGUUUCACUCUCCUUGAGAGAGUAAGCACCAAAAAAUCAUUAAAACUUUAUUAAAUUUAUAUAUAUCUUUAUUUAUAAUCUAUAUCUAUAAUGUAUAAUUUAUAUCUAUAAUCUAUAAUAUAAUAUAUAAUAAUAAUAAUAAUAAUAAUAUAUGAAAAGUGUGAAGGGCCUUAGAAAUAUCGUUUGAACUUCUUGUCUUUCAUUAAAAGUCUUCGUUUUAGACAAAAUCGUAUUUUCACUUUUUUUUUUAUGAUAUUUAAGAGUUGAAAAUCUAUAUCUAUAUCUAUAAUCUAUAUUUAUAUCUAUAAUUUAUAAUAUAUUAAAAGUGCGAAGGGUCUUACAGACGUCGUUUGAACUUUUUGCCCUUUAUUAAAAGUUUUUGCGUUAGACAAAAUUUUCUUUUCACUAUUUUUUCAUAAUAUUUAAGAGUUGAAAAUUAAUUAAAUAUACUUAUUGUAAAAUCUUUCCUUAUUAAAAUUCAUCAGAAUUAAUGAGAACUAAUACUAUUUCCAUUAGGUUAAGAAUUCUAAAUCAACUAAAUUUGAUUUUAGGAAAAUUUUAAAAAAAUCUAUAAAUCUACAUAUACAAUAUAUUAAAAAUGUGAAAACCAUUAGAAACGUAAUAGUUUAAAACCAACUAAAAUUUAAUUUUUGCAAAGUUGCUCAAAUAUUAGUAUAGUAAGUGAUUGUUUUUUUAUCCUUGCAUAGAGCUAGGACUUGAUUUAUUUAUUUUACAAAACUACUUUUUACAUCUUCUUUUUUAAAUUUUUAUUGUUUUUAAUUAGUAAAAAUAACUUGAUAUUGUACAUUAUUUAGGUUGGGAGUCUUUGUUUUAGACAAAAUCAUUUUUUCACUAUUUUUUCCUAAUAUUUAAAAGUUAAAAAUUAAUUAAAUUUAUUUAUGAUAAAAUUCCUUAUUAUAAGUCAUCAAAAUUUCACUAUUUUUUUCUAAUUCAAGAAUUGAAAAUUAAUUAAAUAUAUUUAUUGUAAAACAUUUCCUUAUUAAAAGUCAUCAUAAUUAAUGACAACUCAUACUUUUUUCAUUAGGUUAAGAAUUCUAAAUAAACUAAGUUUGAUUUUAAGAAGAUUUUAAAACUCUAUAAAUUUAUAAAUCUACAUUUGCAUCUACAAUAUAUUAAAAAUGUAAAGACCAUAAAAAAAGUAAUAGUUUAAAAUCAACUAAAAUUUGAUUUUUGCAAAGUUGUCCAAAUUUCUAUUAUAUAGAAGAGGUGGUUUCGACCACCUCUUACGUAAUUACCAAAACACCCCUCUACUCCCAUUUAAUUACAUAUCAUAUCCCAAUAUAUAAUAAUUUCAUUAUUUCAUUAUAAUGGUUUAAAUAUUUAAUAUAUUCUAUUAAUUUAUAUUAAUUAACUAUAACNNNNNNNNNNNNNNNNNNNNNNNNNNNNNNNNNNNNNNNNNNNNNNNNNNNNNNNNNNNNNNNNNNNNNNNNNNNNNNNNNNNNNNNNNNNNNNNNNNNNNNNNNNNNNNNNNNNNNNNNNNNNNNNNNNNNNNNNNNNNNNNNNNNNNNNNNNNNNNNNNNNNNNNNNNNNNNNNNNNNNNNNNNNNNNNNNNNNNNNNNNNNNNNNNNNNNNNNNNNNNNNNNNNNNNNNNNNNNNNNNNNNNNNNNNNNNNNNNNNNNNNNNNNNNNNNNNNNNNNNNNNNNNNNNNNNNNNNNNNNNNNNNNNNNNNNNNNNNNNNNNNNNNNNNNNNNNNNNNNNNNNNNNNNNNNNNNNNNNNNNNNNNNNNNNNNNNNNNNNNNNNNNNNNNNNNNNNNNNNNNNNNNNNNNNNNNNNNNNNNNNNNNNNNNNNNNNNNNNNNNNNNNNNNNNNNNNNNNNNNNNNNNNNNNNNNNNNNNNNNNNNNNNNNNNNNNNNNNNNNNNNNNNNNNNNNNNNNNNNNNNNNNNNNNNNNNNNNNNNNNNNNNNNNNNNNNNNNNNNNNNNNNNNNNNNNNNNNNNNNNNNNNNNNNNNNNNNNNNNNNNNNNNNNNNNNNNNNNNNNNNNNNNNNNNNNNNNNNNNNNNNNNNNNNNNNNNNNNNNNNNNNNNNNNNNNNNNNNNNNNNNNNNNNNNNNNNUUAAUUUAAUAAAAUAAAUUUCUAAUGAAUAUUUUCUUAGAAUUUGUGUUGGGUCAAUAUGUAUCAAGUUAAAAAGAAAUAAAGAAAAAUAUAUAGUAAAAUUUUACUAUUGUGAAAGAUAAAUAUAAUGCACUAUCCCAUAAAUGUUUGAUAAUAUCAUACUUUGCAUAUGCAAAUAUAGCAUCCCGUAUUUAAUUAAUAUACUAUUUCGGUAAAUUAUCGAUGAUUACUAUUGGAUAUGAUAAAAUUAUAUUAAUUUUUAUAGUAAUAACGUAAUCAAUCGCUCUUAAUUAAUUAGUAUUAGUCAUCUAGGUAUUAAGAAAAUAAAUAAUAUUUAAUGAAAAAUAAAAUAGUCAUAAAAUACGAAAUUAAAUCUUAAUGUUUUAAAUUAAAUUUUCAUCUUUCGAACGAUAAUUUUACUAUAUCACUCCUUAUUAUAAGUCAUUUAUGUAUUAGAAAAAUAAGAAUAACAAAUGAUAUGUCAACAUAAAAUAUUUGAUUGGCUAUCAAAAUUAUAUUAGUGCCACAUAAAUUGGGACGGGAUAGAAGAAGAUAUAAAAUAAUAUAUAUUAUUUGAAAAUAAAAUAAAAAGUACUGUAACUAACAAUAAUUAACAAAACAAAAUUAAAAAUUGACUAAUUUCUGCUUUAGCUACUUCAAUCGUGAUUUUAAUGUACAGGGAUGUUUAAAAAGGGUAAAAUGACAUAAUGAGAUUUAAAGAGGAUAAAAUGUAUGUAGUAAGGUGUGAGAAGAAUAAAGCAUAAAUAAAUUUUAUUACUAUGUUUUAAAGAAAUUAAAGAAAAGAAGUAUAAAGAUUAUUUGGAAAAGAUUUUUACAAACUAAUUUAAAUAUAAAUAAAGUAAAUUUAGGUACAAAAAACGUGAAUCUAUCACAAAUUUGCUACCAAAUACUUCGCAUUUUCUUAACAUUAGCAAAUUUUCUAUCAAAUAUGUGUAGCCAUCUUUCUCAACUUUUUACAGCUCCUCAAUAUUGAUUAACAUUUAUCUGUUUUAAAAAUAAAAUAAAGAAAAGAAAAUCUCAACUCUUCCUUCUCUAUUAAAAAACAACACUCUUUUCCUGUGUUAAAAAUAAUAAUUAAACAAAGCAAUAGCGAAUCUAAGCUGUGUAUUCUCUUUAUCGGGUAAGUUUACAUGAUUCUUAAUCUUUGCUAUAUUGAAAGUCAAUAAUCUGCUGGAUAUUUGAUUUAAGCUAUUUCAUCAGGUUUACGACUAUUCUUUCUUUAUAUUUCUGAUCGAAAAAUUCAACAAGAAGGUUAAAAAAAGGUUUCAAUUGUGAUUCCCUCGGCUCAAUCAUACUAAUAAAAAUAUUCUACUGCUCAAACUUUCUACUCCAAGAUAAAUCCUAAAACUUAAAAAUUGCAAUCCACAUGUUCUACUGUUGGGCCCGUGCUGACACGGGCCAUGCACUUCUAGUAUUAUAUAGAAGAGGUGGUUUAACCACCUCUUCCAAUUACCAGAAAACCCAAUUACUUCCACAUAAUUACAUACUAUGCCCCAAUAUAUAAUAAUUUUAUUAUUUUAUCAUAAUAAUUUAAAUAUUUAAUAUAUUUUAUCAAUUUAUAUUAAUUAACUAUAAUUACAUAUUGAAAGUAAAAAAAAAUAUUUAUUUAAUUGUCUAUCAUAUUCAAAAUUAAUUUGUUGCCACAAAUCACAAUAAUUAAUAACUUAAAAUAUUUAAAAGACAUAUAGAAAUUUUAUUGACUCUUACCAAAAAAAAUCCCUCUACUCCCACUUAAUUACAUACCAUGCUCCAAUAUAUAAUAAUUUCAUUGUUUCAUCAUAAUGAUUUAAAUAUUUAAUAUAUUCUAUUAAUUUAUAUUAAUUAANNNNNNNNNNNNNNNNNNNNNNNNNNNNNNNNNNNNNNNNNNNNNNNNNNNNNNNNNNNNNNNNNNNNNNNNNNNNNNNNNNNNNNNNNNNNNNNNNNNNNNNNNNNNNNNNNNNNNNNNNNNNNNNNNNNNNNNNNNNNNNNNNNNNNNNNNNNNNNNNNNNNNNNNNNNNNNNNNNNNNNNNNNNNNNNNNNNNNNNNNNNNNNNNNNNNNNNNNNNNNNNNNNNNNNNNNNNNNNNNNNNNNNNNNNNNNNNNNNNNNNNNNNNNNNNNNNNNNNNNNNNNNNNNNNNNNNNNNNNNNNNNNNNNNNNNNNNNNNNNNNNNNNNNNNNNNNNNNNNNNNNNNNNNNNNNNNNNNNNNNNNNNNNNNNNNNNNNNNNNNNNNNNNNNNNNNNNNNNNNNNNNNNNNNNNNNNNNNNNNNNNNNNNNNNNNNNNNNNNNNNNNNNNNNNNNNNNNNNNNNNNNNNNNNNNNNNNNNNNNNNNNNNNNNNNNNNNNNNNNNNNNNNNNNNNNNNNNNNNNNNNNNNNNNNNNNNNNNNNNNNNNNNNNNNNNNNNNNNNNNNNNNNNNNNNNNNNNNNNUACAAAAUUAAUAAAUUUAAUUUAAUAAAAUAAAUUUCUAAUGAAUAUUUUCUUAGAAUUUGUGUUGCGUCAAUAUGUAUCAAGUUAAAAAGAAAUAAAGAAAAAUAUAUAGUAAAAUUUUAUUAUUGUGAAAAAUGAAUAUAAUGCACUAUCCACUAAUGUUUAAUAAUAUCAUAUUUUUCAUAUGCAAAUACAGCAUCCCGUAUUUAAUUAAUAUACUAUUCUGGUGAAUUAUCGAUGAUUACUUUGGGAUAUGAUAAAAUUAUAUUAUUUGUUAUAGUAAUAACAUAAUUAAUCGCUCUUAAUUAAUUAGUAUGAGUCAUCUAGGUAUUAAGAAAAUAAAUAAUAUUUAAUGAAAAAUAAAAUAGUCAUAAAAUGCGAAAUUAACUCUUAAUGUUUUAAAUUAAAUUUUCAUCUUUCGAACAAACGAUGAUUUUACUAUAUUACCCCUUAUUAUAAGUCAUUUAUGUAUUAGAAAAUUAAGAAUAACAAAAUGAUAUGUCAACAUAAAAUAUUUGAUUGGCUAUCAAAAUUAUAUUAGUGCCACAUAAAUUGGGAUGGGACAGAAAAAGAUAUAAAACAAUAUAUAUUAUUUGAAAAUAAAAUAAAAAGUAUUGUAAAUAAUAAUAAUUAACAAAAAAAAAUGACUGAUUUCUAUUUCAGCUGCUUUAGUCGUGAUUUUACUAUAUCACCCCUAAUUAAUUAUUAUGGUCAUUUGAGCAUUGUGCCACAUAAGUUGAGAUAGAAAAAAUAUUAUAUAUCACAAUGAUAAAAAAUUUAAAUUAUUUUUAAAAUAUAAUUGACUGUCGUUGACAUAAAAUUCUGGACAAGGAGAGUAGCAUAUAUAUUAUUCAAAAAUUACAUAAAAAGUAUUAUAAAUUAAAAUUGUUAACAACUUAAAAUAGCUAAAAAUAAUUUAAUAUGUUAUAUUUUUCAAAAAAAAUUACAUGAAAAAUACUAAAAAUCACAAUAAUUAACAACUUAAAAAAUUUAAAAGAUAUAAAAUAUUUGGUCGACUCUUGAAAUUAUAUUAGUGUCACUGAAAUUNNNNNNNNNNNNNNNNNNNNNNNNNNNNNNNNNNNNNNNNNNNNNNNNNNNNNNNNNNNNNNNNNNNNNNNNNNNNNNNNNNNNNNNNNNNNNNNNNNNNNNNNAAAAAAUAUUAUAAAUUAAAAUAGUUAACAACUUAAAUUUUCUAAAUACGUAUUAAAAUAACAUAUUUUGAACUCAUGCUAGAUUCUGGAUGAAUCCUAGAAAAUAUAUGCAAUCCUUUUAUUAAAAAAGUUUAUUUAAAUAUAUCAAUAUUGAAAAGACAAAUAAAUAUCUUAAUGUUGGUCCCGUACUAACACGGGCCAUGCUCCUCUAGUAUUAGCAUAGUAAGAAAUUGUUUUUACGUUGUAUAGAAUUAGGACUUGAUUUAUUUAUUUUACAAAACUACUUUUUACGUUUUCUUGUUUGAAAUUUUUUUAAAAAAUCAAAGUUGGUUUGGAUUAUUAUUUUUAAGUAAGUUAAUAUUGUACAUUAUUUACGUUGGGACUUUAAAAAAAAAUAUAAGUUUAAGUAUACAUUAUUUAGAUUUUUGAAAUUAAUUAAAGCCCUUACUUCAUCAAGAACUCAUGAUAUUUAAUACUUCUAAAUCAAUUAAAAUUUCACCUUAAGAACUUUUAAAAACUCUAUUUAAGUAAUAUUUUCAGUCAAAUUUUAGAGAAAAUACCCUAUUUCACCAUUGAACUAUAUCCAAAACAGCUGAGACACGCCUCAACUUAACGGGGGUCCUAUUACCCCCUGAACUAAUUAAAAGUGUAAUUUUGACAUCCUUAGUGCUUACGUGGCACAUACGUGGCACACACGUGUGCCUACGUGUAUCCUUUAGUGUGUUGUGCCACCUAUGUGUCACGUAUGUGCCACAUAGGCACUAAGGGAGUAAAAAAUACACUUUUAAUUAGUUUAGGGGUAAUAGAACUCCCCUUUAAGUUGAGGCGUGUCUCAGCCGUUUUGGGUAUAGUUCAAGGGUGAAAUAGAACAUUAUCUCCAACUUUUACAAGAUACAUAAACAUUGGCUUAUUCUAUUUUUAGUUUUCUUCAUAUUUUGAUUUUGCUUUGAGUCAUAUAAUUGUGUUCAUUGUCAUCAUCCUCUUUAUGUUUAUUUAUUUGAUUUUCAGUUCACCUACUUCUUUUUUUAUCUUACUUUUGCAGGUUUCAAAAUGUACAUAGGGAAAAACAAGUUUAUGUAUAGAUUUUUCUUAUUCAAUGAAAUCUUGAUAGUAUCAAUGAUUAAGGCGAUAAAUUUGUUUGUGAUUUGAGGUAAGUUUUUUUUUUAAAAUUUGGUAUAUUUUUUAAUUUUACAAUAAAUAAAUUAUCAUCUAUUCUUGAUAGACAAUUGCUAAUUGAGAAGUUAAUAAUUAAUCAUGUAUUAUUGAUAGAUAAAUGUUAAUUGAUAAAUAUUUUGUGAUUUUUUUAUUUAAUGACUCAUAUGUAAUUAAUAAUUUUAAACUAACUUAUUUGCAAUUUUAAGGUCCUAAAAUAUAUAGUAAAAAAGAAAAUAUUAUCAAUAGUGUAGUUAAAUUUUACUUAGAAAAAGGACUCCUAAUUUUACUAUUUCAUGGACUCUAUGUGUACGUUGUAUAUAUGUGCAUUUUUUUUUUUAAUGUUUUACACUUCACCUUAAUUGUUUUAUCAAAUUUACUUUAAAAUUACACAAUGAAAUGACACUAGCAUAUAUUUUUUUCGAUAAUUAACUUUUAUGGCAAGAGAAUGACAGUAGCAUAUAAACUUCUACCAGCUCACCAUGGCUGUAUGAUACGUAUUUAUAUUUAUAUGUGUAUAUAUCUAUUAUCUAUUAUCUAUAAUCGAUAUCUAUAAUAUAUUAAAAGUGCGAAGGAUCGUAAAAGUAUUAUUUGAUUUUUCGCCCUUCAUUAAAAAUGUAUGCUUUAGACAAAAUCGUUUUUUCACUAUUUUUUUAAUAUUUAAAAGUUUAAAAAUUAAUUAAAUAAUUAUAGUAAAUUUUCCUUAUUAGAAGUCAUCAGAAUUAGUGACAAUUAGUACCUUUUUCAUUAGUUUAAGAAUUCUAAAUUUAAAAAAUCUAGAAAUAAAUAUAAAAGUAUUAGAAUAAGAAAAAUAUAAGAAAUACUAAAUUUGUAAAAGUUUUAAGUAAGUAAUCAAGAAUUUUCUAAAGAUUUAACUUUAAAAAUAAAGAAAUAUUUUAAAUAUAGAAAAAAAUAGUCGUACUAAAAAUAUAGUUCAAAUCGAUGUGUCUCUCUUAGUCUCUAGCAUCAAGAAAAACAGGUAUUGCAUGACAAACGCAAAAGUGGCGAUUCAUUAAUCACUUGAAACUUUUGGUGGUAAAAUAUAUAUGUGCUUACAAUAAAAUAUAUGUUUUGAACUUUUUACACUUCAUUAUAAACUUUCGUAAUAGAUAAAAUCGUCUAAUUUUAAAUAAUCAAAAGUUACACGUGCGAGGCAUGUGCAGCUAAACUAGUUAAUUAAGAGCCCGUUUGGCCAUGAAAUUUUUUUCCUUUUUUUUGAAAUUUUUUUUCAGAGUUGAAAAUUGUGGUGUUUGGCCAUAAAAAUUCAGAAAAUAAUUCUGAAAUUUUUUUCUGAAAAGGGAAAACAGGUUUUUGUUGUUUUCACAAUUUUUCAACUCCAAUUCCAACUUUUAUUAUUAUUACAUAUAACCUCAAUAUUUUAAAUUUUUACAUAAAAAUUUCCCUAUAACAUUACUUUUUCAAAAUUACGUAUAUAGCAGUUUUAAAGAAUAAGAUAAUUAUAAUUUCAAACUUAAUGCUAUCCUAAUUAAUAUAUAUCUCCUUUUCUCUUUCAUCAUUAUUAUAAUAAUUUAUUAAAUGUAACCUUUAACAAAAAUAUUUCUAAAAGCCGGUCGACAUUCAUCUACUAUCUGUAAACUGCAAUAAAAUAAUAUAAUGAUAGAGACAUCAAAACAAUACAAUUAAAUCUAAUCUUUACACACAAAAAUUUUUUCAAAGCCAUCCGACACUCAUCUACCACCUAUAAACUAUAACAAAAUAAUACGAUAAUAGCGAUGUCAAAAUAAUACAACUAAACCUAAUCUUUAUAUAGGAAAAAAUCUCAAAGCGGAGAUAGUAAAACAAUACAAUUAAGCCUAACCUUUACCUAAAAAAAAUUCUCAAAGCCAACCAACAUUUAUCUACCAUCUGUAAAUUACAACAAAAUAAUACGAUAAUAGAGAUAUCCAAAAUGUUAUUAUUAAACUUAAAGUUUACGCAUAAAAUUUUUUCAGAGCCGAUCAACAUUCAUCUACAAACUAUAAACUACCAUACAAUAAUAAACUAAUAGAGUUACUAAGACAAUACAAUUAAACUUAACCUUUACCUAAAAAAUUUCUUAAAGUAAACCGAUAUUUAUUUACCAUCUGUAAAUUAAAAUAAAACAAUAAGAUAAUAAAGAUAUCAAAACAAUACAAUUAAACCUAAACUUUACACAAAAAAUUCUUCAAAGCCAACCGACAUUCAUCUACGACCUGCAAACUAAAACAAAAUGAUACAAUAGUGAUCACAAAGCUUCGAUUUUGAUGAAAAUAAUUCUCGUCUGAGCGAAAACUUUGACCCUAAAGAAUGACUUGAAUGAAAACAAAGAAGAUACAUAUAUAAACACACGUUGAAUUAUAUUAUAUUGACAAGAAUAGUGAAGAAGUUAAGGGUUAGAAAAUCAAGCUUCCAUUAAUCUAGAGCUGUAAUCAAAUCACGUUAGAUGAACAUCAAUCAUAUUCUCCCAAUAGGCAAGAAAAAUUAACUUCAAUUGAUCAAAGUAUAACCGCAAAGUUAAAAAAACGAGAGAGCAUCAAAUUGACAAAAUACUCCAUAAGGACAUACGUAAUUCAAUGAAUAUAAUUAUUAACAUGACAUACUUACAACAACGUCAAAAUGCAUAUAAGAAAGCAUCAACCUCAACUUUCGUGACAAAGCAAAAACAAAAGAACAUACAUAAAUGUGAAAUAGACCAUACAAAUAUGAAGAAUUAUAUUAAUAACUAGGAAAAAAAAGUAAUAAAGAUGCAAAUUGAACACAAAUUCCUAUUGUCCAUGGACGAAUUUAUCUUUACCAUAUGUAACAAUUCAUAUAAUAAUUUCAUAAAAAAAUAAAAAGAAAGAAGACUGACUUACAAAUUAGAGGUAUGUAUCUUAUUCCGUAUGUUUAUAAAAGUAUUUCCUUAAUAAAGUCCUAUUUUAGGAGUAUUUUUCUAGUUGAACAAUAGAAAGAAAAAUAUUAAUUAAUAUUUAGGAGUCCCAUAUAUUUUAGGAGGUUUAGCUAAUAUAAUAAAAAAUAAUUAAAUAAUAAAUUAAAGAAAUAGUGAAAAGACAGUUUUAUCUAAAGAAGAGUCUUUUAAUGAAGAACAAAAAGUUUAAUCACUUUUUUAAAGAUCUUUAUAUUUUUAAUAUUAUUAUUAUUAUUAUUAUUAUUAUUAUAUUAUAGAUAUAGAUUUUUACAUUUUAUAUUUUCUUUUAUUGAGAGUUGAAGUUUUACGGUCGUAUCAUUACGUUUAAAGGGGAUAGUAAAAUUUAAUAAUUUUUAAAUAUGAAAACGCAACUAUUCUUUAAACAGUUGAAAAAAGAAAAUAUUACAUAUUUCCUCCAUUUAGAAAGAAUGAUUUAAUUUAUUUUUUUAAUCUAUUUUUUUAAUAAAAAAAAGGUUCUUUCUUCUUUUGGGGUUAUUUUUUUUUUUUUUUUUAAAUUGAUACAUAUACACAGAGAUAAUGAUAGCACUUUUGUUCUUAUCAUUGAAAAUAGUAACAUUGAAAAUAUUAAGCAUUUUCUUGAAGCAAUUAAAAACUUCAGAGUGGUUAAUUAAAAUCAGUAACAUCAAAAAUAAAAUAAUAAUAACAAUUAAAAAAUACACCAACUUACAUGUAUAAGGUGGGAAGAAAAGUAAUCAGGUUUAUGCUGACUUUAGAAUUAAAAAUUCCAUAAAGAUGUAUUUUAGAAAAUAAAAUGUCUGAUUAGUUAGUUAGAUAAUUGCACUUCUAUUUUCUUUCUUUUAAAUUUAAUACGAGUGCUAAGAGAGUAAAAUCAAAACAAAUUAAAAGAUUGUAUUGAACCGGUUGAGAGUUCUAUGAUUUAAUUAGCUUCCCCUUUCUGUGUGUUCAACUCUGAAUAAUUAAAUUAAUAUUAUUUCAAUUAAAAUUAUCAUGAUAAUUAUGAGUUUUCUUAUUUUCGAUUCUAGAAUUUCAAAAUGGGACCAAGAUUGCUUUAUAAAUUAAUUUAGCCCUACAAAACCCAUCUUUUUCGCUUUCUUCUUUCAUUUCGUACAAAUAUUUUAGUACUCGUUUUCUUCCUCUGUUGUCUAAUCAAUCCGAUUAAUUAAUCUUUUCAUAUUUCUUAUUACUAUAUUAUCUACCUAAAUUGUCGUUGAUUUUUUUGCUUUUCCUCGAAUUCAAUGAAUGUUUGCCAAGUUGUCAUACACAUUAUAACAAACCAAAAACGUGCCUCUCACUUAAUAAAUAUUUUAAAGUAGAAAUAAAGAUACUGUUUCAUAUUAUUUCUCGGAUGACUUAGAACAUUUCCUUACAAAAAUUAUUAAGGGUGUAUUUGUUGAGUUUGAAAUCAGAGUACAUUAUGCGGAAGUUAAUAGUUAUAAAAAUAUAAUAUUAUUACUAUAUAUUUUGACCAAUUAACCUACAUAUUAAAAAAUUCAAUAUAAAAGAAAUCAUAAAAAAAUUAGAGAGAAAAUGUUCCUCUAACAAAACUCUACAUUGCGGAUGUUGUUGUGUUAUUAUAUGUGAAGUGAGUUUUUAUUUAUAGAGGUCCAAAAUCAUUCCUUCAAAAAUUAAGUUAUUCAAAUAUGAAAAAAAAUUAAAAUUCUUUCAUUUUGAGAAAAAGUGAAAAUAAUCAUAGUAUUAUUUUUAUUUCCCUUCUAAGAAAAGUAAAACUUAAAUUUGGUAAGAUAAUCAGAGUAAAAAUCCUAACAAAUCUUCUUUUUUGGCUUGAUUUUCUGACAAUGUAAUCUUGAUCUUCCUUCUUCACAUGAUCUUCACAUAUUAUUGCUGCUUACCAUGAUUAAAAGUUGAUAUGAGCUAAAAAAUUGGAGCUCUAUGCGUUAAAAAUAAAAGCACGAGUUAACAUUAUUGGAGCCCUGUGGUAUAAGUGAACAAGGUUAAAAGUGGAGUCUUGUGCAUUGAAAGUGAGUACAGGUUAAAAGUGAAGUUCAUGCGUUAAAAGUAUAUGCACGAGUUGAAAGAGCCCAAAUGUUAAAAGUAAGCAAGGGUUGAAAGUUGGAGCCCAUAAACAUGGAUUGAAAAUUGAUUUUAGUUAUAAAGAUGAUUAGCAGCAGGAUUAUUAAAAACUUGUUUGAAGCUUUCCUCCACAUAUAGCUAGACAAAUAUCUUUAUUAUCAUCAACUUGGUUACAACUUUGAUCUCAAUACGUCCUCAAUCUGAAUCAUCGGACCAUUGAACCAUAAGCUUUGAUACGACUUGUUGCGUUCAAAAUCGAGAGGGCGUCAUGGGAAAGCUAAUAGUUGCAAAGCAUGAGAUGAUAAAUCAGACGAUAAAGAAAAUAAUAUUUAAAAGUUAAUAUUAUUACUAUAUGAUUUGGUCAAUUGACUUAUAUAUUAAAAAACCUAAUACCAAAAAAAUCAUAAAAACUGUAGAGAGAAAAUCUCCCUCUAAACAAAACUUUACAUUACAGAUGUUGUUGUGUUAUUGUAUGAGAAGGGGGUCUUCUAUUUACAGAAAUCCAAAAUCAUUCUUUCAAUAAGGAGGUUAGCCAAUUAUGUAAAAAAAAAUUAUAUUUUUCUUUCAAAAAAAAGUAAAAGUAAUUAUAGUAUUACUUUUAUUUUCCUUCUAAAAAAAGUAAAACUUAAAUUUGAUAAGAAAAUCAGGGCAAAAACCCUAAUAAUAUUUUGCUAACUAACUAUGUUAAUGAUGUUUCAAAAUUUUGAUUCAAUUAUUAUUACUUCUUAUAGUUAUUUAAUACUAAUAUAAUAUAAAAAAAUUCAAUUUUUUUUAAAAAAAUUCACAGUUUGCUAUAACAGAUAAGUAAAAAAAGAAAAUGUUAUUUUCAAUAUUAAGAUCAAAUAAAAUUAAAUGGAGGAAGUAUUCAAUAAUUGAAUGUUAUUUCCAUCUACAUUUGGAGGACUCCAUUUGACAUUUUUAUGAGAAAAACAAUUAAUUAUUAGCAUAACUUAAUCACCGACAAAGGUAAAUUUACUAAUCUCCUCAUAGGAUUCUGUUAAUUAAAAAAAUAUAUGGAUCUAUAAACAAGUACAGUACAGAUCUUAGUUUACAUUGACCUAGUCAAUAAUUAUUAUUACCGACAUAUUUAUUACACAAAAUAUUUGUCGUAACGAGUCUGAGAUCUUCUAUUCUCUUUUGUUUACUGUUUUUCUUCUUCUUUUUUUUUUUUUACAGUUUACAAUUAAUUAAUCUAUUCAUUUUGGUUUUAAACUCCCUAAUCCUGUUCUUGGCAUUUCAUUAAAUAGUCCAUAACAAUGAUCAAAUCCAAGUAUUAAAACUUGCCGACGAAUACGGGAUUAACAUUACUUUAAUCUAAAGAUAGAAUAGCCUACACAAUAAUUGAAGUGACCUUAAUUGAUUACAUAAUCAAUCUAUUUGACCUACCCCGCACAAAAACUUCAGCAUUUUCAUGAAACCAUUGAAAAAUGUAUAUUGUUUUCCAAGAGUUUAGCUCUAGUUAAUGACGAUGUCAACAAUAUUUACCUAUUUUCUAUUUAGGAAUUACACUGAGUUUGUUGAUAUUGUUAUCGUCAAUAAUAUUGACACAAUCAGACUAAUUAUAAGGUAAUUAUAUUUUAUGACAAUAGUAUUAAUAGUUUUUUUUUUUUUAUUGGGGAGGGGAUUGCAAUGUGAGGAAUCGAACCCUCACCAACAAGGUGAAAGUUCAGGUAACUAACCAAUUAAACUACUAAGAUUCCUAGUAUUAAUGAUUAAUACGAUCAAAUUGGUAACUAAUUACAAUAAAUUAAAUUAAGCUGAUAAAAUAAAUUAUAAAUAAGAAAAUGACAAAACAGAAGUCCAAAUCAAAGAUAACGAAGUGUUGUUAAUUAUUAAUUGUUUAAACAUGUCCCCUUUUCCACAUUUUUCUACCGUUAAACACGGAAUUAACAAUAUAUGAAUUAUAGUCAAAAAUCAGUCUCUAUACACUCACAAAAUAGGAAGUAAACAUUAAAUAAUACUACAGAAAAAGCAUAAUUUGACUAUACUAAUCAUUUUCAAUUAGAUUUGUGUCGUUUAGGAUAAUGAUACUAUUUUUUUUGUGGUAGGUAAAAGCGUUGAAGAUGCCAUGCAAAAAACAAAAACAUUGAAAGGUCAAUAGAAAUAUUAAAUGCAUUAUAUAUGUGGACUAUGUGUUAGAUCUAUCAAGCAAGAUCUUUUUCUUUGUUACUUUACCCCUUUUGAUUUACAAAAUUCGUUUUCAUUUACCUACUAAAGUUUUUAAAUUUCUUUUCUUAUCACUUCUUAGAUGUUUGCUUUCUUUUUAAAACUUUUAAAUGAGAUUUGUUGACUCUUUUACUAAUAUUACGUGUACUUGCUGAUUACAAAUUUUUAUUAAUUGUAACUUAAUGUUCUUUUUUUUGUUCUAGUGAGAAUUUCAACUAUGAAUUACUAAAUAGCACCAGAGGAAAUGGAUAAAAAUGUAGUCGCACUCCAUAUUUCUGUUUUAUACUAAUUUCAAUGAAUAAAUUAAAAAAACUCUUCAUUUGCACUUUAUUACUAAAUCAUAAUUAAUUAUACAUAUUCACCUUAAUUUAUAACUUAUUGUGAUAAAUUAGUAUUGUAAUUUAAUACAAACACAGUAUCUCUAAAUAUUUACCAAACAAAUGCCCAUACUCGAUUCUUUCGAAAAAUAGAUCGAUGAAUGAGAACUUGAAAAGAAUAAAACAAAAGUUAUCGAAAAGAACAAUUCAGUACGUUAAGCUUGCACAUUGUACGGAAAGAAAUACCGGGUCACAUUAGGGAUUACAUCCAAUAAUGUGUCAUUGCAUUGUCCUAUAUGCGAGAAGUCAAGCAGUUAGGUUUUCUUUGAUAAAAUAAAGUUUUAUUUUCGUUAAGUAACACUGCUGAACAUAUUGACCUGCGAUUCAACAACUCAUUAAAAUAUUAUGGAAAGGAUGAAAUUAUGAAACAAUUUAGAAAAAUCAAUAAUCAUAGUAGACGUUGAAGGUCAAUAGAGUAUUGCAAAUUAAACUUUUCCUCUUCCUCUUCUUUUUUUCUUUUUUUGGGGGGUGGGGGGUAUGAUAUGGUUUUACUUUAUCUGAUAGAGUUAAAUUCAUAUAUCAGCUUGCUUAUAUGAAAAUUUUACAACAAAUUAAAACAUGGUUAAUAUGAACCUAAAAAAGAAAAUUCCAUACAUCCCCAAUUUAUAUAACGUCAUUGAGUACAAAAAGAGUUUAAGAUAUUAAUCCACUUGUGUGAUAAUAUUUUCAGUCAGGCGGUUAAAAAGAAUUUCACUUCCCUAACCAUAAAUAUUUGUAGCUAUGGUCGGUGUAUAUUUAGUAGCCGUUUGGUUUGACAUAUAAGGUAUAAUAAUUUCGAAAAAAAUGUAGGAUUAUUGUAUUUUGUGUUUGGACUUUGGAUGGAGAUAUUAGGUAGUUUCGAGAUUAUUUAUCCUACCUUUUAUAUCAUAGUGAUGGGAUAAGUUAUCCCUCCAAUAUACAUGGUGGGAAAACUUAUCUUGAGAUAGCUAAUUCUGGGGACAACUUGUUCCCAACCAAACGAUCCCUUAAGAGUAUAAUAAGUACAUUAUGUGAUACAAUGAUUACACGUUUAUCAUACAAGCUUCUUAUGAGCUUGUACAGGCGACAAAAAAAAAAAAAAUUGCAAUAAAUUAACCACAUGUAUAUGUAAUAUAUCGAUAUUAUAUAAAUAGUGUAUAAUUAUAUAUAUAUAUAUAUGCGUGAUUUAUAAUAUGUAUUAGAGAUGUAUGUACAUACAUAUAGACUGUUCAUGUAAUAUUUAUACAUUAGUUUUUGUUAACAGCAUCAGAGAAAAUGGAUAAAAACAUACUCACUUAGUAUUUAUACUAGUUAAUGCAUGAAUGAUACAGCUCUUUAUAUACACUCUUAUUACUAAACCAUAGUUAAAAUGCAUAUUUUCACCUUAAUUUAUAGCUUAUUAUAAUAAUAUUAAAAUAAAUAUAAUUUAAAAUAAACACGGAGUGCCCAUAAUAGAUCGAUGAAUGAGAACUUGAAAAGAACAUUGCAAAAUUAUUGAAAUAACAAUUCGAUAUAUUAAGCUUUCACAAUAUAUAAAAUUCUGAGAAAUAUAGGGUCAAAUUAGGGAUCACAUCCAAUAAUCUCAUCUGUCAUUGCAUUGUCUAUGCGAGAAGUCAAGCAGUAGUUAGGUUCUUUUUUUCAUAAACUAAGCUUUAUUUUCGUUAAUUAACACUUUGACAUCUUACAUAAGAGCGGACAAGGAUGGUCUCAAGGUAAGUUCUGAAAUUCCCACAUUAUUAUUAUUAUUAGUUUUUUCUAGCAAAGAUAGUUAUAUUAUAUUAGCAUCAUAACCAAAAAAUAUAGGGAGGAAUUUGGUAGCACAACCACCAUAGUAUCUGCACUUAGGGGUCGUUUCGUAGGAAUAUAGAUAAUACAUGGAUUAGUAAUAAAGGGAUUAAUAAAGUAAGAAUUAGUAAUACAAGGAUUAUAAUGGUUGGAUUAUUUUUUAUUAAGUGUUUGGUUCAUUGUAUUAAAAAUAAAAUAUACCAUGGAUUGUGUUUGAUUUAAAACUCUAAAAAUGUUAUAAACUAAUAAAGAAUAAAGGAGAAGAGUAGAGAGAAUAGAGAGUAAUUUUUAUUUCUCUUGAGGGAUGAAUUACAAUGAGGGAAAAUCCUUUUAUUUAUAGGGGAAAACUAACCUUGGGGUUUGUAACUUUACCAUAAAACUUUUCCAUAAAUAGAUAUACACAAUAUAUGGUAAAGUAGGUAUUCACUAUAUAUAGUAAAGUAGACAUUCACUAUAUGUGGUACAUUUAUAACACUCCCCCUUGAAUGUCUAAUUGAUAGAUAAUACCCAUAUAUGCUGCUGUUCGCAACAAAUUUUCGUUAACGCUGAAAAUUAACUGCAAGCAAAAAAUAAAAUAAACUAAAAGAAUAAUUUUAUUUAAAGUAAUUUUGUGGGUACAAUUCCGUAUUUCUCUCGAUUCUUCUCUCCUAAGCUUUUUCGUGAUUCGAGGGCCUUUGCAGCGUGAUUCUCGAAUGUAGGAUGAUUUGAGUCUCCGAGAAAUGUGUUUGGAUCUCUAGGAAUUGUCUGACAACACUUUGUUUUGUCGAGUUGAUCUACGGGCAGAACUUUGUUAGUCAAUUCGUUGAUAGCACUUCGUCUUGUCGAGUUGAUCUCCGGGCAGAACUCUGUUAGUCAAUUCGUUGAAGCGCUGUGUAGUCAAUGCAGAAGCUUCCUCCAAUGCUUGCAAAAUGUCCUCCUUUUUAUUUUUCUUCUCUUUUUAGAAUGUUAUGUUGCCCUCUAUUUAUAGUUGUGGGAGUAGGCCUAGUUGCUUGUGAUUGGCUGAAAUAUGUCACUUUGACACUCGGCACCUUUUGACUGGUUGUUGAAUUUGAAUGAGAUUUCCAUAUAAUUUGUACAUAUGGCGGCGUCUCAUUGGUUUUGAAUUUGACUGGGAUGCCGCGUUACUUGAUGAGUUUGGACUUCAAAGUGAGAUGCACCUUGAUGAAGAAUAAAAUAGGCUUAUUAUUUUUGUUUAGCCCAAAAUAAGUUUAAACCCAAUAACAUAUGGCUCAAAUUCAAAUUUUAUAUGAAUUUGAUCCAAUAAAUUUUAUGUGUCUACAGCUGCCUAAUUAAAAACCUUACAAUAAAAUCACAGUGGGAUAAAACCCCGUAAGGAAAAAAGAGUACAGAGUAUAUUAACUCCCCCUAAUGAGAAAAUCCUUGAACCUUUGCAUUCUGAUCUUGUGCACCAUCUUCUUGAAAGUUGCAAUUGAAGGAGACUUGGUGAAUAAAUCAACCACAUUGUCACUUGAACGAAUCUAUUGCAUGUUAAUAUCACCAUUCUUUUGGAGCUCAUGUAUGUAGAAAAACUUUGACGAAAUGUGCUUCGUUCUAUCUCCUUUUAUGGAUCUUUCCUUAAGUUGUGUGCUAUGCAUGUUGCAUUAUCUUCAUAUAAGAUUGUGGGUAUAUUGUCACAUUUCAAACAACAUUUUUCUCGAAUGAGAUGUAUCAUGCCUCAACCAUACACAUGCUCGGCUUGCUUCAUGAAUAACUAUUAUCUCAGCAUGGUUUCAUGAAGUGGCUACGAUAGACUGCUUUGUAUAUCUCCAAGAUAUUACAGUACCACCACAUAUGAACACAUAGACUAUUUGAGACCGAGUUUUAUGUAGGUCAGAUAAGUACCCAACAUCAACAUGACCAAUAAGAUUGGGACAACAAACUUGCUAACAAAUUAACUGAAAAAGGCUAUAUCAGACCUUAUAGUAUUUGCAGGAUACAUUUGUACAUCAAUUGCACUAAGAUAUGGUACUUCAUAACCAAGGAGUUCCCAAUUUUUUUCUUGGGGUCGGAAUGGAUUCUUAUUCAAUUUUGCAUGUUUCUCAUUUAAGCAAAAAUACUAUUGCUUUUGAAAACUCUCCAAGAGUUUCAAUGAUACUCAAAUCAUCAAAUUAUCUCUUAUGAGGAUAGUAAAUAUUUUCCCAGAAACUUAUAUGCUUCAGGCAUUUUGAAUUCUUUAGAGAUUUUCAUAUGGAUUUUUGUCAAGUGACAAUAUCCAACAUAUCAAGUAUGACAUCUUCAAGUGUCUGGACUACAAAUCAAAUAAGUUUUAUACUUAUCAAAAUACAUCCUUUCGUGUCACUUGAUAAAUAUUUGUACAUCAGCAUGCUUAAAUUAACGUAGAAUUCAGAUCCUCAUAAUUUUUCACAAUAUUACGUCAAUAUUGUAUCAAAGAUAUCGUUGACGGUUUUUAAUUUUUUAUUGGUUAGUAAUGUGACAUAACAUUUUGAGAUCUUAUCACUUCAUUAUUUUUAAGUACCUGAACCUAUCAUAAGGUUUCAUGAAGUGUUAUGUCGUAGGCUCUUCAAAGCACAUUGACUUCUUAUUAUGAUUAUUUGCUCCUUGUUUCAUUUGAAAUCGAUUAGUCUACAAUGUUUCAUGCAUGCAUAAACUUUGUCCUUCAAGGACACAAAAUAAGAGCAUUUGCAACAUAAAUAUAAGAUGCUUUCGGCAUAUGACUUGAAUUAUCUUAUGAAUGAGGAUCUGAUGAUAAUUCCUAACAUACUUCAUAGCUUCUUAUAAUCUCCCCUUAUAUUAGGAAAACUAACAUACAUCCUCCAUCUUAUUUGAGGAAUCCAUCUUUGUACAUCAUGGUAUAUUCAUUAAUCGUAUACCACAUAUCAACUAUUAGAUGGACAACGUGUGAUUCCUAACUUAGAACCAAUUGAGAGGGAAGAAAUAAUCAUAAUUUGUUGGUCUAAUGCAUACAAGUGCUAUUGUAUGCAAUAUAUCAUAUUUCAGACUAACACAUGAAGCUUUGUUCUCAUUAGCAAUGGUUUAACUAUUUAUCGAAGGCAUUCAACGGCAAACCAUCAUCAUCAAGAUAAAUUGUCUUGAUUGCACAAUCUAAAAGUUAUAUUCUUAACUCAAUUUUAUUGAGAAAAUAACUUUAUGAAUGUCAAACGCAGGUUGACAAUGAAUGUACAUGUGAUCAUCUUAUUGAUGCAUCUUUUCAACAUAUCACAUGAUAGGUGAACAUGCCCAUAUUCACCUUUUAACCUUUCAGAUUUUGAGGGAUCCAAUCCCAAUAUUAGUUGGUUCAACCAACUUAUCAUGAGAACAAGCGACAUAAAUAAUUCUUGAAGAAUCUUGUAUUUCUUUAAUACAUGUCUAAUACUCAAUAUGUACAUCUUUGAGAUGUCAUAAUCGUUCAUGUCAACUUAUGAACUUAUUUAUAGCAGUAAACUCCAAGUUUACCAUGACAUGUGUUUUUUUUUUUGCUUUAGUAAAUUUCAAAUUUACUACUACAUGAAUAAAUUUCAGAUUUACUACUUUAGAAGUAGAUUUUGAAAAAACUCAGUUAUUCUGCCUCAUUCAGAGGUGAGUUGUGAUACCAUCACAAUCAAGUACACAUUUAUAUUAAUAAGAUUCACUAAAUAUUAUCACAUUCACCCUAGGGAAUGGAUCUGUGCUUAUAAUAAUCAAAAUUCUCAUUUCCCAAGAAUGGAAUAUUAAGCCUAUCAAAUUAUGAUAACUUAUAUAUCUUAUAACCUCUUUCAUCAUAUUGCUACUUCAGGAGCAAAUUGAGGCAUACAUAUGAUGUAGAGAAUUUUUAUCUAGCAUAUGUCAUAAUCAUAAUAAGCGUGUGAAAAUAUUAUCACUUUUGAUGAUUAUUAUCAUAUUGUCUCUCCAUGCUUAUAUUCGUACAUUCAAUCACUUACUUCUUUCAAGACUGAAGUAAGUUGUCAAUUUUCAGAUGUAUGCUACUAUAUUCACUUCAUGAAAUAGAGCAUAUUAAUGGGAUAUGUUUAAUGACCUUUAAUUAAACACUCAUUAUUUUUUCUUAGCCAUCAUAAAAUCAUCAAUAUGGUGUAUUGAGAUUCAAACUCAACAUCUCAUCCAUAUAAAGGCAUCUUAGGCAUGAAUCGAUGGGACUUGAACCCAACAUAUUAUCAUUUUUUUGAUAAUAUUCACUACAAAAAAAAUAGCAUUUAGUGACACGCCAUAUUCAUCGCUAUCAUAUGAAAAUUCGUCGCUAAAUAGAAAUAGCGACGGAAUAGCAACAGAAUUUUUUCUGUCGCUAUAUUGCUCGUUGCUAACCUCAUAGUGACAAAAAAUUAAAUUUCGUCGCAAAAUUUGUGACCAAUUAGCGAUGAAAUAGUUUGGUUGUUGAUAUUAUUGAUGUACAUUUUCGUUGCUAUAGCGUUGCUAUUCCCAAAAUUCAUUUUGGUCGUGGCUUAAUUUACGACAGAAUAUUUUGUCGUUGAUCCGUUGCAACAUAAUUUGGUCUACUUAUUUGGCAGUCAAAUUUAUCCAUCGCUAAAGUUUUUCAGUAGCUACGACUGAUGUUAGUCACUAAUUUUUUGUCGCUAAUUACAGCCUUCUUUAGCAACUAAAUUAAUCCGUCCCGAAAGUUUUUCAGUAGCGAAGCCAAAAGUUAGUCACUAAUUUUUUGUUGCUAAUAAUUUUAUAAGAAAAUAGUUGAAACAAGUAAAUUAUAAAAUAAUUAAAUAUCCAACAUACAAAUAGAUAGCAAAAUUCACAACAAUUGUAUUCAACACCCACAAUUUCAAGUAUUUUAUCAAACAUAAACUAAUGUCAAAAUAGUCUAUCAAAAAUUAGUGCGACGAUCAUGGACUACGAAUAAUAUGAAGCUACGAAUCAACGUCGUCAUCAUCAUCAUGAGUAGGAGGAGGAUCAAGCACGGCCCCAUCUUGUACCCUAGUACCACCAAAAUGCUCAAUAACUAUCGGAAGAAAAUGAGUAGUAUGGGCUGGAAUCAAUUGCUUCACCAACUCCUUCAUAUUUGUUGUCGAUAAAGAAAUCGAAGGUGGUACUGAUAUGUGGAAGCAUUGCAGGCACACAGUUUUUUCCCAAAGUAACUUAUAGCUUCAGAUCCAAGACCAAACAAUCUUUUCUUCUUUGCUCCUUCCGUAGCUUCAUAAUAUGUCUCCAAUUGAUCUAUUUCAGAUUCACAUUGUACUUUUUCCUGUAUAAUUUCUUCAUACCUUUCCUGUAACAAGUGAAGUUAUUAAAAUAGACUCAAGUUCAUGUCAACACAAAAGAAAAAUAAGAAAUGAGUAUCAUAUCGUUAGAUGCAAGUUAUGGACUUACAUGUAGAAGUCGGGAACGCUCACAAAUAAAAGAUUUUCCAUCAUGAUUAUGUGUAUGGAUGUGCAAAUGUAACUCACUUGGAGUUGGAGACCAAUGUACAUUAGUAGUAUACCAAAAGAGAAUCAUGACACCACCAAGUUUCUUUGCCCUAUUCUAAGCAAAAAAUGUCACCAAACAUGUUGGUAUAGCAGCAAAAUAAAGAGGAAAAAGAAGAGAGUAGCAGGAAAAAAUCGUUGCAAAACAAAGAGGAAAAACAAGAGAAACUACAACAACUGCUUGCUGAAAAAAUAACAUAAAACCAGCAGCAGCUGCAAUAACAGAAAACAGCAGCAGUAACAAUUUCCAACAACUAUUAGUGUAACAAAUAAGAAUGCACAUGUAGAAAACAGCUCCUGCAGUUCUGGAAAACAUUAACUAUUGAUUUCUUGGACAGUAUGUAGCAGUUCUGGAAAACAGCUGCUUGCUGGAAAAGUAGCAUAAAAACAGCAGAUAUGUUCCACAGAGAAAAUACUUUUUUUAUUGCAAGAUAGAUAGAGGUAAGAUUGCAAAUACACUACCCUCACGCACACGGUGAGAUUACACUAGCUACGUUGUUGGUUGGAACUAUGAAGUACAGUUAGGAACAAAAUGAGGAUAUGUUUCAUUGAAAAGAUCUGCCAAUAAAAUUAAUAAAAAAAAGUUGAUGAUUGAAGAAACAUCAUUAAUAUAAAUAGUAGAUAGCAUUUAAAUAGAAGUAAAGGAUUUUAAGGCAGAUAUUUUAGGGUUAAAAUAUCUGCCUUAAUAUCUUUGUUUUGUAGCCCAAACAAGGUAGCACCACUACCAGCGGCUUGCUACACACUUUAGACACAACCAUAGCUACUAAAACAAUGAAGUAACGACUUAAAACUAAUCAGCUAUUUCAAGGUACGUAGCAGCAGACCAGAGCAUCACAUAUAGCGCCAAAAUAAAGUGAAAAAACUAGCAUGUCAACUGCCAAAAGAACAUAGCAGCAGCCCAAACAAAAUAACUUUUCGGGUUGAUGAAUAAUUUUCAUGAAAUAUAUACUUACAAGUUAUUUUCGGUGCUCUCCAGCUGUGAUAGAGCCACAAGUGUGUGUCCCAGUAGCUACUUCAUGUCCACCAUAAUGAUUCUUUGAAUUUAUCUCGAACUUCUCAACACAGUCAUUACUUUGCCAAAGUUCCAUCGACUUUUCCCACACAUGGUCAUUUACAAAUUCCGGUUGAACUGCAGCUCUAUGCUUCUUUAUAUUGGAAAUGAAAUUCUUGUAGCAUAAUGCAGCCUUCUUCAUCCAUCGUUGCUUCACCAGAACUUCACUAACGGAAGCAUCCCAAUAGAAAUUCUUCUGAAAUUCAGUUUAAAGUAAUAUAAUUAAGUGUUAGCUGCAAACUCAAAUAACUUUUACUGAUUAUGAUCUUAAAAAACAUACCUUGAAUUCUCCAAAAUAACCAUCUUUGAUAUCUUGUGAAACACCUUUUCAGUUGAUCCCAUUAGGACCAACUUCACUUUUGAAAGACAAUGUAAUAGAACUGGAGCAUUUGGAAGAUGGUUCCAACCUGUACAAAAUCAAAUUCAAAAUCAAUAACACUACACAACAUCUAUGUACAAAAAUAGUAAACAUAUAAGUAAUAGGUACUAACCCUGAAGAAGUAAAAAAAAAAUAAGGGUCCGGCCAUUGUUACAACUGGAAUCUCCUGAAGUAGAUACAUUUCUCUGACUAGAUGUUGCCUCAGCUGCUGUAUUGCUUUGAGCAUUCAUAUUAUAGCCUGUUGGGCUGCUUUGGUUAGGUGAAACAAGAGAUGUCUCAGGAAUGACUGGUGUUUGAUCGGGUGGCAUGGUCGGAAUGGAACUUGUAUCAUCCUGUUCGAUUACUGGAGCUGGAAUAGAAGGAUUUUUUGCACGAUUAGCAGCCUUACUCCUGCCCGUAGACUUGCCGGCACGAUAUCCACCUCGAGUCAUAUCUGAAAAAAUAACGGUGUCAUUAGAUUAUCACUAUUAAAAAUCCAAUUAAAAUGAUGCAAUAUGAAAAAUUAGCAGAUUAUUAAAAGGAAACCAAAAACUUAUAAAAUGAUGAUAUCUUAGAGAAAAAUUAGUAAAAACAACAUACAACAAAGCUAAAAUAACACAUUUUUUGAAGCACUUGGCACAGUCUACAUUUUGAACUAAAAACAAACUACAACAAAGCUAAAAUAGCAGAUUCCAUAGUUUCUUGAAAUAAAAUCUAACAAAGCUAAAAUAGAAGAUAUUUAUCAAGUUUUAUUAACUAUCUAUGUCUUUUUCAAACUCUUCCUCUUCAUCCUCCUCCUCAGUUUCCUCAGUUUCAUAUUCUUCUUCUGUACAUCCAUCUUGAAUUUUGUAAUGCUCUUCAAAUAAACCAUCAUUAAGAGAUUCAUUCAUUUCAAGUACACCCCCAUUCGGAUCAUGCAAUAGAAUAUCUUUAUCUACAGAAACAGACAUAUCUAUCUCAUGGACUUCAACUUCUUCAACUUGAAAAGGAACAUUCAAUUCUAAAGUUAUCACCACUUCCUCAACUGGUAAUUCAAUAACAUUUCAAGGUUUGACCUUCAAUACAGUUAGCCAAUCUUCUUUGUCCCUUUUCUUGCUUGGAUAAGGUACAUAACAUACUUGCGUUGCUUGCAUUGCAAGAAUAAAAGGCUCAUACUUUUUAUAUCGACGACGAUGGUUAAUAUCAACCAAUUUAUACCGAUCAUGCUUCUUAACACUAUCUAUUAUUGGGUCAAACCAUUUGCAUUUGAAUAACACAGUUUGCUUUAAAGGUGCUUCACGGUAUUCCACUUAUAUGAUCUCUUUUAUUCGCCUAUAAUAAUCCCCAAAAUUUGGAUCCGAGAUACAAACUCCACUAUUUAUUGUUGAUCUCAUGCUACCAUGACAUUCUGUGUGAAAUUUAUAUCCGUUAACAAAAUAAACUGAAUGAGGUGUAGCUCCUAUUAAUGGUCCACGAGCAAGACUACGCAAGUAUUCAUUUUCAAUGGGAUUACACCGAGCCUAUUUACAGAAAAAAUAAAGAUCUAGUUAAACAUGAGAAGCCAAUUUAAGUACAUGCAUCAUUAUAUGAAAGUUAAUAUUUAUUUAAAUCUUACAUAUCCCUUGAACCAUAUAGCGAAAUUUUCUUCAAGGCUCUCGUCUAUUUCGCUUUGAGAGAGAUUCAAAAAUUCUUCUUCCAAAUGUUGCAAGUACAUAUUUCAUUGCAACAAAUUAAUUUAUCUAUGAGAAGUCACGAUAUAAUAAUAGAGUUUAUUAUUAUUAAUUAAGAGAAUUUGGUUACCUCACAAAUGGCUCAACCUUCUCACAAUUUAGUAAAAUAUAAGUUUGAGCCGCCUUGAUUUCAUCUAAGAUUAAAUCUCAGUAAAAUAUAAGUUUGAGCCGCCUUGAUUUCAUCUAAGAUUAAGUCUCUUUUCUUUGCUUCUCCUUAAAGUCGACAUGGGAGAAUAUUGAAAGAUUUCCUUUAAGAUCUUCCACAACACCACCAUCGUCAUUACGAUCCACAUUAUGAUUUUGUGACAUGACAUGAGGUUCAAAAUAAUGAGAAAAUAAUUAUGUUGACUCCAUCAUCAAGUACGCUUCACAAAUGCAACCCUCAACACUAUAUUUAUUCCCAAUCAUCCUUUUAAGAGUUCCCAAAUACCUAUAUAUAGAAAAAGAUGUAACAUUAUGUUUUGAAAGGUUAUGUAUUAAUUAAUCGUUAGUUUGACAUAGAGCUACAUAUUUACCUUUCAAAAGGAUACAUCCAUCGAUAUUGCACAGGUCCAGCAACCCUUGCUUCAUAUGAAAGGUGCACAGGAAGAUGUUCCAUUGAGUCAAAGAACCCAAGAAUAAAUAUACGUUCCAACUUGCAUAAAAUUUGUGGAAUAUCUCUCUCUAAUCGCACCAUAUCAUUCACUCGUAGAGUGCUCAAAGUAAGAUCCUUAAAAAAUAAGCUCAAUUCUGUAAGUGCCUGCCACACAUUACUAGGAAGUAGUUCACAAAAAGCAAUAGGCAUUAGUCGUUGUAUGAACACAUGACAAUUGUGACUCUUCAUUCCAAAUAACCUUUUCGCAUUUGUGUCUGGCACCCUACCCAAAUUUGAAACAUGCCCAUCUGGAAACUUUAAGCAUUUCACCCAAUUAAACAAGAUCGCUCUUGCUUCCUUGUCUAAUGUAUAGACAGCUUUUGGAUAUUGGCCAUUACUAUCCUUUCCCAAUUGAGGUCGAUCACAAUAUUUUGCCGUAUCUAACUGUGACUGUGGAUUGUCUUUAGUUUUGUCAUCAAAAUUAAGAACAGUGUUAAAUACAUUAUCAAAGAAGUUUUUCUCAAUAUGCAUAACAUCAAGAUUAUGUCGAAUCAUGUUAGAACUCCAGUAUGACAAAUCCCAAAAGAUGCUUCACUUUUUCAACCCACAUGUCUUACAUAUUAUUUUAUUAAUUUGUUCUGCAUCUAAAUCUGUUACAUUUCUUAUCCCUAAAUUACAAAUCUGGUCCAAAAUUUUCUCUCCUGUUCUAUUUGUUGGGGGAGGUCUUCUGACAGUCUGGCCUUUAAGAAAAUUCUUUCGAUCUCUCCUAAAUGGGUGGUGCUAGUCAAGGAACAUUCUGUGGCAUUCAAAUCAGGAUUUUUUUCUUCCAUGCUGCAAUCUAAAAGAUUGUAUUUCCUCCAUACAAUAAGGACAUGCUAAUUUACCUGCAGUACUCCAUCCCGAUAACAUAGCAUAUGCAGGAAAGUCACUAAUUGUCCACAUCAAAGUUGACCUUAAUUGAAAGUUUUGCCUUUUUGAGAUGUCAAAUGUUGCCACACCUGUCUCCCACAACAAGGUCAACUCCUUAAUUAGGGGUUGCAGAUAAACAUCAAUUUUAUGUUUGGGAUUGCUGGGACCUGGAACAAUGAUAGUUAAGAACAUAUAAGCCUCUUUCAUGCACAUUCCUAGAGGUAAAUUGUAUGGAGUAACAAUCACUGGCCACGAAGAAUAUUUUCUUCCAGACUAAUUGAGUGGUUGAAAACUAUCUGUACAUAACCCCAACCUGAUAUUUCUUGGUUCAGCGGCAAAAAAGGGAUGACUUUCAUUAAAGUGCUUCCAAGCCUUAGAAUCUGAUGGUUGGCGCAUCAUACCAUCCUUUUUUUAUGAUCAUGAUGCCAUCUCAUGUCAGCAGCUGUAGCAUGAGAUGCAUAUAAUCUUUGCAAUCUCGGAAUCAAAGAAAAAUAAUACAUUCUCUUGUAAGGGACCAAUUUCCUCUUACGAGAGCCAACACAACGCUUAUACCUUGGCUUGCUAUAAAAUUUACAAGAUGUAAGGUGUUCAUCAUCAUCAACCCAAUACAACAUACAUACUGAUUCACAACAAUCAAUCUUUUUAACUGGCAAGCCCAAGCUACGCACUAACUUCUUCAUCUGAUAAUAGUUAUCAAGAACGAUAUUAUCUUUAGGUAAAGACUCCUUAAGCAAUUGCAUCAUUUGGUUAUAGCCUCUCUGUGACAUAUUGUUCUCUAUUUUAAUAUUCAACACUCGAGAUACAACUGCAAGUUGAGAGAGGGAUGAACCGGGAUAUAAUUCUGCAUCAGCAGCAUCUAACAAAUCAUAAAAUUUUUUUAAAACGAGAUUAGGAUCUUCCUCCAUUGAAUGUUGAAAAGGAUGAGAUGACUCGGGUUCACUAUUGCUAUAAGAUUGCCAGCUUGAACCCUGAGAAAAGUUGGGACCAGCUGCAUCCAAAAUCAUUUGUCGGUAUGAAUUCUCUUCGAAUAUUGGCUGACCACCACCAUGCAAUGCAUUACCAUAAGAAGUCUCACUUAUAUCAUCUCUUUCGUCUUGAUGCUUCCAAAUAAAAUAGUUCUCAAUAAAUUCAGAUUGAUAAAGGUGACAUUUAACAGUUUCAACAUCCAUGAAUUUAUAGUUCUGACAUUUUGUACAUGGACAUCUAACUUCGUCACCAUUCAUACGAUUUGGUUGAGAACAUGCAAAUUGAAUAAAUUCAUCCACCCCGNNNNNNNNNNNNNNNNNNNNNNNNNNNNNNNNNNNNNNNNNNNNNNACGACAAUUAGUCUUAAUUAAUAAUUAACCUUGUUGGAAAUUUUUAUUAACAAAUACGAUAAUGUAUGAUCAGGCUCUAUAUAAAGAACUACUUAGCAAAGAAAGCAUAAUUAAGUUGAUCAAUUGACAGUUAAAUAGUUUCACUAAAUUAUUCAAACUUAUGCUCUUAAAGUAGAAAACAAAACUAGUUUACCUUUAAAAUAAGAUAAAAGUGAUACAUACUUCUAUUUUAAGUUACAAACAUAAUCGAGAAGCCAACAAGCUUACCAAGAAAAAUUAAAAAGUCGAAAGAAAGUUUUAAAACACACCUGAUUGAAUACAAUACUCCACUUAUUUUACCACCAAUCUACAACUGCACUAUACCAAUUCCAGUAAAAAGACACCUGAAAGAUAAGUGUAUCAAAUAAGUAUCUGAAUAUAUGACACACCCCGUUAAAAUUUUUGUAGAAUCCAAGCAACAUUGAUGUACAUACAAAACAUUUGUAAAUAAUCGGUUAUCGGUUUAUUAGUUAAAACUAUUUUCCUUAUAUAUUUUAGAGCUUCCGUGGAAUAUAGAAGUAUUAUGGAAUAACUUUUUUUUCUUCAGUACAGUUGGAUAAAUAAAAUAUAAUGUAGAUAUGAUGGCUAAAUAACAUGGAAUAGUCAAAACAAUCCAGUUUCAACUUUUAACUUCGUCAUUCAACUAAUAAACCGACCACAUAAGACAAAAAUUUACAUUGCUGCACCAUCCAUAGUCCAAAGGAAUUAUUAUGAUACUUUUGUAUCAGUAUCCAAACAAUCCUCCAACAUGCUUUUAGACUUACAAUGUGAAGAAGUUAAUCUUUCCAUCCCUGGACGAAUAAAUACUCAAAAGUGCUAAAGCAUAUUCCAACUACCAAAGAUGAAUUUCUAUCAUAGGACUAGGAAAAGUUAAAUACCUCAGAGGAUAGCUCUAUGUCACAGAACAUACAAAUAGACAAGAUUUUGUUGAAGUAAGCUUAAAAUAACACGACCCAUUAUAGAAAUAUUUCAACAUGUAGCGGGGGAUUAAAAUCCAGCAGGAUGACUCAAUAAACCAAAGUUGUUCAUUCUUUACGAGAAGUCAAACUUUCUACAUAUUGGUUGAUGCCCUUCUUCCUAAACCACCUCACUGGACGGAUUAAAUAGCAAAUAAAGGCCAAGACAGGGUAGUAGUGUCACACAUCAUAACAACACUUACAAAAAACAGAAAGAGGAAAAUACCUCAAAUAGCUGGUUCCAUCAAAGCCAAAAGAAAGUAAUCGCGAAUCAAUAAUAUUUCCUUGCAGAUCAGUUCAGAAAUUACAUACAAAUGGAAUUAAUCAGUUGAAUAGAGGUCAAAUUGGAAGCACGUAUCCAAGAACUUGAAGAUCGGAAGUUGAUUCAGUAAAAAGGAAGACAAGUGAAGCAAGAGUAGUGAAGAAUUUUGAUCUAGAAAUGGAGAGGCACAUCAGUAUAGAGGGGAAAGUAUCUCAUUUUAGAGAGGAAGAGAUGGGGGGCGGAUGGAAAUGAAUAAAACCCUAGAGGCCCCCUCUAUUUUCUAUAGUAAAAAUAAUUAAUUGGAAAACUAUGAUUAAUAUUUUACGACGGCAUAGUUGGUCGCUAAACUAAAAACUUUUUUUAAAAAAAAUGAAGGGCACCGACGAAAGUUUUUUGCUAAAUCCGUUGCUACGAAAUAAUUAACAUAGCGACCAAAAAAUUCGUUGCUAGUCUGUCACUAAAUUUGGGCGCCAAUUUUUCCCGCUAUUAUUUAGUGACGAAAAUCAAAUUCCAUCACUGAUUCGUUGCUAAGAACAUAUCAAAAAAUUGGACUGCAAUGUCUGCGAUCAAAUUGAAUGUUCCGUUGCUAAUCCGUCGCUACAUAGUGAUGAAAUUUGGUCUGUCAGUAAAUUUCGUCGCUAAACACAGUUUUUUUUGUAGUGAUUGUUCUUGAGAAAUAAAUUUAAAAUAUAAAUGGUUCCCAACCAAUUAUUUUUCUCAAAUCCUAUAAUAAUUAUAUUAGUAGUAGCAAAAUAAAGAUGACAUAAACAAUUACUAACCUUGAAAUCUUUCAGAUUUAUAAUCUCACCUUGUUUGACAGAGUCUCGUGCUGAUAACGUGUUAUAAACUAAUAAAGAAUAAAGAAGAAGCGUAGAGAGAAUAGAGAGAGUAAUUCUUAUUUCUCUUGAGGGAUGAAUUACAAUGAGGGAAAACCACUUUAUUUAUAGGGGAAAACUAACCUUGGGGUUUGUAACUUUUUUUUUUUUGGUUAGAGGGGUUUGUAACUUUUUCAUAAAUAGACAUACACAAUAUAUGGUAAAAUAAGUAUUCACUAUAUAUGGUAAAGUAGACAUUCACGAUAUAUGGUACCUUUAUAACAAAAAAAAUCUUCUUUACAUUUAUACCCUUGAGUUUUUGUGGAAUUUUCUGCUACAUUAAAUUAGUCAAGUUAAAAAUUAAAAUAUUAAUAAAAAUUAUUACUAAUUUUCAGGUGUGAUGUGUCACUACGAAAAUCCUUAAUAGCAUGGUCUACUUUCAAUAUUUUUUUAUUGAUCAAAUAUAUCUUAAAUUAUAGAUUUAAGGCUACAUAAAUAUUUAAAUACCUAAAAAUUAUUUUUUAAAAAAUAAAUGUUCAAGUCACCAAUCCAUGAACUAAUUUUUUUUAUUAUUUAAAAAGCCUCCUUCCCCACCAAGAAAAAUUCAACCCAGUAAAUAAAGCAAACCAAAUGUGUUUAUAAAAAAAGCAAAUAUUAAUUAUGAAAUCAUAAAAUUACAGUGAAUCGAAUUUGAAAAAUUAAAUAGGACAUUCAUAAUUAGCUCAAUAUAAUUAGAGAGGACAUUAAGUUAUAAAAUAAAUUUAGAAAAAGAAAUUAAGGGAUAAUUUGAUAAUUUAAGGGUCUUAUCCAUGAAUUAUUAACCUCCGAUAAGUUAUCCCUUCAUUUACUAUGGAUAAAUUAAUACCACAUAUGUUGUAUAAGCAAUUCAUGUAUUAAGUUAAAAAGAAGAAACUAAAUAAUGUGUUGAAUAAGAUUAAAUUUUAAUCCAAAGAUUAUUCUAAUUAAUACAGCCUACCAAAUGGGUCUUUGGUGCAAUAUUUACAGUCCACCCAUUAAAGCCUAUCGUAGAACUAGGAGUAAUAUUAACAUAAACACAAGGCGGUAAAACUCCCGUGGUUUUGACACAUCUAGUAGCAUAAUCUCCUCGCUUAUUAGCUUCCAAGAACUUCAUCAAGUCAGAGAAGGUGACCAAAAAGUAGUAGUAGCAGCAGUGACUGAAGUACUGAUAUAUAAACUGGAUGGUAGUGCAGUAGAGAUGACUUUCCUAGCCAGGCCAUCAACUAGCCUAUUUUGCUCCCUGUAGAUGGAAGAAACUACUGGACUACCUAGCUGUAGGAGUAGGUACCUACAAUUAGACAAAAGUGUAGAGUUGUCAGUGUAUUUGUUUGCAUCUGUUAACACAACAGCAACUUGCUUGGCAUCCACAUUUAUUUCUAGAGGUUUGAGAUUAUUCUUGAUAGCAAGAUGUAAGCCUGCAAUUAGCGCUAAAAUUUCAAGUUGAUUAAUAUCUUAAGCAGUUGUAUAAGCAGUAAAUCUAAUCACCCAAUCCCCUCGGGAUUACAAAAGAUCCCUCCUAGGCCGGCAAUGUUAAGUUCAAAAAACAAAUCAACAUCCGUAUUUAGCAUUAGGUUGUCAUUUUUAGGAGGAAUCUAUUUGACAUAUAAAGUAGUAGGAAAAUUGGUAGUGUAUGGUCUCCUCGCUAGAUAGCAAUACUCAGUGGCGGAGUUUAUGGCAAAGCUUGGUGAAGGGUCAUUAUUCGCUUGGCCAUCAAACAAAUGUUUGUUGCGGUAAGUCUAAAUAAUCCACAAGUAGUACAGAAGCAAGACACUCGAAGGCAGCUUGGGAGAGGUGUAGGUAGCAUUGGAGUUUUGAAGGGGUAAGGACAGUGAUGAACCCAUGCCUAUCACAUUGAUAAGCUUUUCCCAGAAGUGGCUGAGGCCCAUGCACGAAAAGAACAGGUGGAAUAUUGUCUUGGCACUCCAUGCUGGCAGAGCCUACAAUUAGGCGACUGAAGGUAGGAAAUGUGGUACAAGUAUGAAGUUGUCGGGAGCCUAUUUAACCUUAAUAACCAUAGAAAGUAAUGUGGUACAAGUAUGAAGUUGUCGGGAGCCUAUUUAACCUUAAUAACCAUAGAAAGUAUUUAAUUUUUGGAGUAACAUUCAACUUCCAAAUCCAGCUACAAUCUCUAGGGAGCAUAUAGUCCUUUUUUAGGUAACAUUUGAUUGUAACAAGAUUAGAUCGUAAACCUACUCGUGGGAGUAAGUCCCCAUUUAAUACGAUCAUAUGCAUUAGCAAAUAUAGGGAAAUAGACGGCUAGUAUUUGGCUAACUAUAGAUUGAUGGAGAACAAAAGGAAUGCUUGCCAAGUUCCAAGAGUCAUUAGCUCUAUAGUCAGAGAUAAGUUUAAACUUUUUCGAGUGAGGUUCUAGAAAUUAAUAUGCCUCCCGUUAGCCAGUUGCCAGAUGAUCCCAUUUGGACAGUACUUCCACCCCAACAUAAGGUUCUUCCACACUGAGGAAAUGGUAGUUGAGUUGGGGGAACGAUUGAGGUAUUUGUUCCUCAGAAUAGCUGUUCAGAAUGAGUUCUGUUCGUGAAAUAAUCUCCAUUCAGUUGAAGCUAGCAAGGCAUGAUUCUUAGUUGUUAAACUUUGGAUACCCAAUCCCCCGUCUUUCCUGGGCUUCGUUAUAUUUGACCAUUUCACAAGAUUAAUUUCCUUGUGGAAUUUAGAAGUUCCCCAAAUAAAAUCUUUUCUGUAUUUCUCCAUUUUCUUAAUAACUUAGAUAGGUAACCUGUUAAUUUGCAUAAAAUGAUUUGGCAAAGAGUUUAGCACUGAAUUAAUGAAAGUCAGCCGACCUACAGUGGAAAGGAAUUUACUUUUCCACUCUGUUAGACGACGCUUGAAGCUAUUUAUGAGGAAUUGAUAAUCACCCUUAGUAGGCUUAGAACUUCUAAUCAGAAAGCCUCAGUAUCUACUAAAUCUAGCUCGUUCCGCGAUCCCAAAUGUAGAACAAACAUGUUUAAUUCUAGCCGGUGUGUUAGCUGAGAAAAAUAGCCUAGAUUUAGCGGCGUUAAUUUAUUGCCCAGAUGACACACUAAAGCUAGCAAGGGUUUGCAGUAUAUUUCGACGUUAGUGAUUUUUUAUCUAGCUAUAUAGGAUAAUGUCAUCUGCAACUUUGGAGAAAUUUUUGUAGGUGUCCACAACCCAAUUUUAACCUAUAGGUCUAUUUUCCUCGUCAACCUUUCCAUACAUAGGAUAAAAAUAUAUGGUGACAAAGGAUCACCUUGACGGGUUCCCCUUGUUGGGUAAAAGAUAGGAAAGGCAUUCCCAUUAGGGGAAUGGACAUAACGGAGGUAGUAACGCAGGACAUAAUCAAGUUAACUAAUUCAUAAGGGAACCUAAAUAGAGGAGUGUCUCCCAUAUGAAGGACCACUCUAAUCGAUCGAAAGCUUUCUCUAGGUCUAUUUUAAUGAGAACAUGAGAGUCCCUACCUUUAGUAUGUUUAAAGUAGUGGAGGAUUUCCUGAGCUAUUAUGGCAUUCUCAGUUGCAUGUCUAUUUGUUAGGAAGCUAGCUUGUGUCGGUCCUAUUAUUUGAGGUAGCAAAGGCUAGAUCCUAUUAACAAUAUUUUUAGUAAUUAUUUUAUAGAUAGUAUUACAAAGACUUAUAGGUCGGAAUUGAGAAAUAGAGGAUGCCCCGGAUACCUUAGGAAUUAGACACAUGUAGGUUGUAUUUAUUUUCUUAGGAAUGCAGUAACUCAAAAACACCUGACCGCAGAAAUUGACCACGGAAUGACCCACUAAAUGUAGAAAUUACUGGUAGAAAAAAGGGUGCAGACCAUUUGGACCAGGUGCUUUGAAAGGUUUGAAGGAAUAGAUAGCGUCAACUACCUCCUUACCGAGUAGGGAAGCUGACAAGGAAAAAGUAAUAUCCGGGGGCACGAAGCAAGAGAUAGCUAAGGAAUGUGACCAACCAGAGGUGUUGAAGUCAGUAGAGUAAAGGGAUGUGUAGAAUUCUAAAAUAUGAUCCUUAAUGAUAUGAUCUUCACUUAUCCAGUUACCCACACUAUCCUGUAGGCUAGUGAUAUGGUUCCUCCUCCCUCUUUGGAGUGUUGACAUAUGGAAAAACUUGGUGUUAGCAUCACAGUUAUUUAUACAAAGAAUUCUAGAAUUCAGUUUCCAGAAAUCUUCCUCCAUAAUAAGUAAAUGUUGAUAGUCAGCUUGAAGGGUUUCUUCUAGACUUUGGAGGCACAUAAUAGUUGGGUAGUGAGCAGAAUUUUGAAGGCUUUGUAAACGGUCUAUUAUCAAACCCCCUUUUCAGCUUGAGGGACCGAGGUUGAAUGUUUUUUUCAAUUAAAGUGACGAUAUUGAAUAUGGAUUAUUUUUAAUUACAGAGUCGCCACUUGAAAUUGAGUUAUGGUGUUCCAAGUCACCUUAUUGAAUCCCUAAGCAAAAGAAAAUGACUCUUUGUUGGUCUGCGAAAAUAGAACACUGGGUAAGGAAUUCUGUUGACUGAUGGGAAGGUGUGAGGCACCCCUCUAGUCUCGUGGUUCAAGCGCGGUCGCUUUUAUUGGCUUAUCUUGACUUAAAUUCUUUUAAUAAAUUAUGUUAAGGCCUAAAAUCACUCAUUUUAAAUUAUACCAAAAAUGUCUGACUACACCUGUUAUGUUAAAUAAAUUGGUAAAAAUUAAUUUUGGAAGAAUAUUUGUCAAGGUGCAUUAUUGCAUCCUCGAAUUUUUAAAUGUCUCAGAAAGAUGCGUACGCUGCAUUCUUAAUUGAAACGAAUAUUUUAAACGUGCCUUGAAUUUUCCUAAUGUUAAAGGCUUUGGAUCCUCUAUAAUAAAUUAGAAAUAAUUUUAUCUUGUCUAAUUUUAUUCUUAUUUUUGCUCUCUUUUCUUUUAAAAUUCGUGACGAAUUUUGGAUUAGUCCGUAACUUAUCUGGCUCCCUCACAAAUAGGUUUUCCUCUCUUUUUUAUGCAAUGAAAUUUAGAAUAAAUCUGUAUCCCAUCUCGCUCAUUUUCACCUUAAUUAAUAAAUGGGCCCUAAAAGUAAGUGUAGGCUUAACUAAAUUUUAACGAAAAAUAGUAUGUUAAUCCCAUAAUUAUUAUAAGAUUAUUAUAUUAUUUUUAUAUUUCAAAUACCACAAAUUAUAUGUUAAUGAGAAGAGAUAUAGGAAACUUUGCCAUGCACAUACUGUAUAAAAAUGCAUUUUUUGAUAAACUAAUAAAGAUAAACUAAAUUUAAAUCAACAAUCUAAUUUUUUAUAGUAUCACUAUAUCUUUUUAACUUCAUGUAUUUAAUUCUAUUUCCUAUUUUUCUAAUAUAAUCAAAUAGUGAAUCAAAAGAAACCAAACUCCUUAUUCUGACUAAACAACUACAUAGAUCCGUAGUAUAUAUUAUUUUUAUUUUUUUUGCUAACCAUAAUACUCAUAAACCAUAACUUCACAGAAUAAUUUAGUCACUAACUUAAACUCAAACUCUAACUUAUGUUUUAAAAUAUUUAAUCUCAAAAUGGUGUUAAAAAUAUAGUACAAAAAUGCUAAACCUAUUACAAAUGCUUGCAAAUAUUAUUUUUGAAAAAGUACGUAACUAAAAUUGGCCAUUAACAUUGCACCUUUAUAUAGUCUAACUAAAAAUUAAUCCUAUGAUCUUAUUUAUAUUUUUAUUAUAAUCACACUCUUCAUGCACGUUUCAAGCAAGUCAUCAAUUAAAACUGUAGUAGUAAAAAAAAAAAAAAAUAAAAAUUCAAGGAAACAAAACUAACACACUAAGAUCAAAUUAACAAAUUAUUAAUUCCAUUUUCAGUAACCAAGUAACCAAAAGCACCGAGCAAGAAAAUGAAUUAACCCACUGUUAACUAACGAUAUUCAAGGAAAAACAAAAAUAUUAAAUCGCUUACAGAUCUGACCAAACGAAAACGGAAAGAAAAAAAUGAACAGAAUCACCAUUGGAACACCAACAUCACAAUUUUAUUUGACACAUUAUUAUGCUACAAGAGAAGGUUCGAGGCUUACCUCUUGCAUGUUAAAAUUUAAGCAAAAGUUGUUAAUAAUCCAUUGAAUUCCAAGAAAUAGUAACUGCUCAACUCCUUCUGAUUCAAACUGUAUGAUGAACUAACUAAACGAGAAACACGAACGACGUCACUGAAAACUCGAAUGGACCCCAACUUGAACUCAAGUCAUCCUUCCUUUUUUUUUUUUUGGUUUCACGUACUCUCCCUUUUUCUCUCCUUUCUGUUUUUUUUACUUGUUUGUGUCUGAAUCUGUGUAGAAUCUACAUCUAAUAGUCUGAGGGUGGGAGUCCUUAAAUAGAAGGAUUUUGGGGGAGUAGUUAGGGUAGUUUAGCAUUCAAAUUUUGAAUUUUUUUUUUAGGAUAAUGAUCUCCUUUUUUUUUUCUUAUAAUAAAUAAAUAAAUUAUAUAUAAAAUAAAUAAUAAUAAUAAUAAUAAUAAUAAAAAAUAUUAACUAAUUAAUUUUUAUACUUAUGAAAAACAUAAAUAAAAAUAUAACUAUCUUAAAAUAAAAUAUAAUUAAGAGAAAAUAAAAUCACAAGCUUAUUUAUAAAAAUUUAAAUUAAAAGAAAAUAUUUUUUGAAAUUUUUUUACAUUAUUUUAAAAAUAAAAACAAAAAAUCUUAAAAUGUAACUUUAUUUAUUUAUUUUCAACUGAAACUUAUUAAAAAUGAAAUAAGAGUUAAAAUAAUACCGGACCAAAUAUAAAUGUUUAAUAUUGAAAAAUAUAUAUUAAACUCGGGGACGGUCAACCGGUUUCUACAUCUAUGAGCCUUCUUGUUUUAGCAAAAAUAUUGCCAAAGACAUGCUUAUUCCAAAGUAGGACAUUCUUUGUAAACAGUUUUGAGGCUGGAAGGAAAACAUUAUUCAAACAUUAUUCGAUGCUCCCCAUGCCGCGAACACAAUAUUUGGAAAAUCAGGAUGUGAAGUCCAGAUGGUUUCUAGGAGAAAUGGUUUAUUAGGGAAGUGCCUUGCGGAGUUUAACUUUAGUAAGAGUGGGUUGUGGUCCUAUUGAACCGUAGGAAGAUGGAUUACUGCCGCCUCGGGAAAAAGGUGCAGCCACUCAUAAUUGCAAAUAAUUCUAUCUAAGCGUUCCAUAAUGGUAUUGCCCCCUGUACGUUUAUUCGUCCAAGUAUAUUUGCUACCUGUGUAGCCUAGGUCUAUCAUUAUACAGUCGAUUAAACCGUCCAGGAAUUUAUUAAUUUUUUGAAGUUAAGCAGGACCUCGUUAAAAUCAUCCGCUAUAAUCCAAUGUCCCUUAUUAGUGUCUCCCACCGUAUGCAGAUUGUUCCACAAGAAAAGUCUAUCAAAUUAAAUAUUAUUUGCAUAAAUAGCUGAGAAUAACCACUCAGUAUGAGAAGGAAUUACCUGAAUUUUGUAAUGAAUUUUACGGGGUGAGACCCACAGCCGAUCCAGUGAGGAUAUCCUCAUGCCAAAGUAUGGCAAUUCCACCCGCGCGACCUGUUCUAGGGACCGCUAUAAUAUUUGAAGACUGAAACUCCUGAGGAAGAGACUGGUGGUCUUCUUGAUGAGUUUCAAUAAAAACAACUAGAGCUGGCUUGUAAAAGUCCAGGAGCUCCCUAAAAUUCCUUUUAAAGUCUGGCCUUCUAGACCCACGACAGUUCCGGACCAUAAAGUUCAUAGGAUAAGGUGCCGAGGUGGAACAAGUGCUUCAAACCUCUGCCCCAAGGAAGGGUUUAGAACUAGUGCAUACUUCCCCACUAGUGGAUUGAGAGUCGGGCGUAUAUGCAGAGAACAUUUGUGCAUACUUGGGAGGCAAUUUAUACAAAUCUUUUUUCUAACCAUUCUUUUAGGAGAAAGACCCAUACCUGCCCCAAGAGAACUGACUCUAGAUUGGUGAUAUGCAUCUCCUCCUCCGUGCCUACUACUUUUUCCUGAUUUCUUGGUGGCGUGUGUGAGUGGGGGAGCAGUCUGAGGGCUAAAGGGCACACGCAUGGAGCUGACAACCGUGGACAACAUAGUGGUAUACUACUGGAUCCAUGGAGUCACCCCUUGUUGUUGUUGGGGUAAAAGUGAACUCCACAUGAGCAUUCAGUGGUGGUUCCACUGUCCAGUAGUGCUGCAUGAAAGCAUCCAGACCAAGUCUCAUUCCCUCCGUAACUAUUUGUGCUAGGUUUUCCGGAUGCUGUAUCAUCACAAGAAUUUGUUCUCCGUUGAUAUGGAGAUUGAAAGUUAGUGCAUGCCUCCCUAGUCUCAUUUCCAACCAAGAACUGGGAGCUUGUGGGUUCAUUGACAUAUAUACCACACGAUUUUGAGGGUUGAUCUCUAUCGACACCGUAUUUUCUAUUUGAACAAUCCAAAUUAGUUGGUGAAAUGGACCUUGAGGGGUGUGGUGAAUGUGCAGUCUUGUGUUGGGGCAGUUGAAGUGGAGAGACAUUAUAUAAGGGGGAAGAGGAAAUUAAUUUUUUAUUAUUUAAUGCAGUAGAAGCGUGUAAGUCAGUAGAGGGAAUAGAAGGGUUAUGUCAUCAGUAACAUUUAUAUUAGAUAUGUUUAGAGCCAGAGUAGAAGAUAUGGUUGAGUUAAAACCAGAGGGGCAAUCAUUAUUAUGAUCUAUGGCAUUUAUUGUGGGGAUAUUGGUAGAAGAAUGAUCAUGCAUGGAAGCCACGUGUGGCAUAGUAGAAGUGAAGAUAUGGUCUGUAAUUUCUAGAAGAUCAAAAUUAUCAUUAUUUAAAGUAUUAAACGGAUUCUCACUAUGAAUUAAAUUAUUUUGAUGAGAAUUGGCGUGGUCAUUAUUAGUAGAGUCAUUAAGAUUUUUGGGACCCACCUGCUUUUGCUGGUACAUCAUUGGCGACUUUGAUGGGGCAGGAGUAGAAAGGUUUUUUAGGUUUAACUUACCUAGGGUUCCCAUCAUCGCCGCCGGAAAAUCCCUUGAGCCAUUAAUAGAUGAUGAAAACUUACCUUUACCAUUUAGAUUCACACUUGUUGUUGUUCUAGUAUUUUGGUGGAUAAUAGGACUACAUCGUGGUGUCGAUUUGAACUGCACUAUCUUUCAUUCUGAGUCUGAAUCCGCGGUAAUGUUUGUUUUCCCCAAUGGGUUCUCCUUGGGGCGAUCUCUUUGGGUUGUUGAAAUAUGGUGGCACAAUCUUGUUAGAUGACCGAAUCUGCCACACAUAGUACAUAGUAUAUUGAAUCCCUCAUAAUGUAUCUCUUGUUUGUGGGAUCCUAUGUAUACAUGAUGAAGCAACGGUUGCUCCAUCGGCACCUGCAUACCUUCCUCGAGAUGUUGUAAAGGUACAUGCGUCUAUCUUCAGUAAAAGUCCAACCUUUUCCCCAACUUUAUGUAGGAUUUCCAAAUCAUAGAACUCACUUGGUACAACAAAUUUAUGUUCCCAUCUAUUGACUGAUAGGUAGCUAUUCCGGACGAACCAAGUUCUGUUAUGUAGCACAUGGAUCACAUUUUGUUCCUUAGUGAGUUUAACCAGGAAUUAGUCCGAACCCAAGUCAACAAGGUUGAGAUCCUCAGUUGGCUUCCAGAUGUAAGUUAAUUUCUGUUUCAGAAUUUGAUGGGUCAUCUUUUUACCAAUAAGUUUGAUAAUUAAGGAGUUUUUCCAUGGCUUAUGGAUGCGGCUUUUGUCUUCUGCACUUAGAGGAAUGAAAGUUGAGUCAUCAUAUUCUUGAACUAUCUCAUCCUUCAUAUCAAAAAAUCUUGUAGUGAUAUUUACAUUAGGUUGCUGAGGAGAUGCCAUCAAUUUUCAUAGGUAGGAUUGGUCCCCAUGAGCGGACUGUUCUAAGUCUUUAUCAGUUUCAGUUAGCAUACUAGUGUGAAGAAGGAUGGACUAAUUACAAGAUAGUGAAAGUAGAAAGAAGUUAGAGAAUUUUCUCUCACUAACCCAUGUUCUUCUUUUGGUUUGGCUCAUUGUUAUUUGACUAUAUUAAAGUUGCAUUCCACUACGUUUAAUUUUAGUUUCAAAGUCUGAUUUGCUAUUUUUUUCCUAAACAUCUUAGGUAGCUACUAGACAGAAUUACAACAUAAGAACUUACUUUAUGUGAUUCCACAUGUGGAAUAUUGGGAAGAUGAUGUGUACGGAGAUCUUAACCCUAUUUUGUAAGAGUAGAUAUGUUAUUUCCAAAAGAUUUUUGGUUCAAGAAAAGCAUAACAAAUCAGGUAUUAAAGAAAAUAUAACAGUGAAGAAGUUGUGCUGAAAAUAAUACUAAAAAAAAUAAUAACAAAGUAAUAUGAUAAUCAAUGCAAGAAAAGCAACAAAUAAGAAUAAAAUUCAAGAAUAAAAAAUAUUUUUAUGUAGCAUAGUCCCAUCUUGAUGUACAAGAAAGAAUUACAAAAAAAAAUAAAUGCAUACAUAUUUUCUUUUUGGAGAAAAGACAUUGCAUAACUGUUGGAACCUUGAAGUUUUGAUGAAUGACAAUAUAAAUGAAACAAGUUGAUAUGAGUUAAUUCAUUUGCAAUAUGAAUGAAACAAAUUGAUAUGAGUUAAUUCAGUGCAACUGAAAACUUCAACUUACUGAUCACAUGGGGAAUAAAACAAGUUGAAUUUGAUUCAAACACUUGAUGAUAAGGGAAAACAAGUUGAUUUGAAAAAGGAAUCCUACCUAAAGAAGGAGUUUCACUUCUGAGCAUAUCCUGAAGAGUCCUAUGUGUAGAAUGAGAAAGAUUCUGCAGAUCGAAAAUGUCUACACAAGAUAGGAAACAUAUAAAUUGAAGGACUCUUUGUUAGAUCAAUGAAGUUUUUGAUGACUGACACAUGAAUGAAACAUGUUACUUAACCUGGUCCAAGCAUAGGAAGGUAGGUUUCAAGUUUUACUGAUAGAUGCAGACAAAGAUUGCUGAAAGUCAGGAACGAAUGAGCAAGCCUAAUUCUGAUAUACUCAAGCUACUAAUCACGUGAGAAAUUGAAGACGUUGUGGUUGAGUAAAAUACUUGAAGAUAAGUUGAUUUAAAGAGUUGAAGUUUGACUACAACACUAAGGAGAUAAGAGUUGGAAUUGAAGAAGGAGUCUCACUUGAAGUAGAACUCUACGUAAUGAGAGUUUUGAUUAAAGGAGGAGUUUAAAAUAAAGAAUGACUCUUUGGAGAGCUGUGUUUAAAUAGAAGAUGCAUCAUUCAGAGUAAUUCACGCACUUACAAAGCAGAAAAGGACAAUCGACAAAUUGACGUCACAAAGUGCUAUUCAAUCACUGAAGAAACACAUUGAAGAACCAGGUCCUAAGUAUAGAAUCCAGCUAAGAGUUUUAGCUUUGAUUUUUAGAGUUUUUUAUUGUGUUUGAGCUAUUGAUGUAAUAUUAGUUUCAGUGUGUUAUAAACUGAAUUAGGAGAUAGUCUUCGAGUUGGGAAAAACUCAGAGACUUUGGGAACGCAUACCUUGGGAGGUGUGUGUAUAGUUAGGAACUAAUCGUUGAGUUAAAGGAAUUAGAGUUUAUAAUUCUUAGUUGUUGAGAUUUAGGGAUCAGAGUUUAUGAUUCCGAUUUGUUGGUUACAAGAAUUUUGUAAUCAGUCGUUGUUGAGACUCAGAGUUAUUUAGUGAAGUUGGGGUUAAAUCCUAUAGAGGUGCAGGUCGUGUUUUUUUACACCUUUUGAGCUGGGUGUUUUCCACGUAAAAAUUAUUGUGUUCUUUACUGUCUGUUUUACUGCUUCCUUGAAACACGUUAGGCAACCCGUUCCAUCGAUAAGCAACAGUUAGGCGAAAAUAAGAUAAUCUGUAGGGCACGAACUCUAACAAUAACCUAUCACAAAUAAAUGGCCCACAGUUAGAGUUAAUUAUCAAUGAAUAACCAAUCCGCCAAACUAAUUCCUAAAAUUGGACACUUUUAAUCCCUUUUCCAUUUGGGCCAUUCGACUUUUUUUAAAAAAUAAUGCAGUUUUUUUGAAGCAUUGAUUGCUCAUUUUAUUAUGUCAAUUUAUGGUCAGAUAUUUGCACGUUUAUUUUUGUUCCUGUCUCUUUCUUUUUCUUGUUGGAAAUUGAUUUUAAUGGUUGUUCUUUUCAUGUGUUUGCUCAUGAUGAUAUUUAUUCUCGUCGUCUGUAUUUUUUUUGCUACAAAUAUUUUGACUAUACAUAUGCAUGGAUAUAUAAUUUUUAUACCAAACUAAUACAACAUUUAUACCAUAUUGAUACACUUUUUCAAAAGAGACAAAACCUAUACAUGCAUAUAUAAUCCCUGUACCAAACUGAUACAACGCUUAUACCACAUUGAUAUACUUUUUUAAAAGAGAGAAAAUCUACGCAUGAAUAUACAGUUCCUACACCAAACUGAUACAAUGCUUAUACCACUUUGAUACACUUUUUCAAAAAGAAGAAAUCUAUGCAUGCAUAUACAGUCCCUACAUCAAACUGAUACAAAACUUAUACCACAUUGACAUACUUUUUCAAAUGAGAGGGAGCCUAUGCAUGCGUAUACAAGGAAAGAAAUCUAUGCAUGCAUAUAUAGUUCCUACAUCAAACUGAUAUAAAGCUUAUACCACAUUGACAUACUUUUUCAAAUGAGAGGGAGCCUAUGCAUGCAAAUACAAGGAACCCUUAAACGAAGCAAUAAGAACUUUAAAUAAACGAAUAAGGAGAAGAAGCCUACAGGAAAAUGGCUAAAAAUAAAAAUUAAUUUAGUGGUUAAUUAUUGGUAAUUAGUUUUUGGUGGCUGUUAUGGUGAAAUUAUUCUAGAGUGAAGUGUCAUUUUUGCACCCUUUCCUUUCUUUUUUACUUCCUAAUGAUUUAUGUACAAUGAAAAAAUAAGGAUAUAAGAGUUAUGGUUAUCGAGGUAAACAUAUUGAUCUGCGAUUCAACAACUAAUUAAAAUAUUAUGGAAAAGAUGAAUUGUGAAAUAAUAUAGAAAAUAUAAUAAUCAUAGUAUACGUGGAAGGUCAAUAAAGUAUUGAAAAUUAAACUUUUUUUUUUGUGUGUGUGUGAUAUGGUUUUACUCUAUCUAAAUAGAGUUAAAUGAAGUCAUUACAAUACAAAUAAUAUAGAACAAGAUAACAAGAGAACAAUAUAAGAUAAUUCUUUUAAGUGUAUUGAACAUCUUGCUCAAGACCUAUAUUAUGGUAUUACAUUAGGGGAUAAGGGGUACUUCAAGAGGUGUCAUAAACAUGACAUUAACUCAUGAGAAAGUGGAGAAGAAUAUGGGGGAGUGGAUGAUUAAUGAGGAGGUGAUGGAGGUGUGGGAGUUACUACACUUAAAGGAUGAGUAAUGCCCAGAAGUUAUGGACAUCCAAAAUAAUAUCAUAAUAAUUAUUUACAAUACUUCCCCUUGAAUGUUCAUUGAAAGACAAUGUUCUUCGUUAAAAUCUUAUUAGGAAAAAACUAUGGAAAAAAAUCCUUGUAACGUAAAAAGAGUACACAUAUAUUCUUAUACGCAUUGUUUGCCACCUCGUUAAAACCUUCUCAGGAAAAUCCAUUGAGACAAAAUUUAGACCAAGAAAAAAGAAUACAGUGCGCAUUUACUCUCCUUGAUGCAAAUAUCAUUUCAUUUUUCGGAGACAACGUAUCCCAAUCUUGAAUAUCAGUUUCUCAAAUGUUGAGGUCAGUAAUGUUUUAGUGAACAUGUCUGUCAAAUUAUCGGCACGAAUUUGUUGAACAUCUAUUUCACCUUUCUUUUCAAGAUCACGAGUGAAAUCGUUCUUGGUGUAAUGUGUUUUAUUUUGUCUCUUUUAAUGUAACCUCCCUUCAACUAAGCUAUACAUGUAGCCUUAUCUUCAUACAAUGUAGUUGGAAUAUCCUUAUUCAAAGAAAAUUCACGCAUUUUCUGAAUACGUUGAAUCAUUGAUCUCAAUCAAAUAUACUGAUCUCAAUCAAAUACACUCCCGGCUCGCUUCAUGAAUGACAAUGAGUUCUGCAUGAUUUGAAGAAGUUGCAGGUAAUGUUUGCUACAUUGAAUGCCACGAUAUAGUUAUGCCACCAUAUAUUAAUAAAUAAUUCGCCUGAGAUCGAGCCUUAUGUGGAUCAUAAAAGUAUCCUGUAUUUGCAUAACUAGUCAUUUUUGACUUAGAUUCAUUAGAAAAUAAUCCUAAGUCAAUGAUUCUCUGAAGGUAUCUAAAUAUAUGCUAGACACCAUUUCAAUGUCUUUUUGUUGGGGAAGAACUGAAUCUUGUCAAUAAACUUACUGCAAAAUAAAUAUCCGAUUGAAUAUUAUUGACAAGAUACAUUAGUACGUUGAUUGCACUUAGAUAUAGAGUUUCAUCGCCAAGAUGUGCUUCAUCAUUUUCUUCAGGUCGUAAUGGAUCUUGUUUAUAUCAAGCAACCUCACAACCAUUUGGGUACUCAGUGGAUGUGAUUUAUCCAUGUAAAAUCACUUUAAAAUCUUUUAGUGUAUGUUGAUUGAUGGAUAAAAAUUUCAUUUGUCAAAUGCUCAAUCUGUAGGUCGAGAUAAUUUUUUCCUUUUUCAGAUUUGUCAUUUUAAAUUCUUUCUUCAAACACUCAACAACUUUUGAAAGCUCUUUAGGAGUGCCAAUAAUAUUCAAGUCAUCAACGUACACAACUAUGAUAGCAAAUUUAGAUUCAGACCUUCUUAUAAAAAUACAAGAGCAAAUAGGGUCAUUUUAAAACUCUUUUUUUAGCAAAUAUUCGCUAAGUCGAUUGUACCACAUCUGUCCUGAUUGUUUCAAUCCAUAUAAGGAUUCCUAAAGUCUUAUUGAGAAAGUUUCUUGCAAACUUUUAUAUGCUUCAGAAACUUUGAAGGCUUCUGAAAUUUUCAUAAAAAUAUCAUCGUCCAAUGAGUCAUACAAAUAGGCCGUGAUAACAUACAAAAGACGCAUAUAAAACUUUUCAUUAACUGCCAGAUUUGUUAUAUAUCUAAAGGUAAUUUCAUCCACCACAGAAAAACAUGUCUCCGCAUAUAUAGUCAAUGUCAGGCCUUUCUGAAAAACCUUGUGCCACAAGCCAUGCUUAUGAUUUUACCUUUUUUAUUUUUUUUUUGAACAAAACCUCAUUUAUACCCCACUGACUUGACACCUUUAGAUGUUCGGACUAUUGAUUCAAAAAUUUUACAUUUUUCAAGUGAAGUCAAUUUUGCUUGAAUUAGAUCCUUCCAUUUUGACAAAUUAUUUCUCUAUCUUCAUUCAUUGAUAGAUUAUGAUUUUAAAUCCUCAUCGUGUUGCAUUAUUUCAGUAGCAACAUUGUAAGAAAAAAUAUUGUCAACCACAAUAUUUUUGCGAUUGUACUUAUUUCUUGUUGAGACAUAACUUAUUGAAAUUUCUUAAUUUUUAUUAAUUUCAGGUAUUUUAAUCUCCUCAGUGGUCUUAUCAUUUGAUAGAUCUCGAGAUUCUUUUUAAGCAAUUGCCACCAUAUCAUGAUCAUUCUGAUAAUUUAUUUUUUAUAAUUUUUUUUUAUCCUUGGAAUCAAUUGGUCUACCAUGUUUCAAAUGUGGCUUAGACUCAUUUACAUUAACCACUCGUCCUAUCAAGAUAUCAACUCGAACUAGAGCAUUUGCAGCUGGAAUAUAAGAUUCAACAACUCUUGAUAGGUUAGAAAAUGAAUCUGGCAGCUGAUUUACAAUAUUUUACAAGUAAAUCAUCUUUUGAACAUCUAACUUACAUUGAUUUGUUCGAGGAUCUAACUGAGAUAGUGAUAAUGAUAGUGAUAAUGCAUUUCAAUCUAUCUCAUGUUUCAACUGCUUAUGUUCUCCUUCUAAUAUUGGGUAUACUAAUCCAUCAAAAUGUCAAUCAAUAAAUAUUGUCGUAAAUAAAUCUCCUGUCAUAGGUUCAAAUAUUUAUCAUGGAAGAAGAUUCAUACCCAAUAUAUAUUUCCAACCUUCUCCGGGGUUCUAUCUUUGUGUAUUGUGGUGGAGCAAUUGAAACAUAUAUCGUACACCCAAAUAUAUUAUGAUGAAAAAUGUUUGAUUCUUGACCAAAAGUCAAUUAUAAUGGAGAGAAUUUAUGAAAUCUGGUUGUCCUUAUGCGCGUAAGUGCUACUACAUGCAAAAUAGCAUGCCCCCAUGAUGAAAUAGAAAGUUUUGUCCUCAUUAACAUCGAUCUAGCUAUCAAAUGAGGAUGUUUGAUCAGUGAUUAUGCUAAAUCAUUUUGAGUGUGAACAUGAGCAACCGGAUGUUCAACUUUUAUUUCGAUGGACAUACAAUAGUCAUUAUCAAGAUGAGUAGUCUUUAUUGCAUAAUUUGCAAAUUGUGCUCUUAACCUUGUUAUUUGAGCAAAUAAUUUCCCAAAAGUCAUAUUGCUAGUUAAUAAUAAGCACACAUGUGAUCAUCUUGUACAUUGCAUCUAUCAAGAUAAUAUAAUAUUUGAAAGGUUCAUAUAGAGGAUUAAUUGAUCCAUAUAUAUCAUCUUGUAUACAUUUCUCCCAACCUUAGUGAUUGAUGGUUUAAUAAUCAAUUUUCCUUGAGAACAAGCAACACAAGAGAAUUCCUUUAAUUGAAGAAUAUUUUUAUUUUUCAAAAUAUGCUCAUAUGAAUUCUCAAUCUGCACAUCAUAUUAAAAUUGAGAUGGCUCGACCGGUUAUGCCAAACGAUAAAAUCAUUAGAACCUAUAAAUCUUUUGCUUACUACGACAUGUGAUUCAACCACACAAAUACUUAUUUGGUACAAUUUAGAAGAAAGUGCAGUUAGUUUUUCAUGCACAAACUUUUUUUCUAGUUUUAUUAUAGUAAUAUAAUGGUAUUCAACCUUUCCUUCAUUUGUAGUCUCAAUAUGAUAGCCAUUUUGAGAAUAAUCUUGAAACUUAACAAGUUUCUUUGAGACUUUCUACAAUAUAAUGCAUUAUUAAUGACCAAUAUUAUUCCCCUAGGUAGUAAUAAGGUAGCUCUUCAGAGCUCUUAAUUGACUUUGUACUACCGAAUAUUGUAUUAACAUAAAUCCUUUUCAUAAUCAAAUUAGAGAAAUGUUUAUUUUCUCUUAAUAUAGUGUGAGUUGUAGCACUAUCAAGAAGACACAUAUCUCUUUUACUCAUCUUGGAUUCAAUUAAAGAUUGAAAAAAAUUAUUAUCUUUAAAAAAAAAAUAACAUGACAAGAAAUGUGAAAUCUCACAAUCUUACAAUGAAAUUUAAAUAUUUUUUUCUUGAAAAAUAAAAAUAACAUAGUGAAAAAAUAUGAUAACUAAAAAAACUACAUAAGUAAAAUAACAAAAUUUAUUUUCCCAAUAAAUUAAUUAAGAUUUAGUUUGGAUCUCCAAAGAAGUCUUCAACUUCCAAAUGAGUAAUAUCAUCAAGGCCAUCAAAAUCAUCAUCUUUCAAAAUCAAAUUUGCCUCAAUAUUGUCAUCAUAUCUUUGUAAAGGUGCUGCCUCAUCAUUAUUCUUAAAAGACUAAGUGUGACUCCAUUCGGGCAUUAGAAUAGGUCCCAGCUUCAUUUCUCUUUCUUUUGAAAGAAUCUUGAUAAAGCCUAGCAAAAUGCUUAGGUGCACAACAUUCAUUCACCCAAUGGUCUUUCAUGUCGCAAUGAUGAUAGUUACCUCUUGAAGGAUUGUUUUGAGGACCUAUUUGAUUUUUCCUUUUCUAGUUACCACCACCACGACGAUUAUUAUAUGGUCCCCUGCUAUUGCCACGUUCAUACAUAUUUUUAGUACCCUGAUCUUGCUGUCUUUCAAGCUAGUCAUGUGUUUGUACCCUAUUUGCUUCCAAUAAUGAAACAACUCUAGUGGGACUGGCUUCAUGAUUUUUCAUCAAAAGGGCAUUUAUGUUGCUCAGCCACUAGAUUACUUCUGAAAGUCCUUUUCACGAUAUUGUUGCUGUAAUAUCACAUUUAUUACAUGAAAAGUCGUAAGAGUCUUUUCCAUUAUGUCCUCAUCAUUUAUAGUUUUUCCACAUAGUUUUAAUUGGGAAAUAAUUCUGAAUACAUCAGAAUUAUAUUCAACAACGAUUUUAAAAUCUUAAAACCGUAAGUACAUCCACUCACAACGAGCUCUAGGUUGUACCGUGAACUUUAGGUGGUCAUACCUUCCCUUUAAAUCAGUCAACAAUUCAAGUCGAUCUUUCACUGUCAGGUAUUCAACCUUUAGUCCUUCAUCUAGAUGAUGAUGAAGGAAAAUCAUAGCCUUGUCCUUGUCCUGACUCGACGCUGCAAUAUUCGGGAUAAUAGUAGCACUAAGACCCUUAGCAGCUAGGUGAAUUUCAGCGUCUAGAAUUCAUGACAAGUAAUUUUUUCCGGAGAUGUUAAGUGCCACAAACUCAAGCUUUGACAUAUUCGACAUGAUAAAAACUAUCAUAAAAAUAAUGAAGUUAGACAACAAUACAAUAACAUAAUCUCAAAAUAGUAGACCUUUUUUCUCUUUCAAAAAUUUAACUUUUUUUUAAUAAAAUAGUACGUUACUUUUAUUUUUUCACAAAAAAUAAAGGCUUUUAAAAAUACACCAUGAAACAGUAACUUUAUAAAUACAAUAUGAACAUCUAAAUUAUACUAAAAAGUAGCUUCAAGCUAAUAAAAAUAUCAACUCGAAUAAUAACUAUAAAAAAACAAAAAACAUGAAAUAGAAAAUUUACACAAAAAAUAUUACUGCCUAACAACUUUAAAAUAAAAUUUCACGUUGUAUAUGCAAGGAAAAUUAAGUGCUAGAGACAGACAAACUAUGAUUGUGAAGAAAAAAAUGAAAGUGACAAAAAUUUAGGACAACAAACAUGUAACGUAUAUUUUUCUAGUAUGCAUAUAAAUUUGGCCAAUUCUAUAAUAUUAUUUUAAUUUUUCAUAUGUCACUUUAACGUUAAAAUCAAAAUUUUAGUACAAGAAAAUAACAAAUUGCAAUAUUUAAACAAGUAAAUUGAUUAUACCUGAUGGAUUGAAAACUGAAAAAAGAGUUGAGUCGUGCUGAUAACGUGUUUCAAUAUUAAGAACAAGAAUUGCAAGAAAAGAACAAUAGCAACAAUAUAGAACAAGAUAGAAAGAGAACAAUAUAAGAUAAUUCUUUCAAGUCUAUUGAACAUCUUCCUCAAGACCUCUAUUUAUAGUAUUACAUGAGAUAAGGGGUACUUCAAGAGGUGUCAUAAACAUUACAUUAACUCAUGAGAAAGUGAGAAAGAAUAUGGGGAGUGGAUGAUCAAUGAGGAGGUGAUAGAGGUAUGGGAGUUACUACACUUAAAGAAGAAGUAAUAUCUAGAAAUUAUAGAAAUCCGCAAUAUCUUAAUAAUCAUUUACAAUAUUAGUUACCUAUAUGAAAAUAUUAUAACAAAAUUAAAAAUAAGUUCAAUAUGAAUCCCAAAAUAAAUAUUCCAUUUAGUUCCAAUUUGUAUGAUGUUAUUGAGUACAAAAGUGUUUAAGAUAUUAAUUGAUAUUUGUUUAAGGUAUCUCUCAUGAACUAACCAGAAUGGCAGGACGUCUUGCCCCUCAGAUCCCCAAACUUCUCAUGAAGCAUAAGCUAUUCCUUAGCCUCAUCAAACAGCCUCUGAAACGGAGAUCCAGAUUAAGCAAUAUAUAUAGGGAAAACUGUCUCUCUGAGCCUGAAGAUCAAUUCUCUCACCAACCUCUCGAUCCUUUUAGUCUCAUCCGAUAGAAUUACCAUGGCAUGACAAGAUAAAGCGUAAAUGUCUUAUUAUCGGUCACUAAGAUACCCUCGUAGGUCAAAUGCCCAAACUGAUGCCUACGCUUCCUCCUUAAGCUGUGAGAGACAAACCUAUUAAAAAAGGCUUGUGCAAAUAUAUUUCAAGUCAUAGACGGAGAACCUGUUGGCCUGAAGUACUCAAUAUAUGACCGCCACCACUGCUUUGCGAAAUCCCUUAUAUGUAAUGUUGUGUAGUCAACCUUGUGGCACUUAACUAAUCCCACACUCUGGAGCUUCUCGAGGUAGCUAAUAAAAAACUUGUAUGCAUCCUUACCUGAGCCACCCUUAAAAUAGGUCGAUCCAUCUUUCUAAACCUCUCAAAUCUUCACUGCUCUUUGUCUGACAUAAUAACCCUAACUCCACUUGUGGAUCACACUCUCGAUAAUAAUAUACCAAUAUACCUAGGCAUUGGCUGAACUGUUGUAUUCUGGUAGAUUUGAUAAGGUUGUUGAUACUAGUUUAGGCACUCGCUCUAGAAUAAAAAGCCCAAGAUGUGUCUACGAAUCCUCCACCCUAAACCAAACCCUGUAAAACGCCUAAUAUCUGAACCAAUAUAUUCGGGGUCCCUAAAGUAACAAGAUGAUCAGGUGGAUCCUACUUGAGGCCCACCUCCUGGGUCAGAAUCUAAUCACGUUUGUCUCGUAGUCAAACUCUGCGAACUCUGCCCUAUAGGAAUGAAUUUGAGCAGUCUAAUGAGCUCUAUCCCUACCACAACCUCUGUCACGACUUUGUCGCAAUCUAACGUCUCCUACCUUGCCUGCAAGUCCCAGGAAAGAUGGUUGCUGCAGGGGCUUGAAUAGGCUCCUGGCCUUCUUCUAAAGAUGUACGAGUCCUCACCAUCUAUGAGAGAAUAAAAUAAGAAUCUCUACAAUUAAUCAAAGGAAUUUGUCCACAUGAUAAGAAAAAUGAAAGGAAGUUUCCUAAAGUCUCAUGACCUCUCAAAAAAUAGAUAACGAACGUCUUUUCACCAAUCCGCGGGACUCUACUAGAUUGAAUUUAUACUUGUGAGACCAAUGAGCAUGUGACUCUGACACCAACUUUAAAAUAUUUUGAUUCGUGCAAAUUUAAUUCAUUUCUAUAUUAAGCUUAGUUAGGCGAGGAAAAAAAAUUCAAAAUGAAUUUUGGGGGGGGGGAGGUGGGUGAGUGGGUGGGUGAGGUGGGGUGUUUUAUACCAUUAGACUAAAACACAAAGGGAGGGGGGAGGAGACCUUAUCCGUGAUGUACAAACACAAGCAAAAAGAGAAUAUAUAACAUAGACCGUCGUAUAUUUUUAAGAAAAAAUUACCUAAAUACACAACAUAAGUUUCUAAACUUCAAAAAAUUCCCCCACUUCUAAAAAAUUACUUAAAUCUCAAUAUUUCAUAUUUUUCGGUAAAGUUGAGAUACAAGUUAAAACACCCAACUACAAAAAAGAUUCUUUACCAAAAAUAACCCACUUCUCCCUCUUUGUACGCCACAAUUUAUGGAGUGGUUUCUAUCCAACUUCUUUAUUCAAUUCAAAACUUGAAGCAAGGUAAUUUUGCUCCCUAAAAUCCGCUUCAAUUUCUUCCAAUUAUUUAUACAUUUUUUUUUCAAAAAAAUUAUUUUGCGCCUAAGCUUAUAGAAUGAAAUUUGGGUGAUUUGGUUGAGCAAUUUCUUUGAUUAAUUAUUUUUUUAGGCUUCAUUGUUUGAAUUGCCAUUAUGAAUAGAGAUUUGGGACCUGCCUUUAGUCUUGGGGUUUCUCAAUUAGAAAGUAUCAAAGAAUCUCAUGAAAUUGUUAACUUCGUUUUCGAAAGUUUUGAUUAUGAAUUUGUUGACUUUGAUGAAAAUAGAUUAAAGCAUAGAAACGAUCCCCAAAUUAUGAAGAAGUUGUGGCAAAAACAUUAUAAGGACAAGAAAAAAAAGUGGUUCUAAGAAAAGGGGAUCCAACAGUCCUGAAAGUAAAGCUCCCGCUAAGAGAAGAAGAAUUGUCGAAGCAAUUUUCAGAGAUGAACUUCCUAAGGUAAUCGCAUGCUCAGAUCUAUUGAAUGUUAGGCCGAGAUACAUAUUUUGGGUUGCAUGAUACGUUUAGAAUUUCAUUGUUUAUCUGUUUUUUUGUUGCUAAGUUAUUUGUAUAUUGUGUAUUUUAUUUUUUAUUGAAUUUAUAUAACAAAAUACAAGUUCAUAAAUACAUUGAUACAUGUUAAGUGGACUUGUAUAUGUGAGUGAUUAUUAAUGCUUUGAUUUGUAUCUAGUUUUGUUCAAUUUUACUUAAAGUCUAAAUAUAAUAGAUACAUGUUUUUAUUUCUAAGAUACAUGUUAUAUUAACUUGUAUUUGUGAGUUACUGUAAAUAUUUUGAUAUGUUUCUUGUGUUGUUUAAAUGGUAUUGAAAGUAGAAUUCCACAGGAUACAUUUUUUCACACUGAAAUACAUGUUGUAGAGAUUAAAGAUACAUUUGUAUAAUCUUGUAUCUAAUGUUAUAUAUAUUGUACUGUCUUAGAGUAAACUUGUUGCAUCUCAAAUAAUUUUUUCAUUUUUUUUCUAAUUUUUAGGGAUUGAAUUACAUUACAAGUAUGUUAUAACAAGUUAAAUACAUUGAUAAUGUAAAAAUAUUUUUACAUUAUUUGUUUAUAAAAGUUAAUUUAAUCUUAAAUCCUUAGAUGGGGAGCUUCUGUGCAUCCUAAAUUCUGCACAUGAUCAGACAGUAGCUAGACUAGCUCCCAUUUUGUAUUAGAUACAUAAUAACAAAAUAUGUAUCUUUUUGUAUUCAUAUGUAUCUUGUUCAUUAUCUGAAGCAAUUGUCUAUUACCUGCAUUAAUCACAUUACAUACAUAAAAUAUUUAAUUAUUUUUACAUUAUUUGUUUAUAAAAGUUAAUUUAAUCUUAAAUCCUUAGAUGGGGAGCUUCUGUGCAUCCUAAAUUCUGCACAUGAUCAGACAGUAGCUAGACUAGCUCCCAUUUUGUAUUAGAUACAUAAUAACAAAAUAUGUAUCUUUUUGUAUUCAUAUGUAUCUUGUUCAUUAUCUGAAGCAAUUGUCUAUUACCUGCAUUAAUCACAUUACAUACAUAAAAUAUUUAAUUUGUACCUCUUUUAGUUUUAAUGAUUACGGUAGGCUGAUGUAACAUAUAUUUCAUUUGUUUACAAUUUGAACAACAUCUGGAUAUCAUCAUGUACUACUUGAGGAAGAAGUACAAGAACAAGAAUUUUCCAUGCUAGAGAUACAUUACCACAAAUUACUUUUUCAAAGUGUACAUCGAAAAGGCAUAUGUGAAUUACUAUGAUGCUGACGCUUGCAACGAGCUUGCCACACAAGAUGCAUCUGCAAAGACUGAUGAGGUUGUUGAUAUGAAGACGACAUUGAUUAACACCAUCAAGGGAUUCAGUCCACGCGCAGGUCAGCCUUGACAUUUGGUUGAUGAGGUCUUUGUCCCAAUUAACUGUGAUGGUGCCUUUCACUAGAUAUUGGCAGUCAUUGCACUAAAGGAUCGAUGCAUUUGUGUGUACAAUUCAAUGGCCUCUUCACGAAAAAAAAACACAAACAAGAGAUUGAAAAGUUGGCUGUAAUGAUUCCUACUUACCUUCAAUACAAUAACUUUUUUAGCAAAAGGUACCAACUAACUGGACUGCACUGACUACCUACAAGGGAAAGACUGGACGUGAUCCAUUUCAAGUGAAAUACCUAUCUGAUAUAGCACACCAAGAAAGUGGAAGUUUGUACGUAUUACAUUACUUUUUGAGAUGGUUUCAUUAACUUAUAAUUUUAUAUUGGUUUUUCUAAUUAAAUUACUAAUUUUUAUUCAGGGAUUAUGGUGUAUUUGUAGCUGUAUAUGUUGAGUAUCUGAGCGAGGGAUUAGACAUUCCAUCUUCGGAAAUUGAUGCUCACUACCAUUUUCUGAGCUAUGCUAGUCUUUUGUGCAAGUACGGAUUUGUAAAAGCAGACAAUGGAUACUUUAGUGAGAAUGAUGAUCCACCAAGGCCAAGGAUGAAGUUCACACCAAAAGAAACCGAUCGUGUUUUACGUAUUCGGUAGUUGUUAAUUUUUGGCUAGUAGACUAUUAAAAACAUUGUUGAUGAUAUAAACUUUGAUGAUGUUAGUAGUGUUUAGACAAGCAUACAUUAAGUUUUUUUAAUGAAUAACUACUUCUAUUUGGCAUAAACAUUCUAAUGCAAUGCUAAAUAAUAUAAAGAUAUAUUUAUGUUAUCGUUAUGAUAUUUUUUUCACACAAUAUACAGACGUUAUAUUGGAUACAUGUUUUACUGUAUUUUAUAAUUUUAUGCAUCUAAAAUAAAGAAAGAUAUAUUACAAUAUAUUUAUUAACCAUCACAACAUUGUCGUAUUAUGUAUAUAUAAUAAUUUUUUGUUAUAGAUAAUUCAUGUUGUCUCUUACAUGCAUACCAAAUUAUAUCAUAACUUAAUAGAACUAAGUCUUAAAAAUAUUAACCUAUUACAUUUUACAUGUGAAACAAAUUAUUAGAUCUUGUAUCUAUAACUUUAUAUGAGAUACAUCUUCUCAAAUUGUAUGUAUCUAUUAUAAGAAAACUGUUUUACUAUAUAAUCAUAGUAGCCAACAAAUUAUUACAUUUUUAUGUAUCUACAACCCUUUUUAUUAAUGGAAAAAGAUGUUUGACUAUAACCUGCAUAACAAAUUCUAGCAGAACCUAUAUUACUAAAUCUUAAUAAUAUUUUGCAAAUUAUAUUUUACAAAUAAUACAUAUUUGUUAAAAGUGAAUUUAUAAAUUUAAUGGAGAUACAUACUAUAAGAAUAUAUCUAUUUUCUGUCGUUCACUAUGGUAGAACUACUAAUAGAAUGUAUAAUAACAUUGUCAGUUAAUAGAUCUAAAUUUCUACUUUAUGUGUCACGAAAAAAUACACCAUCAAAACAUAUAUAGCUAAAUAACAAAUUAACAAAGAAUGCUAUUUAUUUCGGUAAAUGUCUUUUCUAAAUUUCAUAAGAAACCAAGAAUCUUAUCAACUAAAAUGUCGAACAAAAUAGAUAAAAAAUCCAGCAACAUUCCAAGGAACUAUUCAACAUUAUUCAUUAGUCAACUACAUUUGUCACUCCUUCUUUGGAAAGAAGUUGCAAGUGCGCCUAUUGUUAUCUUCAUAACCAUAUCUCCUGCAAUAAUUACUGCUCGAUGUCAUUGUUUUACUUGAUUUCUUAUGCCUGUUUUUCUUUGGCCUUCCAGGUUGACGUUUGUAUUUAGGUGGCAACACAACUUACCGAGAUGAUGCAUUAAAUGUCCAAACAUAAUCCUUUGAAUGACAUCGUAAGACAUAACUGAAUCAAUGAAAAUAAAACUUCAACUUUUUAACCUUGAGUUACUUUCAAACUGUAUAAUAAGACAUCAAUAUAUCCACCAAGAUACAUAAUUAGACAUCAAUAUAUUCACCUAGAUACAAGAUGAUUAAAAUGUAUCUUUUAUCAUAAAGAUGUAUCUCGGUCAAAUUAACAUAACGUCAUGACUAAAACACAAUAAGAAACAUAAUUAAACAUGACAUCAUAAAUGGAGAUACAAGAUGGGGCAAAAUGUAUCUUUUUCAUAACAAAAUGUAUCUCGGCGUGAAACUUGUACAACAUGUAUCUAGGAAAUUUUACAUGUACUAGGACAUUUCUAUUAUAUAUGUGAAACUAAAACACAACAAGAAACAUAAUUAAAUAUAACAUCAUAAACGGAGAUACAAGAUGGGGCAAAAUGUAUCAUUUUCAUAACAAAAUGUAUCUCGGCGUGAAACUUGUACAACAUGUAUCUAGAAAAUUUUACAACAUGUACUAGAACAUUUCUAUUAUAUAUGUGAAGCUAAAACACAACAAGAAACAUAAUUAAACAUAAAUUCAUAAACUGAGAUACAAGAUGAGCAAAAUGUAUCAUUUUCAGAAUAAAAUGUAUCUCGGCGUUAAUAACAUAAACACACAAAAAAAUUCUUUAAAAUAACCAAAUAUUGAAUACAAAAUUAAAUUAACGUACACAAAAUUAACAACACCAGCUAAAUAAAAAACAUAACAUACUUUCUCUUGUCCGAUCUUUUGGCAUAGUAAUUGAAGGAAUGCUCAAUUGCAAAUCACGCAUAACCGAAAUGAGAGUACACUGGUCCUUGUAGAUUUGCCCAACCUUAACAUCACUAUGUUUGCAAUCAGUAAUGAUCUUGUUUCCCUUGCUAUCCAACAAAGGCAUAGGAGAAGUAGAAUUAGAUUUAUAACUAAUAAUUUCUGCAACUUUUUUUGAUAGACUUUCCAAACACAUUACAGCACCAACUUUUCCAUCAAAAAAAAAAAAAUCUUGUCCGAUCUUUUGGCGUAGUAAUUGAAGGAAUGCUCAAUUUAAAAUUGACAAAUCAAAUAAAAAAAAUUGAUAUGUUUUCUCUGAUCAAGAAGAAUGAAGAUUUUCAAUUUCAAAAAAAUACUACAAAAGCGUUUAUUGGUUUUAAUGUGGUGGAGUAAUAUUCUGAUUAGCAUAAAUUGUGGGAUUUCACUUUGUUUUUUUUAUCUUAAUUAGUUAGAUUAAAUGCUAAUUUAAUGCAAACUAAUCUGUUACAUCCCUUAAAAUGUGCUGAUUUAAUUAAUUAUUACUUGUAUCUGUACUAUGUAUCUAAUAUGAUUAACAUGUAUUAUCAGAGGUCAAAUGUUGGAAUUUUAGAAGAUUUUGAAAAAAUUUGAGAAUUUUAGUAAUUAUUAGUAAACAUGUCGUUAUAUAUAUAAUUUUUACUAUUUUUAAUAGUUGCAAUGACCUAACAAAAAAGUUGACUUUGUCAUAUUGUGGUCUUAUGCUACGUAUCUUUGUCAAAAAAUAUGGCCCAAAUAGGCCCAUUAGACAUUUGAUUCAUGUCAUUUCUAAUGCGAAAAGUAUCAACAGAAGUUAUCAAUUUUUCUAAAUAAUCUACAGCCAUAUUUACUUUGCUGUAGCAGUGCUGAAAUAUCACCUCUUUAUGCAGAGUCGAUGUAAUUAUAUUUUUAAUGAAGGAUCUGAAACUAGAUUGCGAGUAAUUUUCUUAUUUACCAUUUAAGUCGCCAUCAUAGAAUCAAGUUGCAUAGGGCAUUGUAUCAUCCAUUGAGCAAUAUACUUUGCAACCGUCACUUCUGCUACAUUAUGGUUGUUACGUUGUAUCGGGACAGCAAGACAAACGUUAAAUCUCCAUUAGCAACUUUAUCGAUUUCAGCUUUAUCAAAUUGCUUCAUAUUGGUUUUAUCUGUGUUGAUCUUGAUCUUUCUGCUGGAGGCAUCCUCCAAGUCAUCAUCUAGCUAUGAACUUUAGGUCUAAGUUUUUCCACAACUUCACCUAAUUAAAUCCAAUGAUAAUCUAAUUUGAGAUUGUGGAAUCUAAUGAUAUCUCAAUCAACACUAAACUAAGGGAAUCCGCCCUCUAAGAAAAACUACAAAAUCAAUAUUUCAUCUCAAUUCAAUCUAAGGAAUGAAAAAUAAGUAAGACAUCUAUUUAUUAUUUAUCUCUUACAAUGAAAAAUAGCUUGAUCAUCACCACAUGUGGGUCUUCUCGCUCUUCCAUCCAAGCUACCUUCCAUAGCUUGAGCACUCCCACACGUGGGUCUUCAAUGGCCUUCAAGAAUUCCAUCUUUUCAAUCAAAAAGAGUGUAGCUUGAAGAUGUGCAAUUGAACUCUCUGAAGCACCUCAAAUAUGGUGAAGUGUUCCAUGAGCCACCAUUGUCUUGAUGUUGCGCUUCACCAUGAAUUCCAAUCAUCAUCAAGCUCCUUGAGCUUUUCAGGGUCAAAUCAAUUUCCUCACGUAAUUCCAUGCAUCUUUGUUGGAGAAUUUCCAUCCAAGGCAGGUUUCCAUGUGAGGUAGUCCCUUCUGUCUGGAGUUGCAAUUGUGAUGUUGUAGAUGUGCUGACAAAUCCUAACAGACAGAACGUUGUCUAUUUAUCUCCCAUCUCUGAUCAACGAUAACAUUUUUGGCCUUACUCUAAUAGUAUGAUUGUCCUGCGAAACGAUAAGCCAAAGCACCAAGCAAAGUUGUCCCAACCAAAAGCUGCUCACCCCAUUCUUAUAAUCGAAAUCGUAUCAGGCCAGCCUUCUUUCUUAUGCUCAUUCAGUUAGCAAAGUUUGGACAAGGAAUAUAACCCAAAUUGAUAUUUGAAAAAUCUUUGUCAAAAUAUUCAGAGCAUUUAAUUACAACUAUAAUAACAAAAUAGAAUAUUUAAAAAUUUUAUUCAGUAAUUGUAACAAACUAAAACUUUACAAGAGCUACACUCGUACUCAUUGUUUAACUUAGCUUUGACCCGGUCCAUUUUAGCCCCAAUAUUUGCACAAGACUGGAAUAGCCCAUUUAUUGACUCAAAUUAAGAGACCCAAAACCAUCCAUUUGCCACCCUUAGUUUCCAUAUAACAAAAAUUCCAAUUACAACAGAAAAACUUUUCCAGGAUAACUUAUCAAAUAAAUAGGGGAUGAGAACUUUGUGAAUCUUAAAUUUCAUCAAAUAAUCCAAGUUUUAGAACAUGGAACUCAAGCUAAGUUACUGACUACAGAGAGGAUCCAAAGGGUGUUAAAAAACCAAGAGAAGCACUUACCGAGAAUUUAUCACUAACUCUUAAAAAUCCACACUCUGGAAUAAAACCAGAAGCAUUUCUUCAAACUAGAAGUCUAGUACUACAACCUGUGUCCACCUAUCAAGUUGUACAAUCUCAGAAACAAAGUUUCACUGGCUUUAAAGGCCUGUUGAAGCGGAGAACUCACGCUUCAAAAACCAAUAGGGUACAUAUUACUGUGACCAUGGUUAGCACCCAUUGUUGAGCCAAUUGUGAAUUGCAUAUUCCAGUAACAGUACAUAAUACAUAAAGUCAAUUCAUACGGAGCAUUAUGUAAAUAAAAAGCUGGUGGAAGUUAUUUAUCGCUUCCCACGACUUCCUGAGCCACCAGACCUCGGACCUGGAAACUUUGAGAACUGCAACCUCAAGUAGGCAGAAUCGUGGUCAUGUUCGUCCAUUUUGUAACCUGGCAAAUUCAUCAGCAGAGACCGCCGGUAAGAUUAUUCCACCAGAACCUCAUCGAUGAUGGUAGUAAAUUCUAAAAAAAUUGUUUUUUAUCAUAAAUAUAAUAGUUAUUGCGCAUGCGUGAGUUGGGCUCAUAGACGAAACAAAAAUGUGCAUCUGCAAGUGCAGAGAACCAUGAAAGACACAACCAAUCAUAACCAGAAAUAUGAAUAAGAUUUUCAUAAUGGUGGGUAACAGAGUACAGGAGCAACUAGCAAGAAACUGAAGAGAAAGGACACCAUGCCACAACUGUAGAUAGAAGGUAUGCCCGUCCUACAAAUCUAGAAUGCAAGUAGUAUCAUAUAAUCAUGUGAAAAAUUAGUAAACCAAACUAGGAGAAUGAGAAUUUGCCACAACGGCAUAUCAUACAAAUAAAUGACCCAGAAUGCAAGUAUCACAAGAUAAUGAGGAUUAUUAGAUAUUUAAACCAAAGCAAGCAAACAAGAACAUGCCAAUUGUCACAGCAGCAGCUAGCUAAUUAUGUAAAUAUUAGCUAUCUUAACCCAAGAAUCAAGAUUGACACCAUUCUUGAAUGGCAGACCCAACGUUAGUCUACAAGUCAAUCUGGACCUUUAGGAGUAAUAAGUAGAACUACAGUCAAAUUUCUUUCUUUACAGAUCUGAAUAUUUUAUUUCAAAUAUAGGCACGAUAGUUUACAGAAGAAAAUGGGUGAAGGAAAUGGACAGAUCAGAAGACAAAGACUACGACAAAAAUUAGAGGAGGCAGUGCUUUUUCCGAGAUACAUUGCCAUGGGGUUUGCAUGUGCACAACGAGGAGAGGUCGUCAAUGGAUAUACACAGAUCUAUGGCCUUACGGGAAGAUAGUACAUAAAGCAACUGGGUUCUACUUCACAGAUUACCCCACAAUUUGACUACAUACAGGAAUGAAGAAUCAGAACUAGAGCACUCAUGCAUCUGAAAAAAAUUGAACUGCCAAGGAUCUGUAGGUUGAAAAAACAAAGAGCAAGUAAAGCACUUAAAACACUCUAGCAAUGCCCACAUACACUGAGUGAUAAUCAUAGAUCGGAUCAUUGCAGCUGAGAUAACAAGUCACUAACGGAAGUCGGAGAGCAGAUUACUAUCAGUUAAAAAAAAUCACCUUGCAAUGCACUCAAAGCAGUAGCUGCACAUGCUGGAUCAACGAAAUCCACAAAACAAAGGAUAAGAGGAUCUCCACCACGCUGCAAAAUGAAGUUUUUAUCAAUACAUCACCUUGUACAUACAUGCUAUACUAAUGAAAAGGCAUAAAUAUCAACUUACAUGUUUUGAUUCCUUUCUAACAAGUCUGACUUCUUUGUAGCCCACAAAAGGGCGAAAAAUAUCUUUUUAGUACAAUUAGGGAACAAGCAACAGAUAUAUAGAACUUAAGUAGAACUGUCCAAUAAUGAUCCAGUAAGUUACAUCUCAAAGGAUACGGGCUACUUCUCUCCUGGAACUGUCUGAAGGAAGUCCCUCUAUAUAGAGGGUGUUGGAAGCAUCAGGAGGGAGAGGCAGUGUUUCACGAGGCCUCGGCAUAGGUUCGACUGGCAGUUGGCCACUAAAUACCAUCGCUCGUCCAUUUGGUGCUAGUUCUGGCCCACGAGCUGAUGGAAGUGGAUCACGAACAGGAAGGGCAGGCAUACCACCACCACCUGCUCUAGCUAAUCCAACUCCCUUAUAGUUAUUAGCUUCUCCGACUGAAAGGGAAGAAAGUUGCUACAAGAGGAAGACGAAUAAUAAAAACAGAAUCAAAAUUAGCACAAAAUCCAAGCAUGCCUGAGGAAUGUAGGAGCACUUUCAGCUUCAGUGAUUACCGAACUCUGGAGAUAACGAUCAUAUGCUGAUCCGAUAGCCUGAUUGUCCACUACUCGAGGUACACCACGAUCAUACGCUGAUCCGAUUGGCUGUGUGUCCACUACUCGAGGUCCUUCGCGAUCAUCAUUCCUUCCUAAGUAAUGAUGCACUUCAUGAGCUGACGGCAUCCCAGAUUGUGGAAGAUCUGGUACUGCAAAGAUAUAUGAUCAAACCACAUAUGCUGAUCGAAACAUAUAACAAAGUCAGUGCAGAAUGUUACUCGCUUAGCAUGUAGUUUGUCCUCAAAAGGAUAAAGUUUCUUUUGCCUAUAGGUAGGAUCAAAAUGGCCUUCUUGCGUAGAAAAGCACAGUAUACACAGCAAGACUGAAGCAAGAAAACAGGGUGCUGAGAACAUGUACAGAAUAAAAUGCAACUGCUGAUGGGAACUCUCGCAGCUAAAAUCAUCACUGACAUGAAAAUAAAGUGCCAAUUUCAGAAAUCAGCAUCAGGCUCAAGGUAGAACUGGAGACUUGGUGCCAUAAUAAGUCAGCAACCAUUGUAGAACCAAUACAAGGAGGGCAUAUACAGUUCCAGCAUUGAAUCUGAAACCACAAAUAGUUCUUGAAUAAACCGGUAAAGAGGAAUGAGAUGAGAUUGGACAACCAUUUUCUUGAAAAGGAGCUUCGGCAGUAAUAGGAAUUGAGAGGAGGAAGUAAAACUAAGAUGUACAGCUCUGUUUUAGACAGAACAGCACUCAACAAGAUACAAUCCAGUAUAAUCAUACACGAAGUGCUCGGAUGGGGAAGAGAAAGCAACUUAAUAGAAUUCAUUGGGUUGGUUGUGAUUAGGUCAAAAGGGCUUGCUAAGGUUGAUACCAAUCAAAACACACCACAAAGUAAAAAGAAAGAGAAACAAAUGAGGUUAAAUUUUGAACUUGGAGAUAAAAUCCUCUUUAUUUGGCACAAGAAGAACCGAGUUCCGUCCUUUCCGGCUUUCAACUCUCCUAUCUUCUUCUGCCACUUUUUGCCUGUACUUGCUAUAAGUGACUCAUGAAGUCACAUUGCCAAGAAUAUUGACAAAGAAGUGGAUCCAAAUGACGAGAUAGAUGAAAAAAAAUGUGUAACUACACAACACGUGCUACCUAAGCAUAUGUAACUAUAACUGUAAAUUGGUAACCACAAACUACACAUGUAUGUCCUAGAAUAGAUAGUCAAAACUCAGACAUGUCCUUGCUAAUUCUAAAAGUUACUCCAGCCUCAAAUCGAGUUCUAUGCUUCCUUCAGAAACCUCCACUCAAUAAAACCAUGAUUGACUUGUCCAUGAAGCUUAAGUAAUUAAUUAACCUAACUUUUUAAAAUCCAAAUCAUACCAAAUAAAUAUAGGUCACGGGCCACAGACUUAAAAUUGGCAAUAUCGGUAAUACAGUUCAGACCGAACACUUCAACUAGAACCAGAACUGCCUAUUUGAUCCCUCACAAGCCACAUCUGCUUUACCAUUUCCAAUAAAUUGCUCAAUAAAACUCCAGCUUCCUGAUGUUUUAACAUUUCCCACAGAGAAACUACAUCCAUGAGAUAUAUUACCAUAUAACAUCAUAAUACAACCACUAGACUCAUCGAUUUUUUCAAUCCGUCUAUCUCUAACGGUGCCGGGCUAGGAAUCUUGAUAAAGGGAUUCCAAAUAUGCAAGAAUGCAACACCUAGUGUUCAAACUUGUGACAAAAAGCAAUUUUGAAACCCCUUUACCACUACAUUAAAAUUUGUCCUAAUGCCAUGGGGAUUCAGAAACUUACAUACAGAAAAAAAAAAAAGGCAUUCCUAUUUUUUCUUUGAUAAUCGUGGUGUCCAGACUAACUUUCACACCUCGACUAAUUUCACGGGUUACAUGCCACCUCCCGCCAGUAGAAGCAGCUUACUUUGUCCACAAAGUAGGGGCAAAUUUAUAGGCCAAAUAUGGGCACGUGAACCCAUGGUCCCUCCAUAAAUUUAGGUAUUUUAUAUAUAAAUUUUCUAAAUUUAGUAUAAUAUUAUUUGUUGGCACCCAUUUUCAAAAAGACAAAAGUGGUGCAUUUGGUUGAAGGUUGAGUUAUUUACCUAGAGUACUAGGAACCAAUUCCAACUAAACACAUUGUUUCCUCUUUUUUUAUUCUACCCAUGUUCUUAAUUUAUUUAUUUAUUGACAACAGUGGUGUAAAGGCUAGCUUGCGCGCACCUCGACAAAUCCACGAGAACCCAGCCACCUCUCACCAUCAACAGGUAUCAGAUAAUUCUGUCUACCAAGGCUAGAACUGUAGAACAGAAUGGAAAAAAUCACCUAAUAUUUUUGUCUUUGAAAAUUAAACCUGAGACCUCAUGGCGCUCAACCCAUGUCAUUGACCACUAGGCCACACCUAGGCGCCCAUAUUCCAGAAAUCCAAGAUUCACCACUAGUGUUUACUUUGGAGAAUUAUGCAAUGAAAAUAGGGGAAAAUGUCUCCAAAAUUCACGAAAACCUAACACAUCCAGCUAACUUAUGACGCAUCAAUCUACAACUUGAAAUGUUCCAAAUGUAUAAAUGUAGUCUUUCCAUGAUUGAAAAAACAAAAAAUGGUUCUAGGGUUCCACGAUUAAUCUCAAAUUAAGUGACAAUUACUAAGCCAAUUAUUAGGAAAAAAGAGGGAAUUUGUUACCAUAUUCAGAGCGAGGACGUUUGAGUAAUCCAGCAGAUUGAGGAAGCUGCUGUUGCUGCUGUUGCGGUUGACGAUUCCAAUACGCAUCCCCCAUCUACAGUUUAAAGAACUAUUAACCUAAAUCCCCAAAACACAAACAAAUUGGAAUACAGAAUAGAGAGAUUAAUAAAGGAGAAAACCUUGAGGAAGAAAACCCUAGCUGCUUCAGCCGUCACCCCUUUGUACACUCUCGGUGCGUGGAUGUGGAUUUGCCAAAGCCAAUUUUGUGGGAGAAGGUUAGGGCUUUAUUCUCAAGUAAUCUUCUGCGCGGCAGGUGUAUCAUUCGUUUGAUAGUUUAGCCAAUAGUUAUCUGACACGUUAGUAUGACCGACAUCCAGGCUAUUAUUUUUUAUUUUUUAAUAAUUUACUUCUCCCAUAUACUAAAAAUAAUCAUUUUAAAUUACUUCUCACUUUUUCAUUUAUCAAAUUUAGAGUGUGUCUGGCAUGAAUGAAAAUAUUUUAUUGAAAAUGUUUUUUAAUUUUUUCAUGUUUGAUUGACUUAAAUAUUUUGAAAAAUAUUUUUCGAAUCAAUUUAUUUUUUUCAAAUUUAAGAAAAAUGACUUUCCUUGAAAAAGUAAGGAAAACAUUUUUCAAAGCACUUUUUCAACCCCACUCUCAAGUUGAAAUGUUCAUACAAUUCUCGAAAUCACCCUCCUCCCUCUACCCCGACCCCCAAUCCCCUACCACCUUCUAUCUAAAAAUCUAUUUAAAUUUUUUAAAAUAAUAUUUUAAAUUUUUUUCUUACCCCAACCCUCACCCCCUAUCAGCCACCUCAAAAAAAAGAUAUUUUUUUAAAAUUCAAAUUGGGCCAAGGCCCAUUGAAUAAAAAACUGCAAAUAUUUACAACGCAAAGACUUGGGCCCAAUAGUGACCACAACAACAACAACAUGUCAAGUGUAUUCCCACAUAGCGGGGUCUAGAGAGGGUAAAGUGUACAUAGUUCAUACCACUACCUCAGGUGAAGUAGAUAGGUCGUUUCCGAUAGACCCCCGGCUCAGGACAGAUAACAUUGUCACAAACACAAAAGCAUAAAAUCAUAUAAGCUAAUAUAGUACGUAAUAAACUAACACUGCUAGCUACUACAAGAAACAAUACAACCACAAGAUACUGCUACACACUAUCUAUCCAAAAACAUAAACAUCGGUCUAACACAUUGAACACAGACCUCUAGACGCAAACAAAGUACUCUUCCCUAUAGUUAUAGACACACUCCUACCCCCUAACCCUCUACCCUAAUCUACGUCUGCCACAUAUUCCUAUUAAGAGUCAUGUCCUCCGUAAGCUGUAACUACUCUAUAUAUGCCUACUCACCUUCCUCUAAUAUAUUUGCGGCCUACCUCUACCCACCUAAAACCAUCCAUAACCAGCCUCUAACACCUCCAUAUUAGAGCAUCCAAGCCCCUCCUCAUUAUGUGCCCGAACCAACUUAACCUCACUUCUCGCAACUUAUCUUCCACCGAAGCCACUCUCACCUUCUUCUGAAUCCUCUCAAUCCUAACCCUAUCUCUCCUGGUAAGACCACACAUCCGUUGCAACAUUCUUAUCUCUGCCACCUUCAGCUUUUGAAUGUGGGAGUUCUUAACUGGCCAACACUCUGCUUCAUACAACAUAGUCGAUAAGCACGACAUAUAGAAAAAACUAUUUUUUCUGUUAAUUUUCUUUUUAGAUUGUGAUUCAUAUUGCCUAAGCACCUCCAUGAUAAGCUCCAAAGAUUUUUUUUAAGCAGCAACAAAAAUUAUUUUAUCAUCAGCAUAAGCUAGAUGAUUUAAAAUUGUCACUCCAUUUAAGAAUUCCAAAACUCUUAAAUUCAUUGGUAAAAAAUAAUCUAUUAAGAGCAUUAGACAAAACUCCAGCAAUAAGUAGGGUUGGGCAUAAAAUACCAAAAACUAAAUUACCAAAUCGACAAUUUGAUAUUUGGUAUUUGGUAUUUGGUAAUUUAGCAUGAAAUUUGAGAGUAAAAUUUUAAUAUUUUGGUAUUCAAAAUUAGGUUUGAUACAAGAUAUUAAUAGCAUUUGGUAUUCGGUAUUUACCGUAUACUGAAGUAUUUCAUAUAUAUAUAUAUAUAUAUAUAUUAAAUAAUACGAUAUGUAUAACUAACCCAAUAAACUAUAAUAUUAGUUAUUCUAAAGAAUCUCUUGGACCUUGGUAAUAUAUUCAUGAAAAGCGCAAAAAAAUAUUAAAUAGGGUUUCCAUUAAAUACACCUUUUGAAGUUUAAACGUAGUUUGCAAACCUUCAACUUUAAUAUGGUAUUACCAAAUACCGUACCGAAUCGAAUCUUAUUUUACCGAUUACCAAAUUAUUGAACCGAUGUUUUGAAAUAUGGUAUGCGGUAUCUACUCUUAAAUACCGAUUAUCAAAUUACCGAACCCGAACUUCAAAAGUAUCAAACCGAAUAUCGAACGCCCACCCCUAACAACAAGUAUAAAUAAAGUAGGGGAUAAUGGAUCACCUUACUUGAUCCCUCUGGUGGAAUGGAAAAAACCAUGAGUUUGACCAUUAAUCAGGAUUGAGUAUCAAUUAUUGGCCACAAUUCUCUAGAUCUUGUCCAAAAAUAGAUUAUUAAAGCUCAUUUUCUCCAGCACAUUAAUCAAAAAUAUCCAAUUAAUUCUAUUAUAUGCCUUUACCGUAUCAAGCUUUAAAAUCACAUUUGUAGGUUUUCCUCUUUUUCUUAUUAGUAACAAUUUCUCGUGCUAAGAGAAAUUUUUCUCUGAUACUCCUGUCUUUUACAAAACUUGAUUGAUUAAGAGAGAUAAGCUUAGAUAACAAACCCUCUAGUCUAUUAUAAAUAAUUCUUGAGAUCACUUUCUGAAGAAAUUGCUCAAAAUAAUUAGCUUUAAAUCAAAACAUGUUUAAAUACCAUCCUUUUUAGGUAAUAAGAUCAAAUUAGUAUGUGUAAUGGCCUUUGACAGAGUUCUACCUUUAAAGAAAGAAUGAACAAGCCUAAUUAUAUCCUGACCCACAAUGUCCCAACAAGAUUGAUAAAAAUGACUAGUGAAAUCGUCUGGGACCCAAGUACUAUUAACAUUUAGCGUAAACAUCACCUUUUUAAUCUCUUCAGCAAUAGGUAAACUAUUCAACAAAAGAUUAUCCUCCCCAGUGAUUAUUAAAGGAAUAUGUUGUACCAUAGAAAAGUCAGAGUUGCUUUGAUCUCCUGAAAAUUGAUUAUGACAGAAAUUAACAGCCUCUUCAGUAUUUGAUCUUCCCCUUCUGCCCAAGUUCUAUCACUUCUCUGAAUUCCUUUAAAUGUUAGCCUUUUCUUUCUUUCUUUCAUCAAAUAAUGAAAGAACUUAGUGUUCUUGUCCCCCUCCCCCAAUUCUUCUUCAAAGUGUAAGUUUUUCUUAGUUUUGCAUGAGACUUUUGCAGGAUAAUUAUUUUAGCUUCAUUGGGGAACUCCUCAAAGAAAUCUUCUUUUAUUCCCACUAUUUCCUCCCUAAUAACGAGUUGUUUAAAGAUAUCCCUAAAUUUGUCUCUACUUCACUUAAAUAGAGCUUGUUUAGUUUUCUUCUGCUUCUACUUCAACUGAUAAAAAGCAUCCCCCUGCCUCUACUGCUACCCAAUUCUCUUUCAGUGUCUCUAAGAAAUCUUUUCUAGUUGUCCAGAACUUGAGAAAUCUAAAAGGUUUGAUAAAUUAUCGACAAUCAACACUACAAGUGAUCAAUAAAGGAACAUGAUCAGACCUAGUUCUAGCAAGAUUUUGUAUCUCAAUGUUACCAAACACAUCUUGAAGAUUCCAAUUUAUCACUACUCUGUCUAACCUUUUGAAAAUGCAAUCUUCAUUAACUUUCCUAUUCCACCAAGUAAAAAGACUACUAGUGAAAGGAACAUCAACUAACUCACAAGAAUUUAGGCAAAAAAUAAAAACCUCAUAUUCUUGGGGGUACACAAGAAACCCUCCAAUCUUAUCUUCUUCACUCUUAAUAACAUUGAAAUCUCCACCAUAAGCCAAAGUGUGUGAAUGUCUUGCUCUAAGUUAUAAAUGUCAUUUCAAAGCCCCGUUCUUUUCACAGUAGUACAUUUGGCAUAAACUACAACAGUUAGAGCUGUUUAGCAUCAUUAAAUAUAAGCCGUGGUGACAAUUAUUAAUCAGAAUCUGAAACUACUUCCACCUGAAUAUGAUUUUGUAUGAAGACACAAAUCUGCCCAUUUUGAUUAUAAUUAACAUGCAUGCCUAAUUUUCUCUUAUAUGUUUUAUUUUGUCUUAUAUCUUGAAAUGACUCCAUUAAUGCUAUAUAACAAAAUUUGUGAUGUCUAUGAAACAUUUGAACUCUAUCAAAAGUAUUUUGAGUUCACAGAUCUAAUGUUCCAAAAGAGAGCUUUAUACUUUAUUUAUAUGAGAUUUUGCCCCCUCCUUAUUACCAUUCUUGAUGACUUAUUUUGGUGUCUUAAUUUUUUUUUUCUUCUAUCUGAAGUGAUAUUGUACUGAUAUUCCUGCUUCCAUACAUGGUUUUAUUAAGUUACUCUCAUUUUUAUCUUUUUUCUUAUCUUUAAUUGGAGGUUCUAUUUUAGGAAUGACACUAUCACAUGAAUUAUUCUGAAGUACUUAAUGAGAUACUAUUUGACGUAGCUCAUGCAUAGGGGGUGAAUUGAAAGCCUCAAUUAACAAAUAUAAUGGUAAAUCAAAACCCUUAUCUCUAUCCAAUACUUUCUUCUCUACUGAGAUCAUUUGCAAUAGUUCAUGUUAUGUAGCUUCAACUAGUUCCUUCAACAACAAGAGUUCAUCCCCCCAUUUAUGAUUAACCAAAGAUGCAUCUUCUGUACUCUGCUUAUUUUUGUUGGAAAUCAUAAUGCCAUUCAUCUCUUUUUGGCUGCCCUUAGUGACCAUAUUAUGCUGUUGCUCCAUAAUUUUUUUUGAUGUUCAUUCAUUAAUACUUCAUUUAAACUAGACAAUGUUAAAACUUGUUGCUGAUCUUGUUGUUAGGACUGACGUUCUUGUACUUUUUGUUGGUCAACUUUAUAUGUAGAUUCUUUCUUAUUUUGAUGAAUUUCUACUGUGCUGACUGCAUUUAUAUAAUGAUUGGCAAAUGCCCUAAGGAUCCAUUCUUUAGUGAAGAAAUGAUGAUGCACCUGAGAAUUAUCUUGUUUGGAACUUUCUUUCACCAGUUUUUGUUGAGAAUCUUGCCUACCCAUUACAUAUAUUUGAUCAAUAUUAGUAUGAACCUGAGGCCUGUUCUCAUUAAUCUCAUCUGUUUGAGUCAUUGUCUGAACUGGUUACGCUGGUAUUCUUGAUCCUUGACUAACUGCUAACAUCACCAUAUGACUGUUUUUGUGUUUCACUUGCAUUCCUAUGUUCCACUUUUGUAACUUUUACCUCAUCUAUUAAUGGAACAAAGACAUUGUUGAUGUUAACUAUUUUAGCCGGCGAUAUUGCUUUAUCACUAAACUGAACAUGUGCAUCCUUAUCAUACAUAAACCUCCUGUGUGUCGGGUUCCAUUACAAUCUCUAAACUUUAUUAUUCUUCCUUCGACUCUCAGUAGUCACUGUCUUAUUAAUUUGUCUUCCUAGAUUUGUUCAGAAAUACCAGGUUCCUUAUUUUUCAAUUCUGGGUGCAACACUCCACAAUCUUGUACAUCAUGCCCUAGAAUUUUGCACUCUUUGCAAUACUUAGGGAUUAUAUCAUGUUAGAUUUUAAUCCUUUCCACUCUUGAUUCAUUUCUACAAGCUUUGAAAAUUUUGAUAAUAGAUCAACUUGCACCUUAAUCAUAGCACAACUAGGUCUCGUCUUAUUAAUGGUAGCUGAGUCAAGCUGAAGAGGUUUACCUACUACUGCGGAAAUAGAGAAUAUUGAUUCCUUCACAAAGAAAGUAGGCUUCAAAUUCAGAAAAGAUAUUCAUGCCAAUGCUUGAGUUGUCUCCUCCUUCAUUUUAAAAUUGACAUCAUAAAUUAAUGGUCAUAUUGGAUAUGAGUAGCCUUCUUUAUGCAAAAAUGUUAAUAAAGUCCUCUUCUUGGUAAAAUCUAAUCAAAAUAUGUUUAUUCCUCAAUAGGCUAACAUUGUAGCCUACCUUAAUUUUGUAUUGUUUAGGUAUUUGAGAUCAAAGCUCAUCCAAUUUUGACAAACCAUACGAGAACUUACCAACUACCGUAUAUUGUAAGUUCUCUAUAAUAUUUGUUCUAUUAACCUCAUCUCCAGUCCACUGCACUCUAGGUAUCUCGUUAAAGUAAGACAACUUCUUCAAAGUAAUUUGUUCAAUCGCUUGAACAGAACUCUAAUCUCAAUUGAAGCUUUAAAAUAAUGAGAUAAAACUACUAGUUCCAGUAGUUAUAGGCAAAUCAUUAGGCUCAGUAGACAAACUAGGGUUUGAUGACUCAACUUUCGAUGAGGAGAAGGGAGAAAAAUCUAAUGUAGAAUUUAUAGGGAUGGACUGGUUAUCCUAGCCCUAGGAAUAGGCUGACCAGUGGCCGUGGUGGCCAUCGACCAUGGUUUAAUUAUUCAACUUUGGUUAGCAUUCUCAUGCAAAGCUAGCAGACAUAGUUAAUUUAAACUUUUGACUUUAAUUUUUAAAAUUUGCUUUUUAAAAAGUUUUUCUUACCAACCCCUACCACCUAUUCUGCCCCCUCCCAAAAAAAGAUUUAAUUUUUUUAACUUAUUUAUUAUAAAAAGUUUUUACCCACUCUCCUUACCCUAUUUAUUUUCAUUAUUUUUUGUUAAAUAUAUACAAAUACUUUAAGAAUUUUUUUUCUACGUGCAUAACGAAUACAAGAAUAUAUGUAAGAAACAACUUAUUUUUUCUCCCUCUAUAUCGAACACACCCUAAAAAAGUAUUUUCGGGGUCAAAAAUUAUUUUUCUAACAAGUAUUUUCUACUUUUUAGCUAAAUAUUAAAAUAUAUUUUCUGAAAAAUAUUUUCUCAUUCACCGACCAAACACUAAAGAAGAUUUUCUGAAAAAUAUUUUCCACUCACCUACCAGACAUAAGAAAAAAAUAAUUCAGAAACCAACUUGUUUUCCAUGAAAAUAUUUUCAAGAAAAUAUUUUUCAUGAAAAACAUUUUCCUUCAUACCAAACACAUCCAUAGAGUUCAAAGUAGCAUUAAUAAUAGAUAUUUAAUAAAAUGCAUUCUUAAUUAAAAUUUUCCUAAUGAAUAUGUCAAAUCAGCAAAGGCCUAAAUGGAAGGUAUGUAGUACGAUUUAACUUUUAUUUCACGCAAAAUUGAACUACAGCCACAAAACAUUUUACAAUUAAAAUUAUAUAUUAACUUAUACAAAAAGUACUAUAAGUUAUAGGAGUUUGUUUCAGUGAAAUGAUUAAAAAAAUAUUUUAUUAAUUAGUUAAAGUUUAUAUAGUUUGAAUCUCAAAAAUAAAAGAUGUGAAUACAAAUUGAGACAAAGAGAAUACUAUUUUUCCUAAGUAUAGUAUUUAUUUUUUGAUCAAGUAGAAAAAACUUAUUUUAUUACUAUAAUUGAGAUGUAUUUGAAGUGCAUCUUUAUACACAAGUUGUAUAGAAAUAAGGAUUUAUUAGGAAGAGUAUAUAAGAAUAGUGUAGAAUAUAGUGUAUAAGUAAUGCUUGCAUUAGUAAUGGCAGUAAUAGUUAUGCAGACAUUAUUUCUUAUAUGCCGUUUGCUUUUAUGUAAUAGAAAUAACAUGUAAGGUGUAAUUUUAUAUAAAAUAAUAUUACUUUACAAAAAUACCCUCUUUUAAUUUUAUACACUUUCUUUUCAAUAAACUUCCUUUACCUUUAAAACAUAAUAUCACAUAGGUUUCAAUCAACUUAUAUUUCAUUUCUCAACUUAGUUUCACAUAAAUUCCGAACAUCAUCCUCUACAAGCUUUGGUCGGAUGUUGAUUUUUGUUAGCUGUAGAUUAAUUGUAUUUAUCACAUUAUUUUAUAAUUAAUAUAUUUAGCUCAUUCUUAGAUAAUCUUUGUACUUGUAAAGACUUGUGCACAAUAAAUCUGAAAUGAUUUAAUGGAGGGAUUUUACCUUCUUUGGUAGCAAGUGGGAGUGAGAUGUUUUUUUUUUUUUUUCAUAUAGUACCCUAGCUCCAACCCUACCAGAUUUUCCAUCAAAAUUCAUCAUUAAUAGUUAAUCCAGCGACUAGUCAAUCAUCAACGAUAAUGGUUGACCAAUCACCCUAGCCGCAACACCCAAAAUAUCCCAUCUCACCCACCACCACCACCACCACCACCACUUCACAUAUUGCUACCAAUCAAGACUAUUCGAAGAGCUUGAAACCCUUUACUCUGAAUAACAUGCAAGCUUCCAAGAAAUGGGAUUUGUCUAACCUAUUACCAUGUUACAUGGUGCACCAUACAUAAAAUGGUCUGAAUAUAAAGUUGUCAAUAUGAAUGUAAUAAAGAACCUUCAACAUGUUGUUGUAGGAAAAUUUUCCUAUGGCUGGCCCGAGUUGGAGUAAUUGUUUACCAUUAUCCCUGUACAAUGUAAUAUCAAAAGGUGAUUUUCAAAUUGGUUACUUCAUAAAUAGGCAUCUUUUAAUCUUUGGAAAGAGACUUCAUUAACAAUACGCCCAAGGCUGUUUUUCAUGCGAGGAUGAAUAUUGAAGAUGAGGCAAAGAGUGGGACUAUGGAAAUCAAUAUUCAAUAUGACUAUUCCCAUAAAUAUUGCAAAGAGUGCAGGCUUUAAGGUCACAACAUGUAUGAGUGUAGGUUGAUUCAUCCUUAAUUAGCCAAGGUAAAUGAUGAUUCUAAGAAAGAGUCAGUUUUGUAAAAUGGAAAAGACGAAAUCUGUAUGAAUUAUGAGGCUGAGAAACAUAAUAGAAGUCCUAGCAAAAUGAUUGGCCAAGAAAGAGAAGGAAAUAAUCAACAAUCUCAACCCACUGGAUUUUCCUUAGGAGACUAACAAGUGGUAGAAUUUUGAAAACACUAGGGACUGGAAUGAGUGUCAAGCAAGCAAGAAAAGACGAAGGUUAUUCAUCAGAAUUCUUAGGUGCAGAAUAAUCAAAAAGGAUCAUGUACUGGAAUAAAAACCCAAUACACAACCUUACACUCUAUUUCUGACGAUGGAACAAAGGAUGGAAAUGAUAAAAAAUAGCAGUACAACUGAAUCUGUAGUGGCAAAGGAUAUUUCACAAGUAUCACGAUCCAAGCCGAGGCCCUGGCCGCGACGGACAUUCCGAACCAUAGAGGCUAGAGAGACCCCUUAACAUACUAUGAUAAGCAUAAUUCAUAUGAAAAAGAAGUCUGAGAUGUAUUUGAAGUGCAGCUUUAUACACAAGUUGUAUAGAAAUAAUGAAUUAUUUGGUAAAGUAUAUAAGAAUACUAUAGAAUAUAGUGUACAAGUAAUGCUUGCAUUAGUAAUGUCAUUAUUAGUUAUGCAGGCAUUAUUUCUUAUAUGCUGUUUGAUUUGAUAUAAUAGAAAUAACAUGUAAGGUGUAAUUUUAUAUAAAAUAAUAUUGAUUUAUAAAAAUACCCUCUUUUAAUUUUGUACGCUUUCUUUUCAAUAAACUUCCUCUACCUUUAAAACAUAAUAUCACAUAGGUUCAAUCAACUUAUAUUUCAUUUAUCAACUUAGUUUCACGUAAAUUCCGACCAUCAUCCUCCACAAGCUUUUGUUGGAUGUUGAUUCUUGUUAGCUGCAGAUUAAUUGUAUUUAUCACAUUAUUUUACAAUUAAUCUAUUUAGCUCAUUCUUAGAUAAUCUUUGUACUUGCAACGACUUGUUCACAAUAAAUCUAAAAUGAUUUAAUGGAGGGAUUUUACAUUCUUUGGUAGCAAGUAAGAGUGAGACGCUUUUUUCCCAUACAGUACCCUAGCCCUAAUCCUACCAAAUUUUCCACAAAAAUUCAUCAUUAAUAGUCAAUCCAUCCAUUAGUCAAUCAUCAACAACAAUGGUUGACCAAUCACUCUAGCCGCAAUACCCAAAAUACCCCAUCCCACCCACCACCACCACUACCACUUCACAUGUUGCUAUCAAUCUAGACUAUUCGAAGAUCUUGAAAUCCUCCACUCUAAAUAACAUGCAAGUGUCCAAUAAAAAGGAUUUGUCUAACCUAUUACCAUGUUACAUGGUGCACCAUACAUAAAAUGGUCUGAAUAUAAAGUUGUCAAUAUGAAUGUAAUAGAGAACCUUCAACAUGUUGUUGGAAAAUUUUUCUAUGGCUAGCCCGAGUUGGAGUAAUUAUUUACCAUUAUCCCUGCACAAUGUAAUAUCAAAAAGUGAUUGUCAAAUUAGUUACUUCAUAAAUAGGCAUCUUUUAAUCUUUGAAAGGAGACUUCGUUAACAUUACAUCCAAGGCUGCUUUUCAUGCGAGGAUGAAUAUUAAAAAUAGGGCAAAGGGUGUUAUAAGGACCGUGAAAGUCAAUAUUCAAUAUGACUAUUCCCAUACAUAUUGCAAAGAGUGCAGGCUUUAAGGUCAUAACAUGUAUGAGUAUAGGUUGAUUCAUCCUUAAUUAGACAAGGUGAAUGAUGAUCCCAAGAAAGAACCAGUUUUGCAAAAUGGAAAAUAUGAAAUCUAUACGAAUUAUGAGGCUGAGAAACAUAACAGAGGUCUUAGCAAAAUGAUUGGCCAAGAGAGAGAAGGAAAUAAUCAGCAAUCUCAACCCACUGGAUCUUCCUUAGGAGACUAAUAAGUGGUAAAAUUUUGAAAACUCUAAGGACUGGAAUGGAGUGUUAAGCAAGAGAUAAAAGAAGAAGGUUAUCCAUCAAAAUUCUUAGGUGCAAAAUAAUCAAAAAGGGUCAUGUGCUGGAACAAAAAUCCAAUACAUAAGCUUACACUCUAUUUCUAAUGAUGGAGCAAAUGAUGGAGAUGAUAAAAAAUAGCAGUAUAUCUGAAUCUGUAGCAACAAAGGAUGCGUCACGAGUGUCACAGCCCGAGCCGAGACCUUGAUCGUUACGGGCAUCCUGAAUCAUGAAGGCUUAAGAGACCCUUUAGCAUACUAUCAUAAGCAUAAUUCAUAUGAAAAAGAAGCGUGUAAGAUAUAAUGACACCCAAGGAAAACUUAUAAUCAAAUUAUGUCAAAAAUAUUAUGACAAUACAAAAACCAAAUCUCAUUUACGAAGCCUCUACUAAAUACUAACUAUUUAGCCUGGGACAAGGCCCUCGACUGGACCCUAAACUGAAGAAGUCAACAUAUGAAUAAAUGCCUUUUGGAAAAUGGAUGGCUUACUAACUCUAUCAUAUCCAAAUGUUCUACUGAUAUAAUGGACCAUAGGAUCGUGCCUCAGAACCUAAAUUCUGAGACAAUAUAGUCGCCACGAGGAUGGUCAAUUCUUGGAAUAUAUUGGUAUGUAGAACAAUUCAAAAUAACAUAUAUUUUAUAUAAAAUAAUCGAGAGCAUAGUGAAAACAAUUCAACAUAAUAAAGAUCACAACACAUGUGCAUACUUACAAAAAACUUCAAUCAACUUUGUAAAACAUAGACUCAACUCUUUAUUUUAGUUUUGAGAUUGAUGGUACACCCUACAAGUCUACAAUCCCAUGGGCUAUAUGGAAUCCACCAUAAACUUAGCGUCCAAUCCCCUAAACCAAGUUUGCUGCAAAGAUUUGAGUUUUUGUAGGCUAGUAUACCCCCUAUGUGAGUAUAUCGUAGGCAUCCCUUCAUGUGAGAUGCCCUAAUUAUCCUCCAUGUUGUCAUAACACAAACCAGGGCUUGGCCUUGACGGGUACCUUAAGUCCACCGAGGACCAGAGACCACCCCUUUCGCCUAGGUAACCAUUACACAAUAUAAUAUAACAUCGAAAUUCCAAAUGUAAAAACAAAAUAGAUAAAUAUGACUCAAAAGAAAUCGAAGAAUUCAACAACCAAUCCCAAGUCCACAAUAAUCCACAAAGCCUCUAUACAAAACCAAAAUUAAUUCAAAGUCGGGACAUGCCCCCAGUGAUAGCCAAAACUAGAUCAAAGAAAAAUAUAUGACAUAUGGAAACUAAAUCAUGAAAUGAGGUCUUCCAAAAUAUGGAAGCUCACCACUUCAAGCUGACUUACGAACUUAUCCAAUGAUUGCCUAUCACUGUACAUGAAAAGUAUUAAGUAUGGAUAGUUCCUGCAUUGCGUGGGGAUACAUCAUCUGAAGAUGGUUAGAAGUUGGAACGCUAGCAUGUAACUCAGGGAUAAAGGAUAAAAUAAUUCUAUGAUCCAUAAUACAGAAAUCAUUAAAAACCAAUGCACAACAUUAUAUGCAAUACUUACAUAUAUAUAUCACAUACCGAGAAAGGGAACAAGGCUUAGUAUGAGCUUUAAAACCUUAACCUAGAUUAUGUAGCAUAACUAUCAUAAUUAAGGCACCUACAGGUUAUAUAGGCCCAACUCUCCCCUAGCUGGAAGGGCCCUAGUACAUGUAGCUGCAUGAACCAGAGUAUAAUCAUACGUCCAUAUACCUUAUGGGGGACUCGAAUCUCCCAACUUAUAUUAUGGUAAAUUAAUCACCAAAUCAUUUGAUAUGGGGAACUUAAACCUCCCGGACAUUUAGACCCCUGCAUUGAUAAUCACAGUUUCGAAUAUUGGUCCCUUGGGAGGUUCACUUUAUGGCCCAGCUAUACAACCCUCUUUUAAGUCCAAUUAAAAUCAUUUAGCACAUAUUCCUAUUAAUUGAACCAGCUAUGCACUAAGGCAUCCUUUUGGUAUCAUCAUACCGGCCCUACUUUCUAGUUCAUUAUCAUUCCGUAUCAAUCAUCCAUCACAUGGGGAAAUUCAUGACCCCUUAGGUUAAAAUUAUCCAUUCAUACGAGGAAUUCAUGUAGCCUAAAGUUCAAUGGAAUCAAUCCAUGGUUCAUUAACCUUUUAUGCCAAUGCAUUAGUAUAAACGGGCAUGUCAAACCGUAUGACAAAAGCAUAUUCAUUAUCAAUUUCACAAUUUGGGUUAAGGGAAGCACAAUUUCCAAAGCUAUAUAUCAAGGAAAAAUUAUCAAAUUGGGGAUAACCAUGCCCCCUUAGUUUAUUUAGCAUUCUUAUGCACCCCAAUGAGUGUAUAAAUUAAUAAUGUAAAGUGUAAUAAUUCAAUAGUAACCAUGAGAAAGCAUUCAAAUAAUUUAUAUCCAAAACCCUCAAAAAUUAUUUCAAAAUCCAACACCAAAACCAUGAAUAGUAAACCAUUUUUCAUGAGAUUUAGAAAAUACAAGUAUAGGAAAAGAGGUACAUACCUUAGACAUAUAAGGAUUUGUGAGCAAUUGGGAACUUGGAACCCUGAAGAUGAAUGUACGAUGAAACCUAUAUGCUUUCUUGAGGUUUUGAGUUCAAGAGUAAAAUAAUAGCUUUUGCGUUGGGAAAACUGAAGGAAAUAGGUUCAUAUAGUGUUUAAAAGUUGUUCAUAUAUGAAAAAACCUUAUUACCCCUCAUCCUAAAGAAAAAAACACAAAACAACAUGACUUUUACAUAACGACAUGGCAUGGACUUAUCGUGAAGGCUAACCUCUAUGCCACACUGCUUAUCGUAGAGAUUAUCCUCUGUGACAUGCUGAAAUCAUAGACCCUCACUGGUUCCUCACAAAAAUGCUCAUAACUUUUCGCUCAGGUAUUGUAUUAAGGCAAAAUAGGAUACGCUGGAAGAAGACUCAAUUAUCUUUAAUUUGGUUGGUCUUAAUCCCCAAAAUUCAGCAUAUUCCAAAAUUUGGUCUUAUUACUCUUCUUCAUACUCAGUUUACAUCACGCACCCCUAUUAUAGCCACCCUCAACUUAGGCUAUUUGCCUAAGUUAAAGUGCACAAUAUCUAAGGAGGACCAGGGCCAAAACAGGUUCAUUGUGAUACAAAUGGGAAGGUGAUAGGUAUACUAAAAAGAAUAGGCAUUUAGGUUCAAAAUCAGGAUCAAGGGAUAUUAUUUACGCAUGGAAGGUCAUUUAGGCUAAAUGUAGACUACUAUUAACAACGACCUAUUAUCCUUUCCUAACCGCUAUCUUACAACCAAGGCAAGACCAAUCGGACAAGUUCUGGAUUUAACACACAACGGGAACUAGGUAGUGUCUCACACACACAUAGCACAAAUGUACAUCACAAGCUGCUACCCAUUUGGUUCGUGCAAUUGUUAGCAGUGAUUAUUAUGUCCCUAAUACCAAUGCCAUACAACGAUUCACAAUAUUCACAUAUAGAUGCACAUCACACAGUUACAAAAUAGACUAUUGGAGAGGUAUUUAUCAUUCCCAAAAAUCAAAAAAAAUAUGUCAACUACUGUAGAUACUUAUUUUUCUCCCAGUUAACCAUAACACAUCACAAACAAAACACAAUACGCCUAAACAUGCCACCUCUACUAGGAACAAAACUCUGGGAAAAAGAGGCACGACAACAAAAAUCCCAAAAGGACAUCAACACCCACAAGUAGCCCCACCCUCAACUAAAAAUCAUGCAAUGUCUCCAAUACGUCAAACCAAAACAAGAGAGUCAGAAACAUACCUGUGGCACCAUGGGUGCAAAGAUAUGAUGUCAAUCACAUAAUAUGAAUACAAACAACAAAAUACCUUGGGUUACCUCCCAAGAAGUGCCUAAUUUAGUAUCGCGGUACGACCCAACUCAGCUUUUUCCUCCACCUUGAGGAUAUGAAUUUUACCCCCAACUUAGAGUCCAUCUUCUUGCCUCGAUCAUAGGGUGGUGGUACAAAUGUUAAGAAGUCGAUUAAUAGAUUGAGCGUGGUAAACCACUCGGCCUUAAAGUGAGGUGUGUUCUUAUGUUGCUUAUCAAGUGUAAAAUAAAGAAUAUAGGAUUCUUGUUUAAUUUUGAAUUUAUAUCCAUACCAUCAAUACAUAAAUGUUAUCAAUACCCUAGAAGACAUUUUGAGAGCUUACGUUAUCGACUUUAAGGGUAGUUGAGAUGAUUACUUGCCUUUGAUUGAGUUUUUCUACAAUAACAAUUAUCACUCCAGUAUUUAGAUGGCUUUAUUUAAGUCUCUUUAUGAUAGGAGAUGUAGAUCUCCUAUCGGUUGGUUUGAAGCAGGCGAGGUUGCUUUGGUAGGGCUAGAUUUGGUAUUUGAUGUGAUAAAAAAGGUUCAGUUGAUCAGGGAGAGGCUUAAGACAACCCAAAGUCGUCCAAAAUCCUAUGCUGAUAUGUGUAGGAGAGAUUUUGAGUUUGAUGUUGGCGACUUAGUCUAUUUGAAAAUUUCCCCCAUGAAGGGAGUGAAGAG
rnacentral:lncRNA from 1 species